AAAGCAAUGAAGGUCAUCCACGACAUCUUUGAGAAGAAGCGUUCGGGCAAUGAUGGAGCUACGAAUGACUAUGACUUUGCGGACCAUUUACUUGAGCAAAUAAAGAAAGAAGACACUUUUUUGAAUGAAGAAAUUGCGAGGGACCUGGUAUUUUUGUUUCUAUUUGCUGCCCAUGAAACGACUUCAACAGCUUUGACUGUGGCCUUGAGGUAUCUAGAUGGCCAUCCACGUGUUAUGGCAGAACUAAAGGUCCAUGACUUUCCGAAACAAUUUCUCCCGUUGUUAUCUGUAUUUACCCUUUAAUUCUCCAAUUCUUGUGCAAGUUCAAUACUUAAAUGAUUAAUAUUUUAUAUUUAUUGACGGUAUACAUUGUUAUGAUUAGAUGUUUACACUAACAAAAUAUGAAAUAUUACUUCAUAUUUAAAUAGUCAUUCAUUUUUGUAGAGAGAACAUGAAAAUAUUCUUAAAAUGCGAGAAACAGAAGAUUCUAAUAUUUCAUGGAAAGAGUACAAGUCUAUGACUUUCACACACAUGGUAAGUUCCAAUUAACCAGACAUUUCAUUGUAUCUAUCAUUUGAAUCAUAUAGUGAGCUAGACCAUUUACAUCUUAGGUUUUGUUGUCUACUGUAGGUUAUAAAUGAAACACUUAGGCUUGCAAAUAUUACUCCUGGGAUUUUGCGCAAAGUUGUCAAGGAAGUUGAAGUAAAAGGUAUGCUUCAAUAUGUCAUUUGGCAUCUUCUUGAAAAUCAUUUGUCACACUUUCUUUAUUUUGGACCAGUGAUACCUUUCUCCUGCAGGAAAAAAGGAAAAAAAGAAAAAGAAAGAAAAACUCUCUUUAGUAACUACUUGGGUUGGGCAUUUUUUCAUGGGAGUAAAAAUAUAGAAAAUAAAUGAUUUGUUUCCUUUGUUCUUCUUUUCCUCCAUUAUAACUUCCAGUUUUGACUAAUAAGUCCGAAUGAUUUGCAGGGUAUACAAUUCCUGCUGGCUGGACGGUAAUGGUUUGUCCAUCAUCUGUUCAUUUGGAUCCUAAUGUAUAUGAAAACCCCCAUGAAUAUAACCCAUGGCGAUGGGAGGUAAUUUGAUCAUCGACAGAUUUGAGUAAUAUAUGCACACAAGAAAGAUAAACUUACAAAACAAAAGUUAAACAAAAUCAAGUAAAAAUGAUUCAGGGUUUUCUGCUGUUUUUUCAAUCAAAAGGGCAAAGAAUUACACGCGGGAUCAAAAAAAUUCAUGGCAUUUGCUGGCGGUACGAGGCUUUGCGUUGGUGCUGACUAGGCAAAGGUGCAGAUGUCAAUUUUCUGCAUUCCUUGGUCACAAAAUACACGUAAGGAUUUCCAAAUCACAAUCCUCACCGUCUUCGCUUAAAUACAUAUAGAAGAAGCUAAUUCCUAUAUAGUAUAAAUUGAUGUCCACUUAACUUCUUCGGUUAUUGCAAGAAGAAAGUGAUAACUGAUCAAAAAGCUUGUCUAAUUUGAACUUUCAGCUGGAGAGUUACCAACGGAGCAGAGAGAAUUCGGACACCUACUGGUAUUCGUUUCUCCAAGGGAUUGAAUAUUGAGAUUUCAGAGAACAAAUAGAUUUUAAGCCGGACAUGCACGAAUAAAGCUUGUACUUUCAGAAGCGUAUUUAUGAUGCAGUAAUUUACUGUCAUAUAGUAAUUUUACCUUCCAGCUGAGUUGUAAUAUUGUAAGUAUCCUAAUAAACAACAUUUUAAGUGGUGUCUUUCUUGACAUUAUUGUAAUUGUUGAAGAUGUUAUAAUAGUUGCAGUUUGAGCUUCGACUAAUUGUUUUUCUUCACCAAAAUCAAUACAAUGAUCUUAUUUAUGAGGACAAAUCAAGCCAAGAAUAUGCAGUAAGUAUUGCUCCUUCCAUCUUAUAAAGUUUGCCGCACUUGAAGAAUUGCAAUUUUUAUUAAUAGUGGAUAGAAUUUGAAACUUCAUUUGUAGUUUCUAGCUCAUAAAGAAUUGUGGGGCCAUGAUAUUUGUUUAAUCCUAGGUUUUGUUGAAAAUCUUAGAUAUUUGAAAGUUUUACCAAAUCUUAGAUUGUUGUUGUGGUCUUAAUUACUUGAUAACUGCUACAUACUACAACAGUUGUUGUUUUACUUUCUUGAUAAUAGUAUGUGGACUCAUAAAAAAAAAUACAUGCAUUGAACUUUUACGGAGUGUCUGAGGAGUAGAUGACUAAAUGGAGAAAUUAAAUAGAAAUGUAUCAACUAAUUUAUUGACAAAGAAUGGUAAUCUUAUUCAUUGAAAAACCCAUUGUUUUCUCUUGUACAAUCGAAAGCUUAUAUAUAGAAUUAGUAGCAGACUAUAGGCUAAGUAGUAGACUCCUAGGCGGAUUUGGGGCAGGGACGAUCAUCAGUAUGACCAUCCCUGCACGGUUAAGGGCCAAGAUUUGCCCUCAAAAUUUUGUGCGGCUGAGAUUACACCAUGUAACUCGAUUUCCGCGCCAAGUGUGGGGCCCACCACUAUCUGUUCUGAAAAUACAUCCUGUGAAAAAAAAGUUACAUCGUGUUUAACCAAUGUUACGCGCAGUGCAAAAUGAGGACAACCGGCACAAACAGUUGCAGGUGCAACCGUUUGUGCCCCAUAUCCACUCCUAGGCUGACUACUAUUCUAACUAGUAGACUCCUAGGCUGACUACUAGUCUAAGUAGUAGACCACAAAGACUACAAAGACUAGUUCGGAUGGUAUACGCUAACAGCUCCCCUCAAGCUGGAGUGUGGAGGAACGAAACACCAAGCUUGCGCAACAAUCGUUGAAAAGAACUAAAACCAAGCGCUUUGGUGAACAAGUCAGCAGGUUGAUCCUCUGAAAGAAUGAAAUGGGUACAAAGCUCAUUGGACUGAAUCCGUUCACGAACAAAGUGACAAUCCAUUUCAAUAUAUUUGGUGCGCUCGUGGAAGACAGGAUUAGCAGCAAUAUGGAGUGCAGCUUGGUUGUCACAAAACAGAUGCAUCGGCUGCGAAUGAGGAAUGGUGAGAUCAAAUAAUAAAGCCCGUAACCAUAACAAUUCACUAGUGGUACCAGCCAUGGCACGAUAUUCGGCCUCAGUAGACGAGCGGCUCACAGUAGGUUGUUUCUUAGUACGCCAGGAUAUAGGCGUGUGCCCAAGAGAAAUAUAAUAACCUGUGAUAGAGCGUCGCGUCGUAGGACAUGCACCCCAAUCAGCAUCACAAAAACCCGUGAGUUGCAAAUUGUUCUGAGAAGGAAAAAAUAAUCCCUGGCCUAGAGAAUUCUUAAUAUAUCGAAAAACCUUCAUUGCUGCAUCAUGACGAUCUAAUGUAGGGGAAUGCAUGUACUGACUCAAAAUAUUAACAGCAUACAGAAUAUCUGGACGUGUGAUAGUGAGGUACAAAAGUCGACCCACAAGACGACGAUAAAACGAGGGAUCAGCCAAGGGUGUACUGGUUGAACGCCCCAAUUGAUGUUGUUGAGACAUUGGAAUCAAACUGGGUUUUGCACCACUAAGACCAAUAUCCGUUAAAAUAUCUAGAGCAUAUUUCCGCUGACUCAAAAAAAUUCCUUCAAGAUUCCUAGCAACUUCAAGGCCGAGAAAGAAUUUAAGGGGGCCAAGAUCCUUCAGAUGGAACUGUCCAUGCAAGAAUUGUUUAAAUUUUUGGCAUUGAAAGGAAUCAUUUCCUGUAAUUAUCAUAUCAUCGACAUACACCAAAACUGCAAGAAAACUGGUAUUAGUCUUCAGGGUAAAUAAAGUAGUAUAUGCUUGAGACUGAAUAAAACCAUAUUGUUUGAGGGCAAGAGUUAAUUUAGAAAACCACUCCCUGGAUGCUUGUUUAAGACCAUAGAGAGAUUUACGAAGUCGACAAACCCUCUUGUCACCAGAUGGUAAAUAUCCAGGGGGAGGGAUCAUGUAUAUUUCCUCAUCUAAAUCACCAUGGAGAAAAGCAUUAUUCACAUCAAGUUGAUGUAAUUCCCAACUUUUAGCCGCAGCAACAGCCAUUAGACACCGUACUGUAGUUAGCUUUGCUACAGGAGAGAAUGUUUUAGUGUAAUCCAGUCCCUCCUCUUGAGUAUAUCCUUUGGCCACUAACCGAGCUUUAUAACGCUCCACAGUGCCAUCUGAUUUAUAUUUAAUUUUAUACACCCAUUUACAACCAACUGUUUUCUUUCCUGUCGGCAAGAAUGCAAGAUCCCAUGUAUGAUUUGCAGCUAAGGCAUCAAGUUCAAUUUGCAUGGCAUACCUCCACCUUUCAUCUUGACUAGCCUCAGAGUAAGUAGAAGGCUCAGUCUCGGUUAAUAAAGCCGUAAGAAAAGCUUGAUGGGAUGGAGAAAAGCGAUGAUUGGAGAGAUAAGAAUUAAGAGGAUAGGGAGUACCUGAUGCUCUGGAAGUGGAAACUGAAUUGGAGUGGUAGGAACUAUUAGGGUAAUCACAUACAUAGUCUUUUAGAUAAGCAGGAGGUCUUCGAAUCCGCUGUUCUUGAUGUGGUGGAGAAGUUGGAAUCUCUUCAACACGAUUAUCCGUAGCAGAGAGCUCAUGAUUGGGAAUUGAGGGAAGAGUGGCAUCGGAAUAAUGGAUUUCAGGACCAUAUUGAUCAUCAUCAUCAAGAACGGGUGAGGGAGUGUUAGGUGUUAAGGUGGAAGGCAGCGUCGAAGAUGAUGUGCUAGAAGGAAUUUUGAAGGGAGAAAAGGUUUCAUGAAAGCGUACAUCACGAGAAAAGAAAAAUCUUUUUGUUUCUAAAUCAUAAACUUUGAAACCCUUUUUAUUUUGAGGAUAGCCUACAAACACACAAGGCCUUGACCUGGGUUGAAACUUGUCCAAAAGUUGUAGAGGAUUAACAGCAUAACACAAACAGCCAAAUACUCUAAAAUGAUUAUAUGUUGGUGGCUUGCCAAAAAGUGCUUCAAAAGGGGUUUUACUUCCAAGUGCUGAUGUGGGAAGUCGAUUGAGAAUAUAUGUAGCAGUUAAAACACAUUCUCCCUAGAAUUUAAUGGGCAAGUUACUCUGAAAUCUAAGAGCACGAGCCAUAUUAAGAAUGUCUCUAUGUUUUCUUGCGACAACCCCAUUUUGCUGAGGUGUACCAGCACAAGAAGUUUGAUUAACAAUCCCUUUACUUCUAAAGAAUAAUUUCAUGUCACCUUCAGUGAGUUCUAGUGCAUUAUCGCUUCUGACUUGCUUAAUUUGAAAUCCAAAUUGAGUUUGAAUCAAAGAAUAAAAAUUUUGAAAAACGUGGCAAGCUUCAUUCUUGUGUUUUAAUAAAUAUGUCCAAACUGUUCUCGUACAAUCAUCCACAAGAGUUAAGAAAAAAUGAGCCCCAGAACUUGAAGGUGUUUGAUAGGGUCCCCAUAUAUCGAUAUGAACCAAAUUAAAAGGAGUCACAGAUUUAUGAAUGCUUGAAGAAAAAACUUGUCUAGAAGCCUUUGCCAAAGGACACACAGUGCAUUCUUGGCAAAUUUGAUCAAAACGAAUAUGAGAAAAGUUGGGUAUUGACGCCAACCGGUUGUGUGAAGGAUGUUCGAGCCUUUGAUGCCAGAGAACAGCAGAUCCUGCGACCGUAUUAGCUUUGCCAUGAUGUGGUUCAUCAUAGUCUGUGGUGAAGUAGUAAAGACCGUCCCGUUCCUUACCUACCCCAAUCAGUUUCCUCGAGCGUAGGUCCUGGACAACACAAAAAUCAGGAAAAAAUAAGGCAACACAAUUGUGUUCUUUGGUGAGACGACUGACAGAAAUAAGAUUACAAUGAAAACUCGGAGCAUGCAAAAUGUUAUGCAAAGUAAUCAGGGAGUUCAAAUGAUGACUACCAUAUUCGCAGAGUUGUUUCACAGUGACAUCAGGUAGAAAUAUAUUAGCAAAUUUUUUUGAUUUAACUAGGUCAAACAAAAAAGUUUUAUCACUUAUAAAGUGAUGAGUAGCACCUGUGUCUAGUAACCAAGUGCAACAAGAGGACGAGGAAUUUGGAGUUAAAGGAUGGGUUACGUUACCAGCAAAAUUAACCGAGCCAGAGCCAGAGCCAGAGUUUUUGUCACUAUUCAACAAUGACAAAAGUUGUUCAUACUGUGUGGCUGUCAAACCAUUAACCGAAGUAGUGGAAAUUGAAGAAUUUGUUGUAUCAUUCGAGCACACAUUUGCAGCGGUAGGAUUUUUCCUUGAAGGCUGCCAAUUAUUUGGAUACCCUAUAAGCUCCCAACACCUAUCUAUGGUGUGGCCAGCCUUAUUACAAUGAUCACAUCGUAAUUUGGGCUGUUUCGAAGAUUGAUUUCCAUUCUGACGUGGCUGGCCUUGCUGUCGCCAAACAUGAAGCCUCGCAGAACCGUAUUGAGAUGUUUGCUGUUUAACAGAACUAGAUCGUGGCUGCUGCUGCUGCCGAACAUAGAAGGCUCCUGCCCUAUCAGAGCCUUGUGGGCCAAGAAGACUCAGUUGUUUCUCUUCCGUCUUAACCAUGUUGAAUAUACGAUUAAGUGAAGGGAAAGGCUCAGUUGCCAGUAUUUGAGAUCGAAUGGUUUUAAAUUUUUCAUCCAAUCCCAUAAAAAAUUGGUGUGAGCGCUCUUUGUCCCUUUCAGCUAGCCAUUCUUUCAAUCCCCCACAUGAGCAAUUUGGAGGUUUUGAAUAGGCACUCAACUCAUCGCAUAAGGCCUUAAGUUUGGAGUAGAAAGUGGUCACCGAUGCUGUUCCUUGAGUAGACAAAGCAAUGUCCUUUCUUAUUUCAUAAAUUCUGGGUUCAUUGCUUUGACCAAAACGUUUUUCCAAAUCCACCCAAAGUUCCCUAGCCGAGUCAUGAUAAGUGAUUCAAUCAUGCAGAUCCGGACUAAUUGAAUUGAUAAGCCAGGAAAGAACAAGCCCAUCACAUUAACUCCAAAACAAUGCUUCACGGCUUCCAACUUCUGGUUGCGGCAAUUCUCUAUUCACAAAUGGAAUUUUAUUUUUGCUUCUCAAAGAAUUCAAAAUAUUUCGUUUCCACCGUUGAUAAUUGUCACUGUCAGGCAACGUUGGGACUAACGAAGCAUUGGUGUAAUCGGCAGAGGUCAAAAAAUAUGGCGAGCUUGGAUCACGGAACAAAUCACCAGUCGAGGAAACUCCUGGAUUCUGUGAAUUGAUUUGCUCCACCAUUAUUCCAAGACGUAACAAGAAGAGACAAAAAAAAGGUCAAAAUAUAGAGAGUAGAGCAAGAAGGAUAGCUCUUACGCUUUGCACUGAUCAGUCAUGGACUGAUCAGUCAUGGACAGCGCUUACGAGAAGGUUAUCCGAGAAGGUUGAGAAGCUUGGAAGAAUAACGAAACAAAGAGAUUCUGCCAUAGAAGCUGCAAAAGCCAUUCAAGGUUUCUUACAGCAGAAUGAAGUUUUCCCUCGUGAAAAUAGCUUUGCCUGCUCUGAUACCAUGACAAAGAAUGGUAAUCUUAUUCAUUGAAAAAUCCAUUGUUUUCUCUUGUACAAUCGGAAGCUUAUAUAUAGAAUUAAUAGCAGACUAUAGGCUAAGUAAUAGACUUCUAGGCUGACGCUAUUCUAAGUAGUAGACUCCUAGGCUGACUACUAGUCUAAGUAGUAGACCACAAAGACCACAAACACUACAAAGACUAGUUCGGAUGGUAUACGCUAACAUUUAUAUAAAUGACAAAUAAUUUGGAACAAUCCAACAAAGAAAAUACGGCAAUAUCAAUGGGAUGGAGGGGGAAUUUCUAUGGCCUGACCCUAUUUAUCAAGGAAUUGUAUACGGUAAGAAUGGUAUCGGCCUUCCCACCGUAGGAAUGUCAAUCUGGUGCCAUUUAAGCACAACACGUAGCUGAAUUCUGGAAGGCACCAGACAACUAACAAAGCGCAUCAGUUAAGACCAUGCAUGUGUUGCUCCCAAAACUCUGACGUGGUUUUUCUUCUCACUUCCCCACAGCCACAAACACCAAAGCAAACUCCGGUAAGUUCAUGCACAGAAGGUGCGCCUUUGCCUCAGCAGUUAACAAAAAAAGAAUAAAUCCAUCUUUUACUUGUAGGUGGAGAUACUGGCCUGAAGAUUAUACUUCUCUUCCCUCUAAAUUAGGAUAAAUUAAAUUAUAAAAAUAUUAUUACCGUAAAAAAAAAUUGAUGUACAACGGGUGCUGGUGAAAUUACUGAUGCAUCUAUUUUUUAAAAAAACAUGAAUGACCUCAAAAUCACCAAAAUCUAACUAUUUUUUGCCUGUAUUAAGAACAUGCUUCCAAGUCUCCAUCAAAGAACUUUCAAGCUCUACAGAAGUAAUUGACAUAAAAAAAAAGAAUAAAAAUAAACUCUUGGGCCACAUCUCAUAAUUUAGUGGAGACGAAGUUGGGGUAGUCAUAAUUUACCACACUACAAUUGGCCCCUUUAGUAGAUCUAAUCCAGGACGACGAAUUACGAAAACAACUUGCAUUUUGGACUCCUCUGAAUGAGUGUAAGAGUCUUUUAUAGGAAUAGCAUCUGUGAAAGUAUAGAAGUGAAGUUUAAGUAAUCGAUUAGAAGUUGAACAUAUGUGCUUUACAGCUGAAAAUAAAAUAUGGUUAAUUCAUAACUCGCUUGUGGCUAAAAGAUCUCCCAUAGUUUAUGGAAAUAAUUUCAUGUUUUUAUGGAAGUAACACAAAAUUUUCUAGAUUAUGUAUAUAAGGUGUUGGAAUAUUUUAAUAAAUUGUUAAAUUCUCAAUUAGAUGUGUAAGUUAUAAGGAGAAUAAAUUGGUGAAUAUUUUUGAAAUUUAUUGGUGUUGGAAUGAUUUUUGACUAAAGAUUUAUUAUAUAAAAUUAUGGCUUUUCAAUUACAAUAAAUUUUGUAACCUACAAUUCAAAUUAGAAUGUGUCUUGAAUAGCCAAUAAUUUUCAGCAUCUACUUAGCAUAUUAUUAGUAUAGGUUAUGUUUGACUAAUUUUUCUUGAUCUAUAAAUAUGCGUUGUUGAGAUAGAAAAAGAUGCUACAACAACUUAUGUUUUUUGAGCUACAAUUCAUAAGAGAAAAUAUCUACUCUUUUGUUAUUUUCUAUCUCAUAGAUUGGCAGAAAAAAAAAUAAGUGUUUGUAGAGUAAUACUCUCUCAGUUGUACAGACUAAUGAGAGUAACAGUAUGUGUGGUUAGACUGUUGUAUCCUGAGAGUGACAAGCUGAAGAUUCUACGACACCGAAAUUGAUUCUUUUGCAGAGGCUUGAAUCAUCUUAAAAAAAGCGAAAUAUCCAUACCUCAACCCAUUACAUUUGUGCAUUAUUAUAUUAUUAUUUUGACUAUUUUAUUAUAGUUAAUUUUAUUAUUGUUAUAAUUAUUAUUAUUAUUAUAACCAUUGUUAAUUUUUCUAUUUGACAUUUGUCUAAUUGUUCUAGCGGAGCAACAAUUUUAAAGUGAUUCAGAACAAGAUGGAGUUCAACUUACAAGUCACUUGACUUGAGUAGCCUACCUAUGGACAAAAAAUGAGAAGAUCUCAACUAAUGAAACAUCCUUACACUAUAUAAGAACGAGUUUAGGACAAAGACGGUUUUUAGAUUUCAACCGCAAGGGUGGGGCUAUUUUGGGAAUGUGAGAGUGUUUGAAGUGUAAUUGGAACAUUGAGUACAAGUCAUUAUAGCUUUAAUUUCACUACAAUUACUUAUAUAACCUUUCAGACAUUUAAGGUUAGGGGCAAGUUUGGUAUGUUACAAUGUUUGGUGCCAAGUUGAGUAUCAAGUACAACUGAAUUAAGCUUGUGUUUUGAUAGAAUUACAUAAACGCCCUUUUAAUCAUUUAUUAUACUAACAUCCAAGCCUUCCAAUUUCCUGAAACCUUUCUCAUCCGUUAAGGAAUUAAUUGGAUGUUUACAUAAUUGGAUUUUAAUUAUAAUUAAUUAAUUUAAUUAUUAUCUAAACAAUCAUUAUCAUAUUUAUACCCCCAUGUUUAGCCGAUUCCCUUUCUUCUUUUUCGGUUUCACCCCUUUGGUUUUAUUAUGGCUAUUAAAUAUUUGGUGGAAUGCGUAGCUUUUCCUUUAAAUUGAGGUGAGUUCUUUGGGUUUGUCUUCUUCGAUUGUAGUUUUUUUUUCUUCUGAUGAUUAGUUUAUUCAAGAACUCCAUAUAGUUUGUUUUUUUUAUACUUCUAAUUCCAAAAACUGACUAAUUGUAUUGUUUUUCUUAGUAGAUCUCAGAGAUUCUGUCUCUGGUCAAAGUACAAUUUGAGAUAAUGUUGUCACUUUCUAAAAUAAUCAGAAAAACAAUUUUAUCAUCUUCUCCUCCUCGGCCAAGGUAUUCUCUCUUUAUUUAAGUCAAAUAACCUUAUUUCUCAUGAACUUUCUCCUAUUGUUCUUGACUCUAGGGAUCUAUUGACUACAUUCCAGCAGUUAUGGUUCAAGUAGUUAUUUUUUCAUGUAAUAUGAUUUGGAAUUCAGCUUGUGUUAUAUUUUAAUUGGGAAUUUUAUAAUUGUAAAAUUUAUUAACUUAGAAUUUUGUACUUCAUUGAAACUAAAAAAGAAAAUUAAUCAUGCUAUACAGUACUAAGAUGUCAUUUGCACUCUAUUUGCUUUCCAUGUUAUGAUCUCGUUCUUGUAUUCUACUGUUUAUAUAGUUUUAAAUACAAAAAAUUUGCUUUUUAUGCUAUCUAAAAGAAUUUGUAGUGGAACUUGAUGAGUUUAAAUGCUUUAGCUAUAGCACCAUUUUGAUUGCAUUGUAUUAAUUCAUUUACUCAUAAUUGUAUGUUGUACAAUGAUAAAUAAUGUUUCUUGAUUUGAUUGAAGCAACUAUUAUCCAUAGUUCAAACGAAUCAAUUAAGUAGAGAUGCUAUAUUGGAUACUUAUAUAAGUAAACAUUAGAAAAUAUCAUUAAACAGUUUCUACCUAUAGUUUGCAAUUCGAAUUCAUAUGAGAAAUUUCUUCUGAUUUUAGUUACCAUUUUUCUACAAUUUCAAAUUUAGAAAAUAUUAUUUGCACUAAUUUUUUAUAAUCAAGAUAGUUUCAAUUCAGAUCUUUAACAAUUAUGCAGAUUUGAACCUAUUUAUGAGAUUAUAAAGAAAUGCCACUAGCAAAAAACACCAAAUCUGAAUAGUUUCUACAAAACUUCGAAAAAGAUCACUUAAAUUUCUUAUCUAUCUAUCAUUUUUGGGCAUUAUUAUCUCUGUAAGAAAUAUGUGAUUAAGUCAUAUUAUGCCCACCAAAUUAUAUAAAUAGUUAGUCAAAAAUAAAAUUAUUUUAGAUUAGAUUGGACGCAAAGUGAUUGAUGCAUAAACUUGACUUGAUAAUUCAGGUUGAGCUUAAGUUGAUGAAGAAAUCAGAAGCAUUGCUUGAGGGAUAUUUCACAAACAUAUAUAGAUUCGAGAGAUGAAGGGUCCAAUUGAUACUUUAAAAUGUUUUAUCAUCUUGGAUAAGUUUUAGAAAAGACCUUUGGAUACUUUUCAAUUGCACUUCAAACAUUCUUACAUUUUCAAACUACCCUUAUCUUUGCAGUUGAAAUUCAAACAUAACCUUUGAUCACAACGGAUUCUUAUAUAGUAUAAUGAUAAGGAUGUCUCAUUGCACAUUAUUUUUAUUGACUCACUAUGUAACUUAUGAUUUUUCUAUUAAAAUCACAUGAUAAAAUCAUCAUACUUCAGUUUCUAUACUACAAAAUAUUAAACAAUAAUUAUUAAUUAUCUUGAAUCACAAGUACCAAAUUCCCGCGCAUCGCGCGAGAUAUCCCUCCCUAGUGUUAACAAUAAAAGAAUGCUUAUGAAGAAAAAUUUAAGAAAAAGGGAAGUUGUUGAAUUCCAUUACUAGUAUUAUAAUGACUUUUAUAGUUUCUAUGAAACUUCUUGUCCUAAUACCAAAAGUCUUGGAAGGCUUAAUAGGAAAAUAUGGCACUAGAGAAGUAGAUCCGAAAGAGUUCAAAUUGCUGAACAAUUACAACUUGUUGCUGCACUAGACAAGUUGCUACCAUGCAUUUUGAAAGAAAUUUUUAAAGAUGCCUUCUUAACAAGUAAAAGUAAACUUCCAAUGGGCAUGAUUAAUUGGGUCAUUUACUCUAAUCGCAAUAGAUAUAUACUCCAUUGCAUGAUAUAAAGUUGUGACAAAUAGUGGGGUUUCAUAGUAAUUUCUAUGCUAAUAUGCAAAGAACUUGAUCUUUGAAUGUGAUGUGUGUUUAGUUGUGUAUCAUUAAUGCACUAAAAUAGUGGGGGGUUUUUUUUUCCUUUGCUAAAAAUUAAUGCAAAGAAUCUGAUAUAUUAUUGAAGAUUCUCAAUAAUAUGGAUUUUUAUUGUGAAUAACGAAAAAAAAAAGAAUGUGUAGAAUUUCAUUUGGUACCAUGUUAUUUUUGCAACUUGUGAGUAUGAAUUUUAAAGUUGCAAUUAAGUGCAAUGUUAAAUGACAUUGAGUAUAAUGGUUUUGGAUUUCUUAAUUCUUUCUUUGAAUUUGUGCAAAUGGAUAUACACUCAAAAGUGUGAAUAUAAUGUGAAUACACUUGAAGUAAGUAUUUCAUAUUCUUGCGGAAAGAAGUUCUAUGGAAAUUCCAUUGAGAUAGCAAAAAUGGUUCCAAGUAGGUCUAUGGAAUUUACUGCUUGAAGGUUGGAAUUGGCCCCAUUUGAAGAGUAGAAUCGUCAAAUUUUCAUCUUCCAACUUCUAUUCCAAUUCCAACACCUUUGUAGAUGAUCUCAGGUUCUUUGUUCUUUGGACUAGAAUAUCUGUGUGAGCCCUAAUGCAACGCUUGAGAAUGCCCAGACUUUGGUUAAUUUACAACUUUAGCAAAUAUGUAAUCAAGCAAUUGGAUACUGAUAUGCAAAUAAAAUUCUCAAUUAAAUAACUUUUAUUGCUUAAAUAAACUUUUUAAAGCUAUUAUAAUUCAAUACACCGAAUUCACAGGCCAUAUCAACAUAAGAAAAUACUCUAUUGAACUAAAUACACCAAAUUCAUACUAGCAUCAUCGUCUUGCAGUGCAUAAAAGAAGCAUUAGGCUGCAAAUUCCUGAGCCACAAAAUUUUGAUCAGAUUUCCAUAGGGCCAAAGAGUUUCACUCUUAGUAACAAAGUCAAACCUUCAUUCCUUUGUCUAAUGCUUGUGAUGUGCAGGAUCAUAUACAAGAAUGGUCAUACUCAUACUAAACAUACUCCUAACAACGGUGAACUUUAUUACUCCAACGCCAUUGUUUCCGGGACCAGGAACAAGAUUAAGCAAGCAUGUCCUAUGCACUGACCCUUCCUACCGUUCGUGUGCUGCAAUGGAGUUGAUCUCGUCUAUAAAUCUGUUCAAAGCACCUUCAUACCUGCUGUUAAUCACCAUUAGCACAUGAGUAACAUUUGAAAAUUUUGCAAAUGAAGUAAAAUUUUGUUUAGAAAAUCACUCAUAUUCUCGCUGUAUCAGACCAGAAAGUUGAAGCUAAGUGAGCCUCAACCAAGUACAGUUCAUUGGAAAAGAAGUCAAAAUUCCGACUCAGUAAAGAUUAACUUAUGUAUCUUUGUGGAUUAAAGAUUAAUGAAUAAGUAGAAAGACUAAUAUCUUUCAGGUGUAAAACUCAAAAGACACUAAAUAAUCAUAAACUUAAGCACAGUCUUUUAAAAUGGCAAAGAAAAAUAUGUACAACAAUCAAAAUUUUCUUGUAAUAAAAAAUGACAAAAGAACUAAUAAAUUAAACUCCUAGAUAUAAGGCUCCAAGGUGAACAAGUUUUUUUCUUCUAAACCCUUGCCUAUUGCCCAAAAACUUCAGAUUCAUGUGAAUGUUUACACAAUCUCGACAAUUGCAUUGGGAGGCAAAUAGGGAGAUUAUACGGUUAUCUAAAAGUAUUGGAACCCAUAAAAGUACAUCAUGUGGACAUGGCUCUGAGUUUCUUCGGCUCUGGUACCACAGACCUAGAUGUUACGCAAAUAAAUUACUAUAAAAAUAAAAAUUGCAAAUUUGGCAAUACUACAUAGAUGCAUCCUAGAACCAAAAAGUUAAUGAAGACCGUACGUCAGAUAAAGUGAGAAGAUAAGGAGAAUGAUGAUGAUUUUGGAGCUCAGUUGAAUUCACAUUGAUAUAUGAACAUCCCAACCCAACCAAUUUGAUCCUCAAAGUGCUCAAUACUAGAGCUAGAAGGAGUGCAAGACACACUGAUAAGAGUGAGAAUGGACCAGGGAACUUCAAGAGUAUGUAUCAACUCUUCAAAAGGGGUAUGGCAGUUGGGCAUUCUAUACCUUUUAGAUAUACAUUUGUAGGGACAAACUGAUUUGGUAACAUCCCCUGUAGCAAAUCAUACCCAAAAUUAAGUUAGAUCUAUCAUGUCCAAUAAUGGAGCAGAUAAUUGAGAAAUAGAUUUCUAAGAAAAUUAGAGCUCAUUGCAUUACAGCACCUCAUACACAGAUAAAAAAAAUGCAUGACUGUUAGGGUGGAUGUUUAUAUUUAACUUUUGGUGAAAACCAUCACCUAUCAAAAUCUAUAUGGCGAUUAUUAAGAAAUAAAUUAACAGAAAAAUUGCGGAAGCAUACCUUGAUUCAUGUUGACAAACUAGUGCUUGAAUCCCUAAAGAUUUUGGGGUGACCUUCCAGGUCAACACGUAUUUGCCAAUCCUUGAGAGAGUCCUUUAAUUUUUCUUUGGUAUCUUUCUUGACAAUGGGAUAUCAGGAAAGAGUUAUUUUAUCUGCACUAGAAAAUACGACAAUAAGAAUACUUGUGAUCUGGGGACCAUAACCCUAUUUAUAGAUAACAUUCCUGUUACCUUUUGGAUUCCUAUUUCAGAUUAUCAUAGAAAUAGAAAAUACUCUUAAAUCUCUACACAUUAAAGGCCCACAUCGUGUUAGAUAUAUUAAGCUCAAAUCAUAUUUGAUCACUUUAAUUGGACUUAGCCUUAUUUGACAAUUGCAUCACAUAAUUAUUCAGAUAUAGGUCCAACGUUGGAUUAAGGAUCCAAUAAUCUCCCAUUUAGACUAUAUGUGUAACCUUAUAAUUAUGUUUUGCAAUAAACUGCAUGAGCUCAACUUUACUAUUAUUUACUAAAAUGUAUCUAUAGCCAAUUCGGUCCAUCAAUUACACCAACAUAGGAUCAAAGCGGCCUUUGCUACAAUUUUCAUAACUCGACCUAUUAAUGGUCACAUAUAUUGAUGCAAUUGAAUGACAUGAAUCACGAUGUGGAUGUGUAGCAUAAAAAUUUCAUGUAAUAUAAUCGUAAUAUGACUAUUUCCAACGGUCCAUCUUAAAUUUUCAUGAAAUCAAUUUAUACCAAAAUUAGAAUGUAAAUGAAUUCAAACUUUAUUUAUGCAUUAAAUAUCCUUAAGACAUUAAUAACCAAAAAUAUAAUAUUGCAAGAGCAUUUCAAAAUAACAAACUCCUACUAAAACUGCACAUCAUUUAAUAACAUGAUACCCAUAUGAACAGUAUACUCAUGAAACAUUUUGGGUGACAAUCCCUUAGUUAGCGGAUCCGCAACCAUGGAGUUUGUUCCGAUACGCUCUAUUGAUAUCUGUCCACUCUAUAUUCUUUCUUUAACAAUUAGGAACUUUAUAUCUAUAUAUUUAGAUUUUGUCGAACUCCUGUUAUUAUUGGAAUAUAAGACUGCUGAGUUAUUAUCACAAAAUAAUUUGAGUGGUCUUUCAAUACUGAUAGGGUACAUUUAGUUGGUAUAUUUGCUUAUAUUUUCCUUUUUAUUUAUACUAGAUAUCACCUUAUUUGACUGUUUUCCGAUAAUUGGUAUUUUUGUAUUAAUUUCAGAAAUUGGAGCGAAAAAGGCUUAAUUGGAGGAUUCCUAACGAUUUGCACAUAGGACGCCAAAGUUCAAGGUUCAAAACUAGAAAUUGGCAAUUUCCUAACAUCGGACACUUUCCCAAUCCAAGUCAAAUUCCAAAAAUUGACGACUGCUGAAGUUUCCUAUUCUUUGGCAAUCCACGUCAGUCUCAAGCAAUUGGAGAGCUUUUAGGAAACUAAAUUGAAAUAGGACUUUUUAGGAAUUUGAUUAGUAGCAGGAGACCAAUCAAUUAAGAAGUUAGCCAAGUAGAAUUCAGUAGAGAGGAUCUUUGGCUUGAGAUCGAAAACAUAGUGUUCGUGUUCUAUUUCCUUUUGGCUGAUUUUUGGAGGAGGAUGAAGAGGUGAUUUUUGGUUGGUAACUAAAUCGACCUGGAUCAGUCCUCUCUGAGAAGAAGUGAGGUGAACUCCUGUGUCCGAAGUGAACCUCCUUGUCCGAAGUGAGUGGCGGGGCUUCUCCCCUGGGAUCACUCCGACGAUCAAGUUAGUAUGAGAACGAGAAUAAUGAGAAUAUGAGUUAAUGAACAGUGUAGGCUUACUUGUUGGGAGUGUGUCUGGGAUAUUUAUAGAGGGAGAGUAGAGGACAGAGCGGAGGGCUUAUGCUGGUGGGACCCACCCUCUGGUCAUUACGGCUCUGUCCCGUGUCAGGAGGUCUGACUCUGACACUGUAGCUGCCUGAGCAUGAUGACGGGGAGUAUUGUGCAGGUGCCAUUAAGUGCCUCCAGUGCUUUUCAGAUAAAGCACUGGUCCUGGGUGAUGUCAGGUGGCUUGACAUCAUCAGCGUGCAGCUGAGGUGGGGGUGCCGAGGUCGGCUACACGGUAGACUAGGGACCUGGUUGAGCUCAGGGAUGAUGCCCGGGACACGGAUGAGCUCUGAUGAGGGACGAGGUGAGUUCACCUCGGCCACUCGGGAUGGCCGAGGUGAGCAUCCUCAAUAAGCCCCCCAAGCCUCGGAUGCUCCGAGCAAGGGAGGUGCCGAGGCUUCCUUGUGCUGAAGUCAUGAAGAGUCGAGGUCCCGAAAUCGCUCCGGAAGAUGCGGGGACGCGACACGUGGGCGAGUCAGUUGAUAGGACGUGGUCACUGGUAACCGUCGCGUCGUGAAGUAGUGGGACGUUUCGUGCAGUGGGUGUCAGCCGAAAGGACGGGGCAUUAAUGAAGAGAGAGAGACAGAAGGGCGAAGAGUUGCCGCCUUUCCGUAUUCUGGCUGCCUCUUCGGGUUCUGGCCCUCCCCUAUAAAUAGGGGGUCCUUUUCACCGCAUGGCCCAUCAUUUUCUUCCUCUGCCUGGGACUUGCCAAAUUUACGUCUGUUGCCGAGAUCAAUCCUGCCAGCCGAAGUCACAGCCGAAGUCAUCCACUUCGUCCAGUUCCGUAGACAAUAGUAAAUAUCCCUUUUCUUUCUUAUCUCGUCUUUCACUCAUGGCCAAAACGGCUAAAACCCACAAGGAGACCGUGACACCGGGCUACCAGACCGAGGUGAGGCCGGAUCCGGAGGAAGAAGCGACGACAUCCAGCUCGGAGGGGUCAACACCGAGUUCAGAGGGGUCGACCGAGGUGAGGGUCGGAGAGACAGCCUCAGAGUUGGAGUCGUCCGAGAUGAGCGAAGAGAGUUCCGUGGUGGACUAUAACGAGGAGCUCGGCGUCGAGAUUCCGCACGAUGAGAACGUAUUGGAGCCCGUUGCUCCUAAGGAUGUGGCCAACUUUGACUUUGGCAAGAUGCCGAAGUUUAGGAGUCACGUAGGACGAGAUAGGGCCCAGAAGGUAGUGAACAAGUACUCAUUCCGGCCGGGGUACGAAAUUCUGCCACCCGAGGUGGAUGACACAGCCGCGAAGCCCCCCUACGGCAUGGUGGCCGUCUACAUUCAACAGCUGGAGGCCGGGCUGAGGAUGCCGACGUCGAGGUUCCUCAGGGAUUUGCUUCGUCACUUCGGUGUGAGGAUCACCCAACUCACCCCAAACGCGAUCCGCAUCAUCGUGGGGUUCGAGAUGCUUUGCCGACAUCAGGAGGUGACUCCCUCCGUCGACUUCUUCCGCCGAUGCUAUACUCUCAAGGGGCACGGGACGGAUAAAGGAUGGUUUUAUGUUGGCAAUCGAAACAAUGCCAUCCCGAAGUUGGUGAUCGGUGCUCCCAGCUCGAUCAAGAACUGGAAGCGCGACUACUUCUUCGUGUCCGGAGUGGACUUCCCGAGGGGUUUUUGGUGGAGGUCAAUUAAGGCGAAGGCCGACCCCUCGGCGGGGGAUGCCGAAGAGGAAUCCUUCCAGAAGUUGAUGAAGUCGGGACUUCGGCUGUUCAGCCAUGAUUACCCCGAAGCCGUGCUCGUGGAUGGGGGGAUAAGUCGAGCCGUGAUCAAUACUACCAAGCCUCCCUUCUUUUCCACUGAACUUGAGAUACCUUGUAAUUUUUCUUUCGUACCUUUGCUUUCACUUCGGUUAAGGCAUAUGAUAAUAUUUAUUUCUUGUGCAGUGACUAAACUGUCCGACCUCGUCGUCUCUGGCUCGUCCGAAGUGGCCAAGAGGCAGAAGAGGAUGAGCACUGACGAGACCUCAGCACCUCCGCCAAAGAAGAAGAAGUCACAAGGACCAGCCGCUAAGACUUCGGCGCCUAAAGGCACUCCCACCAAGGUUGGUCAGAGCAGCUCGGCCACUGCGGCUACUGGGUCCACCUCGUCUGUACCAGAGGGAGUUCCCCUUGGAGUUGUUACAACAGUCACACCUCCUUCUGGCCGAGGCAAGCAGCUGAAGCCUCCAGUUAAUCCGGUGUCGGGGACCUCGCUAUGGAAUCGUUUCCAUAGCCCCCCAGUGUUUCCCGGAGACGAGAAGACGCACUCCGGCAAUCAUUGGUGUCCGAACUGGAAGAUUUCGGUCAACGACAGGUGCCAACAUUCUCGGGUCGCUCAAGAGCUAGUAAUGCACUCCACUCUGCUAAGGGAUAUGGAGUUCAUGAAAAAACUAAGUCCGGCCGAGCUGGUUCAAAGUCUGAUGGUGACCACGACUUCCAAUUCAGCUUUUGCGGCCGAGAUGGCUCACAGAUACUGUGCUCUGGUCGAGGAGCAGGACACCGGCAAGCUGCAGACUCAGAUCUCCAAGUUGGAGAAACAACUGGCGGUGUCCGAAUCCGAGAAGUCGGAGCUUCAGAGGCGACUUCAAGAGGCUGAAACUAAGAGUGAGGAGGACGAGGCUACGAUGAAUAGUCUCAGAUCAGCCCUCGAGGAGGAGCAGAAGAGGGGGGACGAAGUGAAGAAGUCCCACGCACAAGCUCUCGAGGGUGCUGGAGCCUCGGCAGUGGACGCGUUUCGAAGGUCCGAUGCCUUCAUCAAGGACCUCGGCCAACUGCUUACGCCUAACUUCAUGUUUGGCUUCACAUCGGCCAUUAAUGAGGCUGCGGCUCACCUCUCCUCCGAAGCCUUGGAGUCUUUGAAAAACCAUGACAGUUACAAUGAGAACUCCAAGGAGUUAUGUGAUCGGAUGGGCGAAGGCAUUCAGGCAGGAAGGAAUUUGGCCGAAGUCCAGGUCGAGUUCAACAAGUGGCUGUCCGAACUCGACGUUGUGUUCGAGGAGGUGGAAGUAGAAGAAGUUGGAGGAGAGGACGCUGAGGGAGACGAAGCCGCCGGGGACGAAGUCGGAGGGGACAUCGGCAAAGAGCAUGGAGAUGAACACCCCGGCGGAAAAGAGGCCGAAGAAGAGGCUGCCCAGGAGGGAGCCAAGACCGGGAAUGGAGCCGAGACGGGGGUCUAGGCUCAUAGGCUUCGAGGGGGUGGUCGAGGUGGAGAGUGCUUAGUAGCAUUCGGACCUCGGCCUUGUAUUUUUUGUAACGCUCUUUUCUGUUGAAUGAAAUCUAUUCCUUCUGUUCUCAGCAUUUCAAUUUCUUGUUUUGACUUCUUCCCUUGCUUGUCCCCCUUAUUUUUUAACUGCGUAAUAACGAUGUUGAAAAAUAACAUAAUAGCCGAAGUCAUAACUUGACAAGAUAACUGGAUAAAGUCAACUUUGAUGAAAUAAUUGAAUGAAGUCAUAACUUCAAGCAUAAUACAACCUAAGGUUCUCGGCGUGCCAAGACCUCGGCACUAAUGAGCCAUCUCGGUAGCUCAGUUUACAAUACCCCUUAGCGUCAGAUUCCACAACUCGGUAAGGGCCUUCCCAUUUCGGGCAUAAUUUCCCUUGCGGCUCAGCUCGGCUAACUGAAUUUUUCCUGAGAACCAAGUCUCCAGGACGGAAUCUACGAUGUCUGACACGGGCAUUGUAAUAGUGUGCCAGUGUGUUCUUGUAUGAAGUUAUCCGGGCUGAGGCGAGAUCCCUUCGUUCUUCGACAAGGUCGAGGUCCAGCUGCCUCUUUUCAUCGUUCACCUCGGCGGCAUACGCUGCCAGCCGAGGACUGGGGGUAAGGAUUUCAGCCGGGAUGACAGCCUCGGCGCCGUAGGUCAGGGAGAAUGGGGUCUCUUGCGUCGCUGACCUCGGCGUGGUCCGAUACGACCACAAGACACUGGGGAGUUCCUCCACCCAAGAUGACCCAACUCGGUGUAGUCGGGUCUUGAGGCCAUGCAGGAGAGUCCGGUUGAAGUUUUCUGCUUGACCAUUGGCCUGAGGGUGGCCUACCGAAGUGAAGUGUUGUUUGAUGCUGAGGUUCUCGCACCAAGUCUUGAACGGGUUCUCGGCAAAUUGUCUCCCAUUGUCCGAGAUGAUGAUCUGAGGUAUGCCGAAGCGGCAGACAAUGCAUUUCCAAAAGAAUUUUUGGAUGGCUAGACCCGAGAUGGUCCGAAGUGGCUCGGCCUCGACCCACUUAGUGAAGUAGUCCACAGCGGUCACUAGGAAGGUAUAACCCCCGACGGCUUUAGGGAAAGGACCUAUGAUAUCUGUCCCCCAUUGCUCGAAUGGCCAAGGUGAAGUGAUGGGGACCAUGAAAUUUGAGGGCUGGUGAUGCUCGGGUGCGUGGACUUGGCAGGAAGGACAGCCGAGAACGAGGUCCUGGGAGUCUUGCCGAAGUGACGGCCAGAAAUAUCCAUGGAGCAUAGUCUUCUUGGCUAACAUCCUGUGGCCGACGUGAGCUCCGCACAGGCCUUCGUGGAUCUCGUGGAGGACGUGACGUCCGGCCUCGGGAGUGACACACCUCAGCCAUGGGUCGAGGUAAGAGCGUUUGUAUAGUUCUCCAUUGCGGAGAGCGUACCGAGCCGCCUUGCGUUGUAUCCUUCUCGCCUCGGCUCGGUCUUCAGGGAGUGUUCCCUGACUCAAGAAGAGGAUGAACGGGGUCAUCCAGGUAUCUUCGGAGUGCACGGGGCAGGCCUCCUCUUCCACAUAUCCGGGUUCACUCAGAACUUCCACUAAGACCGUUUUGUUGAGGUCAGAGAAUGAAGUGGAGGCCAGCCGGGAUAAGGCGUCGGCUCGCUUAUUCUGGGACCGGGGGAUUCUUUGGAUUUCGAAUGACUCGAAGUAUGCGGUGAGUUGGUGAACUUUGGAGAGGUACCUUUGCAUGGUCUCAUCCUUAGCCUCGUAUUCACCGAGAACUUGGCGUACCACGAGCUGGGAGUCACUGCGGACGUGGAUUUGCUGAGCGCCGAGCUUGCGGGCUAGCUGGAGUCCAGCGAUUAGAGCCUCGUACUCGGCUUCAUUGUUGGUGGCCGGGAAGUCAAAACGGAGGGCGUACGAGCACACCUCCCCCUGAGGUCCUUCCAGGAGCAGUCCGGCUCCGCAGCCGUCUCUAUUAGAGGAUCCAUCGACAUACAAUGUCCACAGGGAUGAGGUGGACACCUCGGCUAAGGCUGAGGUGGACUCCGGACCUUCCGUGAAGGUGAGCUCAGCAAGGAAGUCAGCCAAAGCUUGAGCUUUUAUGGCGGUGCGUCGCUCGUAGGACAAGUCAUAUUCUCCCAAUUCGACAGCCCACUUGGUGAGGCGACCAGAAGCUUCGGGUCGCACCAAUAUUUGCCGAAUGGGCUGGUCAGUCCUGACCGAGAUAGGAUGGGCUAAGAAGUAGGGCUUCAACCGCCGAGCUGCGUGGACUAGUCCCAGCACCAAUUUUUCCACCUGAGUGUAUCGAGUCUCCGGCCCGCCAAGAGCUCGGCUGACGUAGUAGACCGGCACUUGGGUGCCCUCAUCUCGGAUGAGCACAGCGCUGACAGCCUCGUCGGCUGCAGAGAGGUAGAGGUAGAGCUUUUUCUCGGGCCGAGGUGAAGCAAGGGUGGGUAGAUGAUGCAAGUACUGCUUCAGCUGGUCGAAAGCAGCCUGACACUCCUCAGUCCAGGCGAACUGGUCAGCCUUUUUUAGCACCUUAAAGAAGGGCAGAGCUUUCUCGGCGAAUUGGGACAGGAAGCGAUUCAGCGCGGCCAGGCGUCCAUUCAACCUUUAGACUUCUCGGACGUUCCGAGGUGGGGACAUAUCUUGAAUGGCCUUGACCUUGUCGGGAUUGGCCUCGAUUCCCCGGCGGGAAACCAAAUACCCCAAGAAUUUUCCGGAGGUGACGCCGAAGACGCACUUCUUUGGAUUCAAUUUCAUCCUCGAAUCCCGCAGGAUGCCGAAGACUUCCCUCAAAUCGGAUAGAAAGGCCGAAGUGGCCUGGCUCUUGACAAGGAUGUCGUCCACGUAGGCCUCCACAUUGCAGCCGAUCUGGUUUUUGAAGAGGCGAUUGAUCAAUCUCUGGUAGGUCGCCCCGGCGUUCUUUAGCCCGAAUGGCAUGGUAGUAUAACAAUAAGUACCUUGGUCGGUGUAGAACGCCGUUUUCUCUUGGUCCUCUUCAUUCAUUCCUAUUUGAUGAUACCCUUUGAAGGCAUCUAGGAAGCAGAGGACUUCAUACCCCAUCGCCGAGUCGACGAGGGCGUCUAUCCUUGGCAGGGGAUAGCAAUCUUUGUGGCAGGCCUUGUUGAGGUCGGUGAAGUCUACACACAUUCUCCAUCCACCGGUGUCCUUUUUGACCAUAACUGGAUUGGACAGCCAGGUGGGAUAUUGGACCUCGUGAAUCAUCUUGGCCGGCAAGAGCUUAUCGACCUCAUCCGAUAUGGCCUUGCUACGCUCGGGGCCGAAGUGCCUCCGUUUCUGCCGCACAGGUCGUGCCUGUGGGUUGACGUUAAGUUGAUGAAUCAUGAGCUCGGGUGGCACUCCGACCACUUCAUCUGCGGACCACGCGAAGAUGUCUCGGUGGUCCUUGAUCAGGGAGAUCAUUUCCUCUUUCAGGGGUGAGGGGAGUCCGGCCCCUACUUGGACCACUUGGUCGGGUUUGGCUUUAUCCAAAACCACUUGUUCCACCUUAUCCCCGGGCUCAAGCCUGCUGGGCUCUCCUGCCUUGUGAGGGUCGAUGCAGUCUAUGGAGAGGACAGCCGGCCUCUUUUCUUCUGACCUCGGCGGGGGCUGAGGUCCGACUGCAGCUUGGAUGGUGGCGAGGUAGCAUUCUCGGGCGGCGCCCACGUCGCUGCUUACCUCGGCCACCCCCGCAGGUGUUGGGAAUUUGAAGCUCAAGUGGUAGGUUGAGUACACAGCUCUCAAGGCAUUGAGCGUGGGCCGGCCUAUCAGCAUGUUGUAAGGAGAGUCCGCUUUGACCACCGCAAAGCUGACAGGCACAGUUCGGCAACGGGGAUGACGCCCGAUAGUCAUCGUUAAAUUCACCAUGCCCUCCGUGUGGACGACGUGUCCCCCGAAGCCGACAAGGGGAGUUCUGACCGGAGUGAGUUGCUCCCGGGUCAAUUUCAAACUCUCGAAAGUUCGGUAGUACAUGACGUCUACCGAGCUUCCGGGGUCAACGUAGACCUUUUUGACUAUGUAGUUAUUUGUGAGGACCUCAAUCACUAGGGUCUCGUGAUUGCUGGAGGCGGCGGGGACAGGGUCACGGGGACCAUAGGUUAUCACCUCGGACAGCCUCGAGCUCGGCUCGGCCACCUCCAUGCCGGCUUAGCGGUAGGUCCGCUUUCGGGAGUUCUGGCUGUCUCCUCCCGUGGGGCCACCUGAGAUGGUGUUGAUCACCCCGGCUAUGUUUGGGCCGUAGCCUGGUGAUCCGUCACGUGGAGGCCUCUGAUCUCCCUUGCGGUCCUCAGGACCUCGGCAAUUAAGCUUGGUGUCCCGCCUGUCCUCUUGGCGAGGACCUCGGCUCUCCCGGUGGGAGGCACUUCGGUUGAAGCUCCCAUCUUUGCGGAUGAACUGCUUCAGGUAUCCUUGUCGGAUCAGGUUUUCGAUCUCUCGCUUCAGAUCGUUGCAAUCUUCAGUCUCGUGCCCAACGUCUCGGUGGUAGGCGCAGUAGAGGUUGGAGUUCCUCUUAUCUCUCCUCCCAGAGAUCUCAGGAAGUGUUCGGCCGAGGUGGUUCUGCCUCAUUACAGCCAAGACAUGAGAUCGGCUGGAAUUGAGCGGUGUCAGCUCAGCGUCCGAGGUGGACGACCGGCCUCUCACGAUCCGGUCGAAGACAGUCCUGCGGUCUCGGAGUGGGUUUGAAGUGCUACUUGGGCCGGGUUCACCUCGGCCAGUGUCUUUCCUUCUCCGGAGAUCUUGCCCCGUACGAGAUGCUUGGGCUUCUCGCUUCAUGCGGUUCACAUCCUCACUUCGGAUUCCCUGGUCCACUCUAUCCCAGAGUUCCCGAAGUGUACGGGGGUACUCCCGAUGGAUUUCAGUGUUGAAGAUUCCCGCCACCAAUCCGUUGGUAAAGGCCGCGAUAGUUACCUGCUCGUUCUGGUCAGGUAUCUGCACAUUCUCCUCGUUGAACCUUUGAGUAUACGAGCGAAGGGACUCGCCCUGACCCUGUUGCAGGUUCAAGAGGUAAGCUGAAGUCUUGGUUAUCGGUCGGGACGACACGAAGCGGUGGAUGAACCGGUCUAUCAGUUCAUCCAGGGAGGAAAUACUCCCCGGCUCUAAACUCCAGAACCACUUGCGGGCAGUCUCAUGUAGGAAGAUGGGGAAAGCCCGGCAUAUCACGGCGUCGGGGACGCAGUAGAGUCGGAAGGCAGAGAUGAAGGCGCGGAGGUGAUCCUCGGGGUCACCUCGGCCGUCAUAAGUGUGCAAGUUUGGGAGCUUGAAGUUCGGGGGAACCAUCUCCCCAUUGAUGUCAUCAGUAAAGGGCGGAGCCCUCAUGUACUCAGAAGCUAGGCCCCCGGGGCGCCGAGGUGGGUCCUCAGCUCGUUUCCCCAGCAGUCCCCGAGAAAACGCCCGGGAGAUGGAGGCAAGUUUAGACGUCGCCUUGGAGGAGGCGCGCCUGGAGGUACUCCGAGAGAGUCGCCCCUCAUCUGAGUCUUCACCUGAAGGUACCUCAGGGGACUUCGUCGGCCUCCUCUUGGAGGACUCGGCCUUUUCUUUCCCCUGUCUUUUGAGGUAUCUUCCUAGCUCCUCAAAAAUGGUAGGGUUGUGUGAUACGAACUCGGCCAUCUUGGCGAUGGCCUCCUCGUUGUUAGGCUGGGUCCUCGGGGACCCUUGCCCUUCAGAAAUGCGAUCUUGCUGGGCUCCCGAGGUCUGCCCAGCCCCAGUUGAGGGAACUCGACCACUUCUGGAGCGCGUGGAUCUCAUUUUAGUAAUAGUAGUCUCGUUCCCACAGACGGCGCCAAUUGAAGAGGUGAUUUUUGGUUGGUAACUAGACCGACCUGGAUCAGUCCUCUCUGAGAAGAAGUGAGGUGAACUCCUGUGUCCGAAGUGAACCUCCUUGUCCGAAGUGAGUGGCGGGGCUUCUCCCCUGGGAUCACUCCGACGAUCAAGUUAGUAUGAGAACGAGAAUAAUGAGAAUAUGAGUUAAUGAACAGUGUAGGCUUACUUGUUGGGAGUGUGUCUGGGGUAUUUAUAGAGGGAGAGUAGAGGACAGAGCGGAGGGCUUAUGCUGGUGGGACCCACCCUCUGGUCAUUACGGCUCUGUCCCGUGUCAGGAGGUCUGACUCUGACACUGUAGCUGCCUGAGCAUGAUGACGGGGAGUAUUGUGCAGGUGCCAUUAAGUGCCUCCAGUGCUUUUCAGAUAAAGCACUGGUCCUGGGUGAUGUCAGGUGGCUUGACAUCAUCAGCGUGCAGCUAAGGUGGGGGUGCCGAGGUCGGCUACACGGUAGACUAGGGACCUGGUUGAGCUCAGGGAUGAUGCCCGGGACACGGAUGAGCUCUGAUGAGGGACGAGGUGAGUUCACCUCGGCCACUCGGGAUGGCCGAGGUGAGCAUCCUCAGAGGACAAUUGAAAGCUUUGAACAGAUUUUUUUGGCAUGGCUUGUUCUCCAUUAAUGGAGAACUAAUUUCAUAUUGCUAGUCAAGGAACACUGAGGAUUUGGUUCAGCUAUCACUGUAAGAUCUAAUUGAUUUUAUUUAUCUCAUCUAUUCUUUGGUAUUUGUACGUUUUCUGCUUUAUAGAGUAUGAUUAGUGUGUGUGAUUCAAUAGGUGCACAAUAUUUAAUUAUACACGCAAUCUAUUUGCUAACUGGAAUAGUUGAAUCCGUAAUUGUUUGACUAUUAUAAUCCUGGUAGCAACUAGUAUAAUUGGGUUUGUGUCGGGGAAACGUACAAUCUAAUUUAAAUAAACUCUCGUAGCAUGUUUAUUGAUUAGAACAGGGUUUCUCUAGUUUCUAAUGCAAUUGAGGAAUUAAAUCCUAUGGUGGUACCUAGGAUUAUUUCUAAAUUAGGGUAAUAGUCAAUGGUCGUACCUUAAUCAUCGAACAGUAAAGAGAAACUGACUGUCAGAUUAUAUCAGCAGUUAAAAACUUGUUUGUUAAAGAAUGUUGGAAUUAUAACUGCAUCAAUGAUUUGUUACAUGAACCAUCUCUAAAGUGUAAUUUUGGCUAGAGUUUUCUCCAUUAAUUGUCUUCCUAUGCCUUAGUAAACUUGAAGUCGUACUAGUUUUCGUCUUCUUGAAUUUUGCAUGGUAAUGAAUACACUCCGACAUAAGAGUUUUUUGAGGGCCAAUUUCAACAUCUUUGAAGUCAUCCCAUGCUACUGAUUUUUUAAUCCUCUUUUUUUUUCCAAAAAAUGUCCAAGCCAUCAUCUGCAGCAGCCUCUUGAUUGGUUGUUUAAGUCGUUGUAUGUGUAUCACCUUCUAAUGGCUUCAUCUUCACUCCCUAAUUCUUCAUCUCCAAGAGAGAAUUCCAACUUUUUGUCAACGUUAACAGCAAUACCUUUGUCAAUGAUAUUCACCGGACUAGCAAAAUCACCAACUGAUCUAAUAAUUGGUGAAGACUGCUCUUGAUUGGGCGUAUCCAUCUUAUAUUCUUAAUUUCUUUUAGCUAUGCCAAAAGCAAAAAACAAAAAACAAAAACAAAAGGACAUGAGCAGGAUUCUUUUAGUCCCGGAAUUAGUCUAUGUAUAUUAUUAGGCAAAAACCUCUAAAAUGUUCAUAACUUCAAUAGAUGAUAUAGAACUACAGAUGUAGGGCACUAGGUGAGAAGGAAACAACAAAAAAAUUUACAAGUUCUAAUUGCAAUAUAGAACUUGCAAACUUUCAAUUUCAGAUAACAGAUUUUUUAGCUCUCAAGGAAAAAAAAUUGUUGAAUCCACAUGAAACAAUAACCAAAUACUUAACUAUUAAUUUCAUACUAGUCCAUGUUUUUAAAAAAGCAAUACUCACCAUAGCUAUAAAGAAUGAAAAGAAUUAACAAUAUUUGGAAAAACUUAUCCCAACAUCAGAAUUCGUGGAGAAAUGACAAUAAAAGUGUCCAUCAAAUUAUGCUCAAAUCCAUGUGCUAAGUAUUACACAAUAGCUUGUUGCCCUUGUUGGAUGCCUAAAUUUUAACCAAUAAUACUCCAGGAAAGACAGCUAUUGGGCUAGCCAAUCCAAGUCUAUCAUUUUCUUUCCCACUUUAAAAGAGUGAUAUUCACAUGAAAAUGUGGCAUGUGAAUUAGGACAACUUGAUUAUAUACUAUAAAUACCAGUUCUAAUCUUAAUAAGUAUUAAGUGCUUGAAUAAACUUAGCUACUACUAGUAAUAGAUAAGCUAAUGAUAAAAAAUACUACCUAUCCCUAAUUAAAAUUAAUAUCUAGUUAUAAUACUUAGCUUCUAAAGCCAAGGUCCUUGGAGCCAUUUGUCUGAGACAUUUCAGGCAAGUCAGAAUUCAGAUGCAUCUGCACGGAGCUCAUCAAUCAUCAUAGUAAAGCAAAACAACACGAGUUAAACGCCUCUCUGACUACCAAUUGCAUGAGAGUUUCUUGUUAUGUUCUUAUGCAAGAUGGUGUUAAAUGCGACAAUUAUUACUGUAGAUGCUUUUUCAAAGACCUAGACAUCAUCAAUUGCUUUAAAAAUCAUCAAUUAAAUCAUAUGCUUAAGUAGAUAAAGUACUUGUAUUAGAUGCAUCUAUGUUGUACGCUAUGGAAGAUAAACAAACAAAAAAAAUUUCAGCUAGCAUAAAAUUGAAUAGUUUCACGUAGACAAAAGUAUUGAGCAUGAGACAAGAACUUAGACAACAACUUCAUAACUAGGGAAGACAUAUAUACAAAAUUCAUAUAUUUGCAUUCAGAUAAUGAUGGAGACGGACUAAUGGAGAUCUAAAAGAGAAGAUUACAGUAAAUAAUGGCUAAAGGUGAAGUAUGAAGAAGAACAAUAUACAACAAUAAAUUAACGACAACCAAAUCUAGUUUCUUCUUGGGAUUGUUUUACCCUGCAAAGGGUAGUUUUUUAACUGGAAAGAAAUAGAAAGAAAACAAAGAAAAAAUGAGAGCUAUGAGUUUUUUUUCUUUUUGCCUGAGAAUAAUAAGCUACAGAAAACUUGUUCAUGAAAACAAGAAUUUUGGCUAGAAAAAGCUUUGAAAGGAGGGACCUGGGGAAGAAAGAAAAAAGAAAAGGAAAAAAAAAAAGAAGCUAAGUACAUACCUGCAAAAUCUAGGGAGAAAAUUGAUUUUCUCUUCAGGGGAAGAUCUAAGCCUAGCUAUGGCUGCAGAAAGUGUUAUGUUGUUGCGGAGUAACUGCAAAUUUGCAAUGUAAGAUAGGGUUGAGUGAGUGUGAAGACUUUGUUUGGGUUUUGACCGUUAGAUGAAAUGAUCUCGGGCCAGUGACUCAGGCUUCUCAAGCUCCGUCAACUCAAGCUCAGUAGCAAUCAAGUGCCGGCAGUGGACUGAUCUAAGGAUGUUAGACAUAGUAGGGAGUGGUGGAGGUGGGCUUAGUGGGUUGCACCGAAAAAAGAGCUUGGAGGUGGAGCUAGCAAAGAUAGCGGUGGCGGAAGUGGGAAUUGGGAGUUUGAGAGUUGGGACAGUCGGCAGAGAAAGAAGUUCAAAACUUCGAUCGGAUGGAGGAAGUGAGGAAUUCAGAAUUAGAUAACCUAAUAGAGAAAGUGAGAAAUAGAAGAAGUUGUAAAUUUUAAUUGAUGUAAGUGUAUUUUACUUGAGUCUAUCGAGUAGCUCAUCGAGCUAUCGAGCCGAUGAAAUGAAGGCAGGUGCUCGACUCCUUUGUUUUAAAGAACGGCUUGAGCUCGGCUCGAGCUCGUGCUUUGACUCGAACUGCUCGUGAGUUGCUCGAGUCGUCAGCAGGCCUAGUACACAUAGCCCCUAGAUUCCGAAAUUAAAAAAAUUAACAUUUCUAAAAAAUUUCAAAAUUAAUAAAAUAAAAGAUGUUUGAUGCCUCAUUUUUUUUCAAACGUAAACAACAUAUCAUAUAUCACCCAUAACAAAUUUACAUAGUUUGCUUACAAGUUUGGAGCAACUACUCCUAAUCUUCUCUAGCUAAUCUAGUUAACCAGAGAGGGAAGGAUACCUUCCAGUAAAUAUCCUUUACUAGGUUCAAGGCAAAUCUUGCCAAGCUAUGACUAACAACAUUUCCUUCCCUUCUAAUGAAAGAAAAGCAACGCUUGCUGAAUUUUUGUUUUAACAGCUUGAUAUCUUCAACCAACGUUCCAACCUUAGCAUCCCUUGUUCCUUCUUCCAAAAUCUUGUUUACUACUAUUUUGUGGUCAGAUUGUACUUCCAUAUUCAUCCAACCUCAUGCAUAGCUAUAGUUAAGGCGUUCCUGAUUGCACAGGACUCCUCCACCACAGGAUUAUUGCAACUUUCUUAAUUCCAGCCCAAGCUCUAAUGAUAUCACCAUUUUCCUUUCUAACUACUAUUCCCCAGCUGGCUUUUCCUUUCUAUAUAUCUGUUGCUGCGUCCGUGUUAAGCAUCACCACUCCUUCUGUUGAUGGUUUCCAUCUGUGUAGAUUUGUUAGGUGUAUUUCUUCUUCAACCCUUUAAUUUUCUGGUUGGCCAGCUCAUAUUCUUGCCACUCUUGCAUUGCUUUGUUAAACACCGUCCCUGGACAUUUUCUUUCCCUAUUAAAUGGAGCUUCAUUCCUUGCUUUCCAAAUCUGCCAUAUAAUAUUUACGGUCAGCACAAUGUGCUAUUUUCCAUCCUUUCUCUACUGAGCUUCCAUCAGGCUAUUACGCCAUAACCAAAAAUUAUGCGUGAAGUUCUCAAUUCCAUCCCAUUGAUCUGGUGCAGCUUUCCAUAUCAUUUCUGCUUGUUGACAGAAGAAUAACAUAUGCUCCAGUGUUUUAGUUCCCUCUCCACAACAGAAGCAAUUUUCUUCCCCAUUCCCAAUUAUCUUCUUUAUGGCUCCAUUUACUGCAAUAUCGUGUGCAUACAUUUCCAUAUAAAAUGUUUAGCUUAUGCUUCAUAUUUAGACUCCAAAUGGAUCUCCAUACCUUGGUAUUCUGCUCAUUUCUACUAUCACUCUCUACCUGUCUCCUAUUCAUUACAUGCCUAUUGCUCUUCUCUUUUUGUAGCUCCUUUGCCAAUGUAUAUCCUAUCUUUAUAGUGUACUUCCCAGAUGAUAAAAAUGGCCGCACCAAUCUAUCCUUACUGUUGCAAAUGCUAAUAAGGAUGUGCAUGAUACUUUUGUAGUCCUCCUCAUUAAAAAUGGACCUAAUGAGCUCCAUAUUCCACUCCCCAUCCUAAAUAAGAUCACUUACUCUUUGUAUAGGAUAAUCAGAGGGCUUAACUGUAGUAGCCAUUCCCUUUCCUCUAUCAAUGAUCCACCUAUCUUUGUAUACAUCAAUUGUAUGCCCAUCCCCAACUCUUUUCCUUGCCCCCUUCUAGUAACUCUUUUGCACUGAGAAAACUCUUCCAUAUCCAGGAAUCACUCUCAUUAAUUUUCGUUUUUCCAGAUUGACUCCCCCCUAACGUACCUUCCCUUUAGUAUCCUACUUAUCAUCAGGCUUGGCCUAGUUAAAAUCCUCCAUAACUGCCUUGCUAGCAUUGUAGUAUUAAACUCCAUUAAAUCCCUAAAGCCCAAUCCCCGUUUUCCUUUGACAUCUGUAAGUCUCUCCCAGCCUAACCAAUGAAUUUUCCUUCUUUUUUCUUCUCCCCCCCCAAAAAACUUAGCCAUUUCCUUACAUAUAUUAACACGUAUUCCAUUUGGUAGUCUAACACAAUCUAUUGCAUGUGUAGGCAUUGCCAGUAUGACAAAUUUUAGCAUUACUUCCUUUCCAGCUGGACUUAACUGUUUCUCCUUCCACCCCUUCAACCUAUUCAUCACUUUCUCCUUUAUAUAGCUAAACAACUGCUUUUUUGACCUUCCUAUUACUACUGGUAAACCCAAGUACCUGCUCAGUUGGACUUGCUGCAUUUCUUCUAGCACUUCCAGCACCUCUCCUUUUUUAUCCUCUCUCAUAUUUUUCCAAAAAACACAGAUGAUUUAUCAGUAUUGAUCACUUGGCCAGAUGCCUUUGAGUAGGUCUUCAAAAUCUGCAACAUCUGUAAUGCUUCCUCCUUUGUUGCUUUGCAGAGAAUUAGAAUAUCAUCUGCAAAAAUCAAAUAACAGACAGUCAAGCAUUCCUUCGCUAUUUUCAAUCCAGAAAUUUUUUGACAUUGCGUAGCAUGCUUAAGUAGGCUAGAUAAACCUUCAGUGACUAUCACAAACAGGUAAGGGGAUAGUAGAUCCCCUUGUCUGAGUCCCUUCUCAAGUCUUACAUACCCCAUUUUUUCCCAUUAAUAUGAAAGGAAUAGUUAACAAAGGACACACAUUUCAUUACCCACCGAAUCCACAUAGGACAUCUAUUCAACUCUAUCAUAAGCUUUGGACAUGUCCAACUUAAGAGCCAUAUGCAUAAUUUUCCCUGUUCUUUUAGUAUUCAGGUGAUGAAACACCUCAUGAGCAAUUAUCACAUUAUCUUGAAUCUGCCUACCAGGUAUGAAAGUUGAUUGAUUCAGACUAAUACAGUGCUGAAGUAAAGGCUUGACUCUAUUGACCAAGACUUUUGCAAUGAUUCUAUAAACUACAUUACGCAGACUUAUAAGCUUAAAUUGUGACACCAACACUGGAAACUCAGUCUUUGGAGUUAAAGUAAUAAUGGUUCAUUUAUAGAUGUCAGAAAGUUAUCAGCAUAGAAGAAGCUAAAUAUUGCAGUAGUUAGAGCAUGUUUAAUAAUAUUCUAGAAUCUUUGGAAGAAAAUUGGUGUCAUACCAUCAGGUCCAGGUGCCUUGAUAGGAUACAAAGAGAAAAUUGCCUUUCUGAUCUCCCAUUUUGUCACAGGUCUAGUUAAUCUCAAGUUCAUCUGACUGGUAAUAGUCUGAGGAAUUCCUUCAAGGAUUACAUCAAAUUGGCUUGGCUAUGAGGAUUCAAACAGAUUGCCAUAAUAGUUUGUUACUUCCUCCUCCAUUCCAAACUCAACACUACACCAAUUUCCAUCCUGCUUCUAGAGUAUAGAGAUCUUAUUUGUUCUUCUUCUAUUCUCAACCACUGCAUGAAACUAGCUUGUAUUUUUAUCACCUUCCUGAAGCCACUUUACCAUAGCUUUCUGUCCCCAGUACACUUCCUCCUUCUUGUAAGCAUUAGCAAGUUGUCUCUGCAAGAUACUGGUGUCCUCUUUCCUAUUGGGUCCCACUACCUUCCUAGUAUCUUGAAUUUUCUGCUUUAAUUCUGCAAUGUCCUUCUUAGCAUUUCCUUUAAGCUUUUUAUUCCAUCUCAUGAGUUCAAAGCUACAUUCUUUGAUUUUGUUUUGAAGUCUAAAAAAUCUGGAUCCCUUUUGCUUUUUCCCCCAUGCUUUUUUAAUAACCCCCCAACUUCGAUAUAUUCAAACCAUUUUCUAUCAAAAUAGAAUCUCUUUUUCCAAUUUCUUCUUUUUGGUUCAGUUUCUAACAACAGCAUACAGUGAUCUGAUGGUUCAAUAUGGAUGUGAGUGCAUUUUGCCCUGUCAUAAGCCUCCUUCCAUCCAUUAUCAGUCAAUAUCCUGUCCAGUCAUUCUUUUACCUCAUCACCUUUAUUCCACUUAUUACGCUAGGUCCAUGGUUUCCCAUCAAAUCCCAAAUUUAAAAGUUGAUUUUUUCUGAUAAAGUUUUGGAACAUCUAAAACUAGACUCAAGCCUCUUAUUACCUCCCCAGUUCUCAGCAUUUGAUAGAAUACCAUUCAUAUCUCCUACUAAAAUCCAGUUAUCCCCCCAAAUACCUUUCCUUUGGCUAAUAAUGUCUCGCUAUUUUUCUCUAACCAGGUCACCUGAGCUGGCAUAUGCCUAUGAUCCACCACUUGAAAUUUUUUUCUUUGGUCAUCUAUCUGUAAUUCAAUAGUAAAAUCAGUAUAGCACUUUGUCCACCUUAAUAUCAUUUCUCCACAUAACAGCUAAGCCUCCAACCUUCCCUCUUGGGUCCACCACAAAUAAUUUAUCAAACCUAAGUUUCAUCUUCACCUUGUUUAUAACACAUUUUUUAUUUUUAGUUUCAAAUAAAAGAAAUUAAAUCUGGGGAGUGGAGUUUAACUAUCUCUUCUUGUCACGCCCCAUUUUUUGAUAAAUAAAUAAAUUCAAUUUGUGAUUAGAAAAUGAAUUGUGAUUUAAAAGAAAAAUGGGUCUAAAUGGGGGGUUGAGAAUGCGACGAUUUGACCCAAAAUUAUAGUUUAAAAAGGGUUUUUGAAAUAAAAAUUGGAGUCGCCACUUGGUAAUGAGUUAAGGUGUACCAAGUCAUCAAAAAAUGAAUUUUUAAAGAAAAAAUAGGAAAAAGUAGUAAGAAACCCCUUUUAAACGACUCCUAGUCCACGUAAACCAAAGAAAAGGUUCGGGAGUCACAUUUGACAAAGGGGAAGGCAAGGAUAAAAUCCAGGCACCCCUUUGACCUAGCCAAGGCUAGUUGCAUGAUUUAAUCAAAGAUUUUCUUGUUUUAACCAAAGAAUUUAUUACAUUUGGAUGCACUACAUGAAUGCAAACCCUAGACCUAGGGGUAUUGGGGGAAAUUUCUCUUCAAAGGUUGAGUGGUGCCAAUCACAUUAAUUGUGAAGCCCAAACUUUGAAGAAGUCACGAAUAAUGCGAGUGGGAUGCAAAUGAAUGGAAUGCAUGUAUGCAAUGUGAGGACAUGAGUUUGAAAAAGUAAUAAAAAACAAUAAAUAUGUAAAUGAAAAUGUGCACGUGAGUGGGCAAGGUACGGUAUGUGAAAUGAUAAUAUGAAGUGCAUGUGUGCAAGUGAUGAUAAAGUGUUCGUGUGCAAGUGAAGAAACAUAAAGGUGCACGUGUGCAAAAUGGGAGGAAAAAUGAAAGUGUGAUGAGGGUAUAAAAUGAUAGAGUGGAUUUAAAAAUGCAUGAGCCUAGGGAAUUCAUGCAUAUUGGGUACGGGGAGACCUGAAUCGUGACUCAAUUUGCCCUUUUAUAGAGGGAAUACAAGCGUGCUAAGGCUUAGAAAAAGCCACACUCGUCUAUAUCCCAUAUUUAAGGGGACUCUCAAGCAAAUGAACCCUAUAACUAGCAUGAAAUGCAAAAAUCCUAAAAUGGAGGGAAAAGGGGUUCGAGGGGCAUGCAAAAUGAUAAAACUAAAAAAAUGCAUGACAUUUAAUGAACAUGCAAACAUAUACUAACGAAGGGAAAUCCCUAAAGGUCUAGCGUUGGACUAGCCCAUUCUAUGAAUUCCGACUAGCGUUGGACUAGCGGAAACAUACAUUCAUCCAUCACAUUCAUUUAUGGCUAUGGAAAGCGAGUAGACAUGCCAAACACUCAUAAACACAUAGCACAUAACAUUUAGCAUGCUCGACUAGAUGCAAGGCCCUAACAAAGCAAAUUAACACGUAGCAACUAAGCAUGCAAGACACAUAAGACAAUUAAAGCCCUAACUAUUACAUUUGCUAGCUAGGCACAUGACUUCGAUAGGUCUUCAUUGAAUGCUCCUCCAAGCCCUAUCUAUUACAUUAGGGAGACCCUACUACAAUCUAAAAGGGGGAAAAGGAAUAAAAUAAUUAAAUCCCUAACUAUUACAAGCCAAGAGGUGUACACAUACCCCAUAAAGAAUAACUUAAAUAAAAAAGCAAAAGUAAAUGACAUAAAUAAAAGAAAUUAAGGAAAGGCAAGGGAAGCAAGUAGACAUGCAAUUUUCACUUAGCACAUUGGAUCACAUAGUGGAGAGACAAAAGGAUAAAAGAAAAGUUAUACCUCCUUCGCGAUGGUAAUCAAAUGAAGUAAAAAUGGCUUCAAAACAAUAAAAAGGUCAAGGUACCACUUUAUUUAAGAAAAAUUAAAAGGAAUAUGCAAAACAAAGCUUACUUGAUCAUAAAGUCCCUAAAGUCAUGACUUAAGCGCAAUUGAAACAAAGCAUGGUAGUUAAUUGAAGCAAACAAGCAAUGAAGUUGCACAAACUAAAACUACCAAGGAUCAAAUUGAGGAGAUUAUUCAAUUGAUUGGGUCAUAGCAGCAUUAGUUAGAAAUCAAGGGGUCAAAAUGCAAUUUUUUUUGAAAUCAUUUUCAUGCAAAAGCAUGCAAACAACGUUGAAGCUUAGGCUUCUGUACUAAAAUGCUGCAUUUUCAAACACAAGCUUUGGACUUCAGCACACCAUCUUUAACCAAACCUUUCACCCAAACAAAAUCAUUACUUCAACACACAUAAAUACCAUAAUCCAAUGAGCAAUGAGCAUGGAAAGAAGCCACGCAAACUUUUUAAACCUUUCAUGCAGGUUCGGAUGAAGCUACUGCAACAGACAACUUGCUGCACUUCUAAGCUUUUAGACGCAAGUUCCAUACAAAACUUUAAACAAAGCCAGCAAAAACCAUUGCUCAAAAACACUUUAUCAACUCAGAUUCAAAUAACUCCACAAAUUCUCAGCUCAAUCCUGGUUGUUCAGGUUUAAUGAAUCCUUCAGAUAGACCCCAAACCAGGUAAACAAAGAUAAAACAGCAAAAUGCAGCAAAGGAAAAGUGAAACCUGCGCAAGCUGCUGCAACAGGGUCGAGAGCUCUGAGCUUGUUGCAGCAGAUUUUAUGCGCAACUCUAAGCAUUCUUGAAGUUCGACAAACAGGCUUAUCAGACAAUUUCCAAACCUUGUGAGUGGUCUUAAGACAUCAAAAACUGUUUUUCAAAGCAUUAAAACAAACGGAAACUGAAAUGAACAGCAGAUUUAAAGGAAUUAAUGCGAUCGAGUUUCCAUCGAGUUUCACUACGCGAGUGCCAAGGGACUAGUUCGACAACCUACUGCUGCAAUUCGGGAUUUCUAAAUGCAAUCUUUUUGUUCGGACAAGAUUAAUGACUUAACUCACAAGUGCUUGGCCUGAAGUAACAAGGUUACCUAACAUUUUCCAUUUUUCCUUCAAUGUAAGAUGAGACAGCAAGCACGCACAACCUGGACUGAACAUUUUCUCAUGCAAGCAUUCGAACUAUUUCUGCAAUUUCAUUUGCUGCUACGAACCAUAACAGCAGAAAUUCUACCCUAAAGGUCAACAUCAAGAAUUCAAACUCACUUCUCAACGAAAUCUAAUGACCGAACACUUCACAGGCAAGAUUAAAACACUACAGGCAAACAAGGAAACACAUAAAUCAGCAAGCAACUACAAGCAUUAGCAGCGACAAAACCACAAAACACAAAAACAACUCAAGAACCCAACUCAACCUCGAAGGAAUAUGAUAGAGCCUAGGAAUUAGUUUAAGAAGAUACCUGAGGAAGCUUUUGGAACGAAAACAGAGCAGGGAAAAAACGUGAAGUAGGCGCUGAAGUUGCUCCGUCGCAGCUUCGAACCCGCACCAAUGAAGCCAGGCAGCAGUCUUUGGGAGCAGAUUCGAAGACUUUACCAAUGUCCUCUGCGAUCGAUCUCUGAACAAAAUCUUCUCCCCUUACUUCCUAGUUGAUGCAGAACUCGAAUUUUUCUUGAAAUCAUCAAAAACUGAAGAGAUAUGAGGGCUGAAACAUAGCUGAUAAUCAGCUUUUGUUGAAAAAAAGGUUGCAGCUUUUCAUUUUUUCUUUCCCGGAUCCGUCUCUUUUGUUCUCUCCUCAAAGACCCUCGCCGUUACUCUCUACUCCCCUUCCUGAUUUCUCCCUUUCCUUUUCUUUAUCUCACGGUGGUUCUUACCCAAACCUAGCCGUCACCUUCUCCUUUUCUUUCCAGAUUUUUCAGUUUUCUCUGAUCUUGCUCAGACUUUUUGACGCUGGCUCUCUCCCUCAAUCUUCUCAGCCCUUUCCGUUAAAAGCCUCUCCUGGUUUCUCCCAGUUUUUUCAAUCUUAGCCGUCACUCUUUUGUUUUUCCUCUGCCGUCAGUCCCUCUGCCUCUUCCUUCCUUCGCCGCCUCCCUCACUUCUUUCGGUUCUUUUCCUUUCUUUAGCCGCUCCCCCGUAACCUCUCUCUCUAUUUGCGGCUGUCCACCCUUUUGCUAUUUAUAUGGGAACUUCCAACCCUAAAACAACUCAGUCCUCUUUCCAUAUUUGCAGCCAGGGGCUGCCCCAAUACUUCCUUGCAAGUUACGACAAAACGCAGCCUGCAUGCCGCAAGACCCUUUUUUUUUUUUAACUAUUAAUACAAAAAUUAAUAAAAUAUAAAUAAUAACAAAAUAACAGAAUUGACAAAAACCAGGUAAUAAUAAUAAUAGUAAUGAACACAAUUUGAAACAACUAAACAAAGUGGCCAUUGUCAAACUUUUCUACAUUUUUCUUUUUCUUCUUUUUUCUUUUCCAUUGUUUUUUCUUUUCUCAUUUUUUCAUGAUUUUCCUUUUUCUCUUUUUUUCAUGAUUUUCCUUUUUUCAUUUUUCUUUCGAAGAAAUUCUAUGCUAAAACUUAAAAAUAAAACUAUAAACUAAAAACUAAAAAUCGAAUAAAACUAACAUGACAAAUAAAACUAAAAAUAAACAGUAAAUGAAAUUACACCAAAAAUUUGGUAUCUACACCUCUAAUUGGGGAAUUAUCAAAGGGCCCCGCACACCUCUACAAUUCCACACCAGUACAUUUAUUGACAACUUGGAGCCCUUUUUAGGUAGGACUCCACCACCUUCAGAUUACUCUCAUGUUCUUCCCAAUAAACACUCCCUUUGAUCCUCUUAGUUUGACUAUCUACUUCCAUUCCCUCACUAUUGACACCAUCCUCAACUACCACUUUUCUUUUUACUAUCUCCUUUGCCCCAAUAAUUCUUGCAGUACAAUCUGCUAAAGGCUUCAUAUUCCCUAUUUCUUUCACUAGUAUUUUCCAUCCUAUAUUCCCUUUCUAUUUUCCUUUCUUAUUCUCUUUCCCAAUUCCAUCUUGUCCACCCUCUUUAGCUUCCAACAGGCUUCCUGAUUUUUCCCUCGCACCUGCCUUUCCAUUCUGUGAUCAUUACUUCCAUCUAUCCACAUAUUGUCCUCCUGCCCUACUUCCCCUAUCUCUUCCUCAACUCCCUCAAUACCCUUUCUCACAAUAUCCGUCAUUUCCUUUUGCUUCCCCUCACUGCCCUUUUGAGAUUUCCCAGUGUCCUCUUCCCCUUUCUCCCAAAAAUCAUUUUUACCCAUUACAACAUAGUUUUCCUCUCUCAUUUGCUCCUCCCUAAUGAUCUAACCACUAUUUCCUUUAACUCUAGCCCCAUCAUCCUCAUUGUCCUCCCUAUUUCUACCUUCAUUCUCUUCUUUUUUCCCCCUCAUUAUCUUUCCAAGUUAUCAUCGAUCAUUUUAUGUCCCCAUUUUCAUUUUGUGUAUUGCUUGCUAUUUCAUUUGGAUCAUCCUCAUGCUGUCCAGAUCUACCCUGUUUCUUAGUAGGACUUUUAGGAUUGCUAGCCUUUAAUGAAGUUCCAAAUUGAGGUUCCUUUCCCAUAUGGGUUCCUUUCUCUUUACAGUUUCUCUAAGUAUGCCUCAUAACGCCAUAGUUAAAGCAGAAAUUAGGAUACCUUUCAUACUUAAAUUCCACCCAUUUAAUUAUACCGUUCAUUUUAACCAGAUUUCCCCUCAGCAUUGGUUAAUUCGGGUCAACUUCAAUUAAGAUUUUCAAUGUUUUCCCUUUUUAGUCCCACUAUUUGGUACAAUAACUUCCUUCACAGACAGAAAUACACUUCCAAUUUUUCUUCCCGUGUCUUUUGUAAUCCAAUGUAAGGGAGAUUCCAGAUUUGUACCCAUAUCCAAGUUUUGUCGAAAGCAUUUUGAUCGAUUUCCAGCCCCUCCUUCCAUGAAAGUAUUACUAACGGCAAAUUAUCAUAAACCAAUGGUCUACUAUUUAACGCUCUAUCUUUAUCCUGCAUAUUAGCAAACACAAACUGGAACAUAUUUACCCCAAUUUCCAUCACCUUUAAGUUUUUUGGAAAUAUGCAUUUUACUUGUGAAGAUUCACAUACCUGCAAUUAGGCGAGCGGCUCGAGUCGAGCUCGAGUUGGCUAAAUUGAAUUCGAGCUCGAAUUCGAGUUUAAAAUAUUAAACUCUCGUGAGUUCGAGUACAUAUAUAUCAUUUUAUUUUUUAUUUUAAUAGUAAAAUUACAUAUAUAUCCCUAAUAUUUUAUUAUUUAUUAAGAAAAAAUAAUUAUUUAUUUUUUUAUUAGAAUAAUUUCCAAAAACUCGAGCUAACGAGCUGCUCACAAGUCAGAAAUUCGAACUACAUUAUGAGCUAACAAUUCGAUCAGCUCGUGAGCCUUAUCGACUCGAGUUCAAGCCUGACUUCUCUUUAGUCGAGUUGAGCUCGAACUCAAUUUUCUUGGUUCAUCGAGCUCGAGCUCAAACUUGAGCCUACCUGUUAUUAAGUCGAGUUCUGUCGAUAAGUCCAAAACUCGACUUGACUCGGCUCAUUUGCAGUCCUACCUGCAAUGUUCGCCGUUUUUCCUCCUACAACUUUUCCAAUAGUGCUUCUCUUACACUCUUCUAGACAGUGCGAGACAUCUUCUCUUUCCACCUAGAUCCCUGCUACUUCCUUUUCCGACAAAGCAAACUUCCUCAUAAUUUCCUCUAGCUUAUCUGCCAUUUUAUUUAAUCCUUAUCAGUUUCCUAUAGAUCUUACCUAUCGGAUAGCCCCUGUUAACUACCUGUAAAUCAGAGACAGAUCAGAAAAAUAGUAGAUCUUUAACACGCACACAACCCACACUACCGCAUCAACACUAUCGCUACUGAAAGCAACUACUGAAAUAGAAACUAAAGACACAGAAUACAGGCUUGGUGGUCUACUGGCUAAGAUCUGAGCUGAAAGUCGUCAACAAUGAUAGAGGCCGAAAGACACAAAGAGAUUUGGGUUAGACUUUGAGCUGAAUGCACUGCAAAAAAGGAUGAGAAAUCGAAAGAAAAAGACAAACUACGAAGAGGCUGAUGACAGUAUCAGUCUGGUUCAACAAGCUUCCUUUCCUUCAACAGAUCCAUGAUAUUGCUAGUAAAAGCUCAAGAGUGUUAAGACAGGAUUUGAAAUCGAAGGCUAAAUUUAUGUGCUUCUGCCUUAAAUUUAGAGUCUGGAUAUGUUGCCAAGAACGAAGGUACGGAAACUUUGGAGUUUGAAAUAUUUGAAAACACCCACAAGGGGGAAAUUCGCUCCCAAGCUAGAGAGAGAAAAUGCUCUCAAGAAGAGAGAUAAUCCUAUGUUGGGGGGGGAGGGGUGCCUCAGGUUAGUGGUGCCAAUUUUUGCCGAUUUUAGUCCCCCUAGAUGAAGAAAAGACCCAUCACUUCCCUUAUUUUGUCGAUUUUUUUAACAAUACUCUAAGAAAUAUUAUCUUAUUAGAGUAUUAGGGAUGCAGAGAAUACUUGGAAUAUUAUCCUAUUAGAUUACUGUUUCUAAUUCAUUUGCAAGUACUUGCUUCAUGAAAAAUUUCAUGUUAGGCUUAGAGCAACCAUCAGUAUUCAACUUUAAAAUACCACCACCUCGCCUGAGCCACUUAACCAAUUUCAAGCUGCUAUUAACAGACAUUCCAAAAACUUCAUCAUAGAAAUCAAACCCAAAACCCACCAAGCAUUAGCAGAAUGAAAGUGCAAAUUAUAUAAUUCCCUCAAGUAAGAAAACACCAAGGAACAAAUCGCCUGAGGAGAUAAACACUUCCCUUCAAACACUGCCAAGUUCUAGAAUUUCGAUAGAUGCCCGCAUAUCAACAAAGGAAGAAGAUGAGGAAUAAAUUCCAGAAACUUAUGCCACCUAGGACCAUACCACAAGCCACCAGUAUAAGCGCGAACGGAGGGACCUAAAUUAACCACUCCACACACUGAACCAAAAAAAUUCCAAACCCAUGAAGCAGUUUCACCCGAGCAAAACACAUAAUCCAACGACUCUAUAUCAGGGUUUACACUGCAAAAACACCUACAAGGAAGGUGAAAAACCAAUUUGCAAAGAGCGGAAUCUAACGGCAACCGAUCUCUCAACAUCCGGAGCGCAUAGAAAGAAAUUUUAAUAGGCAAUCUAGCAUGCCAAAUCCGCGUAUACAUGGAUGAAUGACUAGAAUGUAAUUUCGCUAUUGAAAAAGCGGGCUUAAGGAAAUCAAACCUGAUUGGUCGGGCAACCAAUUCAUCUUAUCUUGCAAGUCCAAAGCUGAUGGAGCUGAACAAGUAAUUUCCUAAACAAAAUCCGGAGGAAGCCAUUGAUUCAGCAAUUCAAGAUUUCAAGCUCCAUUAUUGCAAAAGUCCCGAAUACAAUGAUCAGAAAUACUAUCCAAACAACCAGCCAGUGCUCCCGUCCCCAACCAAUUAUCAAACCCGAAACUAGAAUUUCCCGAGCGAACAAUCCAACCAAUGUGGAACUCAGCCUGCUCUCUUACUUGCAACAUUCUCUUCCAUGCAUAUGAACUUCGAGGAACUAAAUCUACCAUAUAUAUAUUAAGGCUUCAUUAUUCAUCAUUAAGGCUUUGCGAGAACUAGUUACAGCUCAUUUUGCAGCAAUUUACGCAAAAAAAAAAAAAAAAAAUAGCAGUGGCCGUUUUUGAAAUUGAAUUGGUUAACUGUCGCAUUGUGACAAGACCUGUUCAUUGUCUGUUCUUCUGUCAAAGAAGAUAUCUGGGUCCGCCUGCUUGCUCACUUCAUACACAUUUCCACUCAAAGUACAAAACUACAGCUUCUAGUUAUUUUGGAUUUUAUUAGAGUGAGAAAGCAUAUCGAGCUCCAGCACCGUAUUGUAGUUAACAAAAGCUAUCAACAUUUGUUCUUGUGGUCCUUUCGAUUGUUCGUACAAUUAAAUUGGAGGUUACACGGUUCAUGAAACGACAGAUCUACUCAAUGUUAAAGAUUUUCUUCUAGACAAGCUGUUGAAACGGGUUUUAUAGCUGCAGAAAAUGCACAAUUAAUGCUUCCCUAUUUACAUUUGACAGGAAGCUACCUCAAAAUUUUCCAAUUGAAAGCUUCUAGUGUGCAAAGUGGGGGAUUUUCUUCCCACCGACGGAAGGCAGAAGGACUAUAAUCAAAGAAAACACAGCUUGGGACCAUUGUCAAAGGCCUUUGAAUCCAACUGAGUAAGGCAACGGCCAGCUGUGGCACAGGGCUGGGGUAAAUUAUGUAGUAAAAAAUGUGGGAUAUUUUAAAGGAUUGAACGGCAAAUAUGGAUAUAUAUUCGACAGGGAUCGGUAAAUUAACCAUCAUGAUCAUCGAUGUAAAUGCACAAAAGGGAAAAAAGCCAAAUAACUAGUACACAAAAAGACAGAAAUUCCAAGCAAGGUGGAAAAGACAGAACACAUGCACGGAAGAAAACGGCGGUGGAAAAUGAAUGGAUAUGACAAAUGAGAUGGUGUGAACGGAAGUUUAGUUCCCACGAUGCAUGCCUUUUUUGAACAUGAAUCCGAUGACAAUAAUUUUCCAAAUUCUAAUACUGUCGGUGAAAACUACCCAAGUAACUAUAAUUUUCGUAGGUGAGGAAAAAUUAAAUCCUUUUAAUAAUAGGGUGCAAAAGGAAUUUAAAAGGUGAAAAUUGUGUAUUAACAACCCAUAGUGAUGCCCCCAAUUAUUAGAUAGAUGGUAUAAAAAAGAUGACUCUAAAUUAAAUUGAUAGCAUAUACACUAAUCAUGUCGAUGCAUGUCACAUGUGCAAAACUUGAAAUUUAAAUUAUUUGUCAUACUUAUAGACCUACUAGGAUAUACACUACAAAUGGAGGAAAAGAUUAAUUUAUACAAGGAAAAACCCUAUUUUAUAAAAUGUGACAAUUUUUUGGUUUAACAAAUUUUAUAGGAUUCUCAUUCCACAAGGUUUGAUUUUUUGGUUUUUUCCUAUUUUCCUUGCUGCUACUCUAUAUAUAUUAGAGGGCAGGUUUUUGAUAAGGAGCCUUCACAAGCAUCAGAAAUAUAAAUCUCUUUUUACUGCAAUUUUAGAUUUAUUUUAAUAUAAUAAUCCUUAUUGCUUCUCUUUAUGCCUUUUUCACUUUCCAAUUUACGUGACCGACAAACCCACAAAAUCAAAACUUCAAAAUUUUAACGGGCAAAUUCCACUUUACCCCCUGUGGUUUAACGUUUUUUUACAUAACCCUUCUAUGGUUUCAAAAGCUAUACAUAACCCCCUUAUGAUUUGGAUUAAAGUGUCAAAGUGACGGGAAUGACCAUUUGUAACGGAGUCACCUAAAAUGUCAAAAAUACCCUUAUGUAAAGUUAAAAAUUAUUUAUUAACCAAAGGGGGUUAUGUGUAUAUUUUGAAAAUCAUAAGGGAGUUAUAUGGUAAAAUAUUAAACUAUAAGGGGGUUAUAUAGUAAAAUAUAAAAAUCAUACGGGGUUAAUGUGUCAUAUAUUUAUAAGGGUAAUUUCGACAUUUUUAGAAGUUUCGUUAUAAGUGACUAUUUCCGUCAUUUUGACACUUUAAUCCAAACCAUGAGGGGAUUAUGUAUAGCUUUUAAAAUCAUAUGGGGGUUAUGUAAAAAAUGCUAAACCGCAGGGGGAUAAAAUGUAAUUUGCCCAAAUUUUAACUUACAGAUGACCCACUAACUCACAAAAUCAAAACUCCAAAAUUUUAACAAAUAGAUAAUCAUCACCCUACAAAAUCACAUUUGCAAAUUCCAUAACAUAUUUUACUCUCAUAAUCAUUCAAAAGACUGACAAUCACUAACCCAAUUUCAUUUGUGAUCUACACCAAUCAAAUACUGUGAGAAACAAAAAAAAAAAAAAGAACAAGAAUAUGCAUCAUACUCUCAUCAUGGACGAAUCUCACCUGCGAACAUUUCAGUGGCGUCUCAAUUCCAAAUUUGCAAGAUUGCAAAGAAGAAACCAACUAAUCACAAAACGAAACCCACACCGAAGUGAUCCUAUUGAAAUAUUUCAAAAGCUUCAACAAGUUUACUUCGAAGAAAAAACAAGUCUUUCUGUACAGUUUUUUAUAGUACGAAUUUCAUAAAAUUCAACUGCUUCAAUCAAACCAUCAAAAUUGGCUUUCGUACUAAAGAUUGAUUUGUGUGAAAAAUGUUUGUACUUUCAUACAAGAUUAUCAAAUCAAAUGCAUAAUGUUUGUAAAUAUUUAAUUUUGAUAUCAAAUAAAACAUGCAAUUAUGUUCAUUUCUAUUCAUAUGGCAUUCAUUUUCUAAUAUAAAUUUCUAUUAUUAUUUUAUGAUCCAUCUUCUGCAAAAAUAUAGUUCUUAAAUAAUGUACGCAUUUUAUUAUUCUUUGAAUUAUUGCUAGACAAAUCUUAAAUUUUAAUUAUAUUGCUACAAUUGUUUUUUACUUUUUUUUACUUCAUUCUUUUUUUUAUUUCUUUUAAUAACAUUAACACCAUGCGUAGCACAGAUAUUCACACUAGUUUUGUUUGUAUUUUUUUCCUUGUUUCCUCCAUUUUUUGGGUUACUCUAUAUUUUCAUUCAACCAAUCCUACUCAUUUGUAAUUUCACUUUCGCGAAUCACUGGUUACCAAUGUCCAUGCGAACCAAUAACAUGAUAUUGGGUUAACUUUCUUUCUAACCUUUACUUCCAAAGAGAACCAAUAUUUUUAACAUAACAUCGUGUUUAUAUCGUGAAUCUUUUAUUAACAAGCAAAUUUUUCAUCGGCUAAAUGCUACAAACUCGUCAAUUGUUCGUACUCCACUAUUUAAUUAUUCAUAUGAUGAUUCAUACUGCUCCUCCACUAUGUUAUCAUAGAAUUCUUCUUUGUCUAGUAGACGAAUCUAUAUGUGUACAUCUGAAAGUUGUUAUUUCAAUCAAAUGUUUUCUCUUUCCUACUUGACAUUGCCGGUUGGACAGAAUUAAAGGGUUAUGGGUUAUUUAGGUUUUACUGAUUAAUGAAUCCUACUUAGAUUAUAUUAUAUGUUUAAAAAUUAUCUCUAAUUUUAUAAUAACUUUAAAAAAACUAAUAUUUUUAAUAAUAUCUACUUUCUGUCAAAUUAUUAUAUAAAACUGUGGUAAAAUCUCUUUUUUCAAGUCACAAUUGUUGAAAUCUUAUAUAUCUCAUAAAUUACUUUCUUUCACUACCAUUUCAUUGAUUAGUAUUUCAAAGUGUUCAUCAUCUCUUCCAUUAUUGCUACUAUCUUAAAAAAUACAAAAUUUAAAACGUCAUCUCUAUCAACUAAAAUUUCUCAUUGUUCCCUUUAAAUAUACUUAAACAACAGGUCUUUUUCGGUUGAAAUUUUACCUCAUUGAGAAGAUAUCAGCUUUCCUUCUUUGUGUUCACUUGCUAAAGUUUGUGUAUGUUAAUUCUAAAGUUUGUACAUGUAUAUAUCAUUGGUGAUUUUUUUUGUAAUUAUUAAAGUUUUAAUUAAAUACCUAUCAUGGUUUAUUUUAGCACCUAUUUGACCAAUUUCUUUGUUAUGAAUACACAUAUCCUGUGAAAAUUUGAGAUUGGUAUGUUGUCCUAAUGCAUCCAAUUUUUUCCUUAUUCUAGUACAAAUAUGGGGAACAAAAGAAAGAAGUUUAAAUAAGGUUGAAUUAAAUCAAUAGUUUUCAAUUGCAUUUGAUGACUUUGUUUGUUUUAAUGUUUUGUGGUGUUAUGCAAGCAAAAAUUUCAUUUUUGUCAAGUGGUCAUCUCCUCUAUGUACCUUUUGUAGUUUAAGUUCAUAUUCAUGCGUGGAAACUAAAAUUCCUGUGUUCCUCCAAUUGCAAGAGCAGGAGUCAUUUACCAGGAUCACGAAUUGUAGAGGACAUAAAAUUCCAAGAUCAUGAAAAGAAAUAGGGGUGGUUUAUCGAAAUUAUGAAUCGCAGAUGACAUAAAUUUCUAAAAUCAUGAAUUUCAUUUUUUGCAGAGGACAUACAAUUCUAGGGAUUCAAAUACGCAACCUUGCCACUUGCUAAAUCUUCAACUAAACAUCAGUUCGGGAAGGAUCUCAUCAAAUAUCAUUCAAGCCUUCAUUUGGUGUUUUAUUAUUUUGUUGUUAUACUUCCUCUCCCUUAUAACAAUAUCAUUUUUAUCCAUAUGAACUAACUUGGUGCAAAAAAGAAAAUUAAUUGUUACACCGAUAGAUUUAUCAAUAUUGUUAAAAACUGAAUAUUUGUUAAUGAAGAAAAAUGGAAUGUUAGAUUUUUUUUUCUACUUAAUUAAAUGUGAAUAUAUAGCUCUAGCUUUAUGGUCAUUAUAAAAUUUUAAUUAUCUAAAAGAAUAUUUAUAAAAAAGAAAUAUCUACCAAGUUUUUUAUAUGGGGUACAUUAUUUGAUGUAUAUUACGAUAUUAUAGUAGAAGUAUGUAAAGAAAUUUUUAAAAAUUAGUAAAUAAUUGAAAUUUUAAAAUACAUUAAUUUUUUUAAAGUUAAUAUGAAUGAACAUGUAGGAUCGCUAUUAAUUUUUGUAUUUAAAUUAUUUAUAUUUAUACAAAUUCACAAUAAAUAAAUAAAAAAAGUCCGUGUUAAGACAUGGACAAAAUUCUAGUAUUUCAUUGGUUCUUACAUUAUGUUUUUAAUGAGAAUUUUACUCUUGUAAGAAACAUUAUCUGUUCCCUGUAUUAUUUAGAUAUGAUGAUACUCUCCGUUUAUUUGUGUUCCCUUUUAUCAAAUGUCCAUCAUAGGGAAUUUUUAGUGUUAAUUCCAUACUAUUUUUUUGAUACGAAAAAAGUUUAAGUAAAUUUGACUCUGGUCAUCACCACAUAUUAGAAUGUGCUCCUGAUACCAUAGGUCACUUACAAGAGUUUUUACAUAUCAUUUACCAACAGCCCCAGGGCAUCCAUAUGGAAACAUAAUUUUGAUCCAACUACUUAAAUCUUGGUCCCAACAUCAACAUUUAUUGCUUUCGUUAAUUGUCACAUAUGUAAUUACAUAUAAAUUCCUUAUUCUUCCAUUUAUAUUUACACUCCACAUCAAUUAUCCUUCUAGAACACUUAUUGGUCCUUUGUUUGUGAUCAUUAGUGUAGUUUUGUUGCUUAUUUGUAUUGUCUAAUUUAUUAAAGGUGAACUUUUAAAUAGUAAAAUGUGUGUAUUAAUUGUUGCUAAUUUUUAAUUAUUUUUAUUUUUUUCGAAUACAACUUAUAUACAUGCAUAAGGGGUAUUUAUGGAAUAAAAGUUUCAUCUCUCUCCUUAAAGUACUUUUUUAAUUCUACUUUUCUAAUUGGACUAAUUUUAUUUUCAAAACUUUUACCUUAGGAGAGAUUUGUGUAAGUUGGCAUGCUUCAAGGGAGACUAGUGAAAUUGUUAGAAACCUCAGGGAGGUUUUUGAAUUAUCCUUUUUUCUUUUUGAACAAGAGAAGAUGGUUUAAGAUGAUAUCCGACACUUUUUUUUUGGUAGCAAAAUUAGUGAAAGAAUUGGUAAUUCCUUCAGGAAAAAAAAGAAUAUGUAACUUUCAUUUUUUUGGUAGUAAAAUUACCAUUUUUGCAAUCAAGAGGUAAUUUUCAUUAGAUAUUUAGCCAUGUUUGGAGUUGCGAUACUUUGGUUAAAAAAAAAAACACUUUUAGGUGCUAAAAGUACUUUAAAUUGUUAUUUUUGUGACUAAAUUUACCAAUUUUAUAUUCAAAUUUACUACUUUACCUUCUUAUCUUACUUUUCAAGUUUCUGAGACUUGAAAACUUGAAUGACCACCAGUUUUUCCAAUGUUUUAUUAUUAAAAUAAUAUUUGCAAAGUGACUUGAUGAUAAGUCACCACAGCAUUAUCCUUUAGUAUUUGGCUCUUCUCUAAUAAAUUAUCUUUUCAUUUCCUAGAAUGCACCUGUGGAUGAAAUACGUGUGUCUUUAUUUACUAAAAAAGACAGGACCAUUUCAAGUUUAACUAAUUUUAAGUCUUGUUAAUAAAUAAAGACGCAUGUCAUACAUUUAAAUAUGUAUUAUAAGAAAUGAAGAGAGAAUUUAGUGGAGAUGAGCCAAAUCCUUAUCCUUUAUAGUGAUCAAACUAGGAAAAUGCACAUGCAUUGCACGUGUAUAGUGAGUAAUUUAUCAUAAAUUGCUUUUCCAAUUAGGUAAAUCACUUAAUGAUUGAUUUAAUUUCUUCUCUUUUCUUUAGUUAUCUCCUAUCUUAGUCGAUCUUGGAUUUGUUCAUGUCCUUUUUUACAGUUGGGAUCCUCGGUGACAUGAAUCCAAUGCCAAUCAGUGCCACCUAUAGUAUUGCGCCACUUGGCCUAUUAUUAUUUGCACUUUAAUUUUUUAAUAAUUCAACUUGGUUUGGUUUAACACAAAUUUUCCCUAUCCUCUAAAACUUUGAACCAAAUUAACCAAUCGGUCUAAUUCCAUUACCAAUACUUUCAUCAUUGAUUACCUUCAACAUCUCCUAUCCACUCUGAUGACAUCCACAUCUUCAGAGUCGUCGUCCUUUAUUUCCACCACCGGCUCCACCAUUCCACGCGGCAUCAUCUUCACUGCUGAUUGCCUCACAGUCAAAGGCACCAAGGACGUCCUUAACAAGCCCUUCUCUUUCGAGCUCUCCAUUGGCAGGGAUACCAUGUACUUCAUGGCUGAGUUUGUAGAAGGAGAAAGAAGAUUGGAUCAACUCCAUCGGAUGCUCAAUUGUGCAGCAUUCCAGGUCCGUUACUGAUUCUGAGGUCAUUGAUUACGAUAGCAAAAGGGCUUAAUUUCUGAUUUUCCAAUGUAAUUUUGGCGUUGCCCUUCUACUUGUAGCCUGGUCCUAGUAUUUACCAAACGUUCUUCCUCACGACAACGCCGUCUACAGAGCUCUCCUUUGCUGCAACUCUGCCCUCUGUAACUUUUCCUAUUGCUGAUUUCCUUCCCAGGUUCUUGUAAUUUCUUUUUUGCCAUUUUCCCCACUCUUUUAUGUGCCCAUUUUCUUGCAGAUGACCCUUUCGGUGAUCCAAAGGUGAUUGGCGACCCCUAUUGCAUGAUUUUUGUGGGCCGUCUUUCCCACUCCACCACUGAAGAAACUCUUCGCCAGGUCCUUUUUUUUUUAUUUAAGUUUCAUUUUCUUGAUUUUCACUUUGUUUUGUUGUUUUUUGGUUAUGGCGUUUUAUUUCAAAAGAUUACUUUUUUGAGCUUAUCUGUUGAAUUGGGGAUAUGGGUCUUGUCUAUUUCUUCAGGCUAUGAGCAUAUAUGGAAGAGUAAAGAACUUGAGAUUAGUCAGACACAUUGGUUAGUUACUAAUUUAUCCACUUAUUUAUACUGUUCAGUUUUUUUUAAUCAACUUUAAUUUCAAUUGUAUUUUCGGUUUUGAGUAUUAUUGUGUUAUAUUUUACUUGUCUGUUUAUGAUUUGUAAAGGAAGUUAUAGUUUUUCUACAAUUAAAUGUGAAGCACCCUAGCAACCAUCAAUCGUUACAAGUAUAUGAUGAUAUAUGGUUUUUCUCGGCCUGGAAUUUUGUCUUUCUUUUCUUCAGUUGCUUGGAAGAAAGUAAGAUGAAAUGCUCCAUUAUUAUAGCUUUGUCAUGUAGCAAAUCUUUUUGCUCACAGUUUGUUGCUUGUAGAAAGAACGAAAGAAAUAGAAGUGUACUUGGUUUUGAAAUUGUAACACGCCAGGGAGAUGUUAAGUAGGUACUUGGUUUUGUAAUGCAGUCUAGUAUCAGUUGUAUAGAGAGAACAAAUGCAAAGGAGAAAUAUAGGGAACCUAUUCUUUUUUUAUCAAUUGUAACACCCUUUCUGUUGCAAUGUAUAGAAUGAUCCUAGUUAAAUCCAUGACUAGAAUUAGUUGAAUGGUGAUGUUAAGUUUGUGAUGUCUUUGUUUAAUCUAUUUGUAAAUAACCUUAAUGUCUUUGGUUUACUUUUCAUAAUUCAGAGGUGGUUGUUGCAUGAAUUUCAAAGUUUUCCUUGACGUAUUCUAAACAUUGUGAAAUCCUUUGUUUUUCACCCUUUCAUUUUUCUUCUGUGGUUUUUGCCUUGCUGGAAGGAACUUGGCUUUUGGUGAUCUCACUGUAGGUAAAACAAAUGAUAGUCGCAACACUUGCUGGAAUAGUUUAGAAUAUAUAACAGCAAAGUUUUGAUAUUUUGCAAUGCAGAAAAAUUGUUAUUAUCUAUAGUUGUUUCUAUAGGGAAUUGGUUCAUGAUGCUCUGUUAACGAUUGCAGUAACUCAUGCCUUACCUUUUAUGCAUCCGCUUCCAGGAAAUUCUUAGAAGUUAUUUGGAACAUUUUCUUGGAGCAAGAAGCUAAUAUAUUAAUCCAUUUUCUGAUUUGGAAAGAUUGACAAAGAAGAGUGGCAUAGCCUUGUUCCAAGACAUCCUUCUCUUUUGAAGAAUAUGACUCUUCAAUAUCUUAAGUGAGUUGUGUUUGUGUUAUCUUUUGUUCUUUAAAUCAUUUUAGGCCCCGUCGAUUUUUAUUUUGGACAGCUUUCAAGAUCUAUGAAGCAGGAACAUGAUAUGUGAAUAAUAGAUGACUUCUUGCCCUUAAUUGAUGAUAGCUUUGAUGACCUAUCUGUAAUUUCUAAGAUUUUUUAUUUGUUCUUUCACAUGAAUUAUAUUCAGUUCUUGCAUAGAUCUUUGAGACAACUUAAUAGUUUGUGAACUGUGUACCGUCACCAUUCUGCAAAUAGACCUAUUGAUUCUGGAGUUUGGGAAAAAGUCAGAAAGUUGGUUUGCCAACAUUUUUAAAUGUUGUAUGCUGUAUGGUCUUCAUUUUCUAGACAUAUGUUUCUUUUCGAAUGCAAUUAACUUGCUACUAGACAAGUAAUGUAUUAAUCUGAGGAAUGAGUUCCCUCACAGGAGAUGCUGCACUAAUUUUCCACAAGGAAAGAUCUAAAGCACCAUGAAGCAAAUGUUGGAGACCUCUUAUUAUGUCUUGCAAAACCUAUUUCUCUAACUGUCUGAUAAAAAAUCAAUCCAAGCACAAAAGAUCAGUUCCCAAAUCUAGAUAGCAAAGCUGCCUCAAAGUAAUAUGAAACAGAGGAAACGAUGGAGAAGUGUCAGUCUUCCUUCUGCUCCUUCUCCUUUGAUUUACUCUUUCUGGACUUUAUGAAGCAGAAACAUAAGCAGCAGGGAAAUUGCAACAAGAACUUUGUCCUGUUGGUUCUUUGUCAGAGCAUAGCAUCUAAGUCAAUUAUGUUUUAUGACACAAGAUAUGUAAGAGUAGACUGCAUUUUCUCGGCGUGAAGUUUUUAUCCCUUUGUUUACUGUAUGCACUCAUAUUCGCUAUUUGCAUGCAAAAUGAACAACGUCAGCUUUUGUUUCAGUUAAAUUGAAGUUCAUGCUAAAUAAUUAAUGUUUUACAGGGAUUAUUAUGCUUGUGUUGUGUCCAUUAUCAGAAUUGAAAAUAUAAACUUAUGUCAAGAGGGGCGAUAGUCGAUGAUACUAUGGUUUCCAAGCCUCUUCACAUUCCACAAUAUCUAAAUGUCUUAUUGAAUUUUGGAAUGGUAACAAAGUGUUCAAAUGAAAGAUCUAAAAACUCAGUACUAGUGUCAAUUGAAACAUAUAUUCUACAUAGAAGAAUGUGCAUUAAUUUUGGGAAGCACGAAAAGUUCCAUUGUCAAUUUCUGUCAAAUUUUCAGGUCUUUUGUCCACUUGAACACUUGCACGAAAUAUCAUUGAUGCAUGGAACUGGACAACCACACCUAUCAUUGCAAUCAACUCCAACUUGUUGUCCCAUAGUGCAAGAGUUGUCAUUCAACUCGAACUGAUUUAUUUUCGCUCCUUCGAAACCAUGUAAUUCUUGUGCCUAUGGUUAGAAUUAUAUCACCAAAAAAUUGAACACAUAAAUAAAGAGAUGAAUAAAAAAAGACAAUAAACAAUCUUUUCUUAAAGAAGUAAUUAUUCAUGAUCACAACUGUAAUAAUUUACCUUGAGCAAGCCGGUCAUGUUCAUGGAACUGAAAGUGCAUAGCUGGCCAUAAUUUUGUUGAUUAACAUCCAAAUUCACAAACUAUCAACCACAAAAGUGAAAAAUAUUCAUGAACUUCAGUAUAAACCAAAACAUAAAAUUUUUAUAAAAUAAUUUUAUGCAAAUAAGAAACUAAAAAAUUACCGGUGUAGGAUGAUAUGGUUGCACAAAGUUGCUUUGUUGAGAUUGCAAAGACUCUAUCAUACUUACUGGCAUAGAAUAACAUGGUUGGAUAAAAGUUUCUUGUUGAUACCGUAAAGAUUCUACCAUGCUCCCCUCAUUUGUAUUUGCCUAAAAAUAAAAAUAAAUAAACACAUUUAUAAAUAGUUUGACAGUAAUAAUACUUAAUUGUUAGUCUACAUAUAAUGUCGAAUCAUUACCUCUUGUAAUCCAUGCUGUUGCAUACUGCACCUCGUAGAUACAAUAUUUAUAGUAUCUCCUAUAGGCUAAUGAAAAGAAAAAACAAAGAUUGGAUGCAUAAUAUAAGAAAAUAUUGAAUUACAAAUAUAGUAAAAUUAUAAUGCAAUAAAACCUCAUUAUGUGAUGGCGCUGGUAACUCCAUAGUUAUACUAUUUUGCAAACUUUUUUUGGUUGAUCUUCUUCUCUUAGUAGCCUUUUCUAGACUACUCUUCAAUCUCUUGCAUGAAAUAGUCUUCAUCUUUUUUUUAAUACCCUUGAUAUUGAUACCACUUGCAUUAGUAGUGUUAUUUGUGGGGUUGGAAACUUUUGCUGCAUUUGACAUCUCAUUGCUCGACCCCUCUUGAUGUAACCUUGCAUCAACCAAAUCCAAUAUUUUCAAAAGGCCUUCUUUAGCAAUUUUAUAAGUUUCUUCUGCUUGAGCAGCUUUUGUGAUCAAUUGAGUAUAUAGUCUACACAAAUCUCUGUAACGCUUCGUAAAAGCCACUUUUGGAUCCAAAUCAUUAUUGAUAUUGCAACAAUUGUUGUCUUUAACAUAUCCAGCUUUUGCUUUAUUGGUCCAUCUCUUUAUUAUGUAUUGACUAGGGAUCUUCAUGAUAUUUCUUAUAUUAAGAACUUUCAGAGAAUGAGAGCAUAAAAUCCCAGAGAAUUCAAACUUCUUGCAACUACAUGAAAUCUGAUCACCUAUUGAAUCAAAUCUAACCAUAUGAUAGUUUUUUCUGCCUUUAGGAGUGAUCUUAUAUUCUGUCACUGUUCCAACCUCACUGUAGGUGAUUAUACCACAAUCAUAAGAUUUACCCCACUCAAUUUCAAACCAUUUGAAUACUUCAAGAGUAUAAACACUUGCAGCAUGUUUCAAAACAUCAACAUCGAAUGGUAGUACUGGAGUACUCAUAUAUGCUCUAAAGUCAGCUUUAAGUUCUUUAUAUCUCUGAUCAUCAACUAACCUCUCAAAAUGAUUGAAAAACUCAUGAAAUUUAUUCUUAUAGGUUACAUACCUUUUUAUCACACUAUUCAUGCUUUCGCUCCUUUGAGUUGUUGUCAUAUCUGCACAAAAUGUUUCCCUUCCAUACACCAAUGCCCAUUUUUCUUUAAUCUCAAACAUACGUUUUAAUCAAUCAUUGUCUUCAAGACCAUAUUUCUUCAACAUAGUAUUCCAUUCAGAUAUAAAGUCUUCUUCUUCAUCAAAAUCAUAUACACAUUUACUGAAAUCAUUCGCAAAUUGUUUAAAACUUUCGAACACAUGACUGAGAUGAAUAGCUGCAUUUUGAAAUAUAUGCCAUAUGCAAAGACAGUGACGUGUUUCAGGCCAUGUAGAAAUUAGUCCUUUAGCCAUUGUUGCGUCCUGAUCCAUAAGUAUAGUAUUUGGUUUUUUUCCUGACAUUGCUCUCGCAAAAGUGUCAAACAACCACUCAAAUGUUGAAGCAGUUUCAUCAUAUAAUAAAGCAGCCCCAAAUAUUGCAGUCUGUUUAUGAUUAUUCACUCCAACAAAUAAUGCAAAUGGACGGCCUUCAUUAUUCUUUCUAUACGUCGUGUCAAAACAAACAACAUCUCCAAAACUUGCAUAAUCUGCCCUCAUUAAUCCGUCAGUCCAAAAAAUAUUUGUAAUCAAAGCAUCCUGAUCCACUUGAAUUGCAUAGAAGAAAUUAGGAUCCUCUAAUUGCAUUUUUUGUAAAUAUUCAAGUAUGCCUCCUGUAUCUCCAACUUCCAUUUGUAUUAUUCAUUUAGAACGUAAAUAAUUCCUGUAAUCCUUAGGAAUGAAACCUAAGUUCUCCCAUCCUCCUACUUGUAGUGCCAUAAGUUCAUGAGAAACUUUUGGUGCUAUACCCACACGGUAUGCCAUAUCAAUUUCAGCUGCAUGAAUAGAAUUUAUCUUUCUAUGUGAUCUGUGUAAAUGACUUUUGUUGGAACUUGAAAGAUAGUGAUUAUGCUCAAUGAUCAACUGACAUAUACGAAACUUACCAGUUUGUCUACUGUUAACCUUCAUCUUCGCCGAACAAUUAAAUCGUGUUUCAGGACGAGGGGCUCUUACAUUGAGAUCUCUUUUAUCCUUUCCUCGUUUUCCUUCAGCACUACAACAAAAUACCCUAUCCAUGAGCUUACCAUUACUAUCUUUGUAGAAGCUACUUCUUUUGAUUCCAAAACCAACUUCCUUUGCAUAUGCUAAGUAAAAAUUAUAAGCAUCUUCUUCACUCUCAAAUUCCAUGCCCAUCUUCGGAAUUAGUUCAAAAGAAAUCAAUGUAUGAAUUUUAUUUAUAUCCUUUAUCACAUUUAAAACUGGUGGAGUGGAAACCUCAUCAUUGGUAAUUUGAUCUACCUUGUCAAAAUCCAAUCUACGACAAGAUGAUACCUCAGUUUCCAUAGAAGCCUUAGCAUCCAUAUCCUGCAACCUUUCAAGAGUCGUGACACAGGCAAGACUUGCUCUAACGCUUGACCCACUGGAAGCUCCUUCUUGUUUUUGCUUUUCCGGGCUUUUUCCUUUCAACAACCCUCAAAUCCCGUGUCAACAAAAACCACCUAAAAAUGACAACUAAGGUCAAAAGCUCCAAAUUUGACAUAUAACGAAACGUGAAAUGCAAGAAGGCAAUGUUUCAGGUCGCAAUAGAACACACAUUUGACGUACAACUAUACAAACAAAAUAAUAGAUUACUUUUGAUUUAAUCAUCAUGUUUUCAAGAUCAGUACAUGCAUGCUUGUACUCCUUAAAAAAAUAGUUGAAUUUUCAAUUCUACUUGUUCACUACUACUACUUGCAACUAGUUAGAAAAGCUAUUGUUACUUCUUGUAUCUUUUUUUUUAAAUUUGGUACAUUAGUAAAAUUUAUAACAAUUCUUGAAAUAAUAAAUAAUUUUUUAAUCCCACAAAGUAACUUAUUUUCCAGGUAUAUUACAAGUAGCGUGUAAGUAGUCAAUUUGACCACUCAAUUAAUAUUUAAUCUUUCCACACUCACAAUUCAAUGUAAAUUUCACUUUAAUGGAAAUUGAAAAUGAAGAUAUAAAAUUGCAUAACAUAAGGUAGGGUGAUAUUGCUUAUGAGUUGUUAAAAUACUUACGAAUUGUUGUCUAUUUCCUAACUUUCUUAAUAUUAAAAAAAUUGAAAUUCGAAAUCAAGAUCAUGGAGCAAAUAGUGAUAUUGAUUUAAUAAAUCAAAGCUGAAAAAACUCAAGACUUAAACCGGAUGCAAGGUUGGAUAAUUACCUGAAUGAUGUGAAAUGUUUUGGUUUGUUCUUUGCUGGAGAAAGCUAGGGAUGGUUGGGCUUUAAUUUGAGUAAUUCCUGAAUCUUUGUAGUCAAUUUGCUUCAAUAGUCGGCGGCUGCAGUUUUAGCUUAUUCGACUACGAUUGAUUGUUCUAAGCCAUCAACGAUAAAAAGGCUUGGACUUUGGAGGCAAUUGUUUAGGGUUUUCUUUUUCUUUUUCCCAAAGCAACCGAUCUUGAGUGGUUGCUGUACAAAAGUAUUGGUAAUGGAAUUAGACCGGUUGGUUAAUUUGGUUCAAAGUUUUAGAGGAUAGAGAAAAUUUGUGUUAAACCAAACCAAGUUGAAUUAUUAAAAAAUUAAAGUGUAAAUAAUAAUAGACCAAGUGGCGCAAUACUAUAGGUGGCACUGGAUUGGCAUUGGAUUCAUGUCACCGAGGAUCUCAAGUGACUUUUUUAGGUCUAUUUAUAGUAUAGUUUAGGAGUAGAUAAAAUGAGUUAUUUUUAAAGCAAUAAGAACCCAUUGCAUUUGAUGAGGAUGUGGCAAGGUGAUGAACUGACAAACAGUUUACUAUCCACACGAAAGAUGGGACUUCUUUCCACCUUAUUUGUUUCCACAUCUUAUUUUUCCUUCUUUCAUUUAGUUGAUAUUGACAAUUACUCAAUAAUGCAUAUUCAAAUACUCAAAAAAUCUAAUAAAGUUGAAGGUAACAUGCACACAAUGGGCUUGUUUAGAUAUGGAUUAUUUGUAAAAAAUUUUAGUUACAUUAUAAAUAUGUUUUUAAUGACAUUUUUAUCUCUUGCACUUCCUUUUUUUCUUACAUAUAUUACAUCAGGAAAAAUAUUAUUGUGAGAACCCGAGAAAAUUUCGAGUAAGCUUUGUACGUAUUAUUUUUAUUUUGCUAUUAGAAAUAAUAAUUGGUCUAUUAAAUGUCUAAAUUUAAAUUUUACAACAAAAUCAAGAAUUUAUAAAUACUUUGUAGUAGUGUAAAAAUGUACAUAACAAAAGUUAGGGGUUCAUGCAAGAGAUUAUAAAGAUUUCAGGCCUUGGAAAGCAAUUAAACUACAAUUUAAAAGACCAAACUAACCCUUCAAUUCAGCAAAUUCACCAUGCGACCAUUAGCUAUCAGAUUAUUUGAAGCAAGAGUGAGUGGAGAGCUUCGGUAUUAGCAAUCACCAACAGAUGAAGCUUUGUGUGAUCAGUCACUUAGUUAUUAUCGACUAAGAGGAACAAAAGAAGAGAAGUGAGAGCGACUGAAACUUCUUUCUCAUCUUCAUUUCCGAAGCUGUGCGAAAGAGUGAGAGUGAAGGAGCAAUUAUGGUGCCUUCCAGCCACAACCGAGUGAGUGAUAAGAGGAGGAAGUCCGGAGUGAUCACCGAGAGAAGGAAUGAGAACCGACAGCAGAAUUCACCAUUUCUUCAUCCUUUUAUCAUCCUAAACCGAGAGCUAAGUGAGUGAAAGAGGAGAAACCAGCUUGCAACUUCAGAUAUCAGCAGCAACUGUGAGGAAAAUAGUUGGAGCAAGAGCUAGAGGAACCAAAACAGAGGAAGUUGGAGUAAUCUGCCAUUAUCGAAUUUAAGGGGAAAAAAGGUAAAGAAAUUCUGUAAUCACCUUUUAUUUACUAGAUAUCAGAGAGUAGAUUGAACGCAUGUUAGUUUAGCAAGGGAAUAACAAGUUUUAACCGAAGGAAAAAUCUGUUAAAGAGGAAAAACUUGGAACAGGAUUGAAGUGCAGGAACCGGGAGUUAUUAUCUAAUGUUGCAGCCUGUGAUUAGUGUAAAACUGGAAACUAAUGGUAGAUUUUGCAUAUAAUACGUUGGUCUCUGUUGUUUGAGAGGUUUAGUUGAAGAAAACUUGGGGAAAAGUUGGAUUUUGGAUGGAAACCAAGGGAAGUUUUCUGCUGCAAAAUUUUCCAGCUUACCCGAGAAAGAAAAUGACAGAUUCUUAACUGUCUUCAUGAUUUUUGGUCUUGAUUAUCUAUGUUAAACUGUAACAUAUGAUGUAUAAGAGCUUGGUCUGAACAUGCAUGAAAGAUUUGAGCAUGAACUGAAGAGAUUAUUAGAGAGAAAAAUUGUGUUAAGAUUGCUGCUAUAAUUCUGGGAAAAAAAUGCCGAGGGAGGAAAACUGAGAGAUGAACCAGUGUUGUUCUGAUUUACCUUGGCUGCCAUUUUGUUUGUUUGCUGAGAGUACUCUGUAGUUUAGUUGUUAUUUUAGCUCGUGAUUUGGAAGUAAACUGAAUGGAUUAGGGGAAAAGCUUUGAACCAUGUAGUUCAUUAUUUCACAGCCGAGAGAGAGGAAAAAAAUAGACUGAUCGGUUUUCUUUUCCUCUAAGUGAGCUGCACCAUCUUUUGUGUUCUGUACAAGGCUCAUUUGUAGUUUAAUAAACGUGGUUAACAUGUCUAGUUGGGAUAAAAACUUGGAAGGAGGAACUUGAGUGAAACGGCAAACAUUGGACCGAUAUGUAUGUUUGCCUGAUAUAUACAUAGCUAAGGGAUUGCUUAAAAGCUGUGGUAGUUAAGACUGAUUUGUGUGCAUAGUUUGCACAAAACAUUGGUUACAAUUAAAUGUUUCUUAUCCUAAUACAUGUUAGAUUAAAUGUAAGUUAAGUAGUUGAUGAUUUAAUCAAGUGAAAAAUGAAGUUAUUGGAUGAAAACUUGAAGUUUUGUUGCUGAAUUUAUGUAGAUAGGUUGUAUGGCAAUGAGUUAAAACUUAUUUGAUAUUUUAGAAAUUCUAAAGUAAUUUGUUAUGGCCGUAUUCAUGAAAUGACUUCUAAUCGCUUAAAAUUGGCUUUCUUAGUAAUUCAAAGACUAUAAAUUGUGAGAGGUGAAGGUUGUGAACUAAGUUAAUUUACAAAUAACUUAAAGUUUAGUUAGCUUAAAAAGGGAGUGGAGUAUCUAUAAGCCAUAAUUAAUAUUGGAUUGAGAAAGUAUAUUGGAUUGAAUGAGUAUACACGUUAAACUUGAAGAUAGGUAUGUUUCAUGGUUUGAAAAUGAUAAAUUUAAUAAGUUUUGAAAAUAAAAGGAUAAAUGUUAAGAAUGUUAAAUUUAUGUAUUAAGGUCAAACUUGAUUUUAAUAGUUUAAAUAAUAUUGUAAAAAUGAUAAGUGAUCACUUACGAAUUAUAAAUUUACCAUUGAAAUUAUUAAUUUGCUCAGGAAGUAGCUGUGAGCCAGGAAACAAACCCAAGACUCGAGAAUAAUUUACUUGGAUAAUUGGUAAGUAUUUUUCGAAUUUAUGUGUUAAACUGCUUAUGUGUACCUAAGUGAAAUUACGUGACAAAUGUGCUUAUUAUGAAUUAUUACUAAAUGAUUCAGUGUAAAGUAUAUCUCACUUGUCCCUCGCCUUCUAAGUCGAGGGUGUACUUUAUCGCACUCGGUUUAGCUCAGUUUGAAGUUGAUAAUUGACUGAAUGUUACUGUAAGUGUGCAUGAAUGUAAGCCAUAUGUGUGCCUCGCCGCAUCGGCUGAACUGGGCCCCAAAACCCUCUGUUCAACGGACUAUUCAAGCCAGCAAAGGGCUUGGUCGGGUAGGACAGUAGCUUUGGGUAAAUGUUUCGGUAUACUCGAGUAUUACCACGAGAUUAGGAGAUCAUUGCACUGAUUAUUGAAUGUAGGGGAUUGUUUAUUGUUUUGGAGGACAUAAGGAGGUGAAUUGGGAGAAAGUUAGUGAUAUUGAAAUGAAUGUAUAAUGACAGUGAAAUGAGUGUCACUUGACACUGAAAUGAAUGUUCAAUGACAUUGAAGUGGCUCUAAUGCGAGCACUGUGACAGCCCACCUCCCCUUAAAGUGGACCAGAGGGUUCGGCGGACCGCCUGUCCAACUCUCGCUAGGGCUACGGAGUCAAAACACUCGUAAACCCUAUGAAACGCGCGAUAGAACCCCAAGAAACCAACAAUCAGAGAUUACUAAGCCGGAAACAUGAUUACCAAACCAUACGGUGAAAUGGAACUUCAACUAAAUGCUUCAACGAAAGUGAAAACGAAGAACGAAAAUGAACAGCCGCGGCCACGUCACAAUCCGGCCGGAUCCAAGGCAGUAGCGAAACCAAAUUUUUCCACCAUCCCCUGCCAAUCCGGCCAAUAAUUGGCCAAAUAUACGGUCGGAUUCCCUAAAAGAUUUUCCCGCCAGAAAUUUUUCUUUCCUCUUUCAAAUGCCGCGGUCGCCCGAUCGUCCAACGAUCACAAGUAAAGUUCACCAAAGCAGUAAAACGUACCAUCUCAUACGAAUACACUCAAUAUACAUGGUUAAACACCUAUAUACAUACAUUGAACAAAUAAAAAUGUGAUAUUUAAGUAAUAUACAAUUAGGGUUUCCAUUACAAAGGAGCUUAACAAAAGAACAUUUACACUAGCUCGACCCUUUCUUCUAAAAUCAUGGUUUCAAAGUUUGCCCCUAUAAGGAAAACAAAGAUAACGGGAAGGGAGCGAGCUUACGCUCAAUAAGGUGCCCAAAACACAAGCAAUCAUGAACCAUGGAGAUUUACUUUCAAUCACUUAAAUAGACACGGCAAAUAAAGAAAUAAAUAAACAUCUUAAAUGGAAAGGAUACAGGUGGCUCUUAGGAGCUAAAUUCCCAUUGCAGUUUUUGAUCCAAACUCGUUGACCCUCCGUCAACGUUUAAUGAAACAAACAUGUCCGUAGACCCCUCUUAGAACACCAAAUCUCGUUCACCAAACAUACCCUUUGCCGGGCCCGAACGCCAAACAGGAACAAGAAUGGGUAAUACUCGAGUAUACCGGGAAUCCAGAGUCUCCAAUAUCCAAAAAUUCUCCAGGAACAGUCCCCAUGGUUUGUCAAUUUCCUUGACCAAUCCCUUGCUGGCUCGAUUCAAUUAACUCCCUAUGAAGUUUUGAGCUCAAAGUUAACAAGGAGGUCGUUGGAUACACCUCCAAACGAUAUCAGGUCAAGCACAAUAACAAUUUUCAGUUUAUACAGUAAACAGUCACCCAGGCAAGAGAACGAAUAAUAGAUUCAAGUAACAGGUACAAGCACAUACAGUGGCUCGACAAAUAAGCAAGAGAGACGAGUGUGAUGAAGUACACCCUCGUCUCGUCCAGAAUUAAGCAGGUGUUACAAUCAUUCAAGUCACAUAUUGCAGAUACAGGUAAAACAGUUAAGCAAUAAGUCAUACGAGUGGUACACUCACCAGUUCAAGUAAGGAUAACUUCAAAAGUUUUCUCCCAAGAAAUGCCCUUGACCGCCGACACGUCCUUAUAACCACAAGAAAGAUGGUAGCUUAGGAUUCUUCCUCCCAAAUUUACUCCACAACCACCUUGGAAACUACUUUAGCUAGCACUUUUAUGGAGUGAUUUGCAAAAGUUAUGGUUGGAACUCAAAAUUUGAGCAAGAAAUUGAAGUGGAAAUGAACUCUCUCCCUUGGUUUUUCUCCUCACCAAAUUCGGCCAAGACUCGUGAAAAUGAGAAGGAAUUUUGGUCAAAAUUAGGUUUUAGUAAAGGCAAGAAAGGUUGGUCAAGUCCAACUUUGAAUAGGGCCGCGACACAUGGCACCUUUAAGGUUUUGUUCUAAUCUUCUUGUCUUCCAAGGCUAAUCUAUCUAACUAACCUCUAAUUAUCUCCUAACACCUUAUAAAAUAUAAUAUCCCUUUAUGCAAAACAUCACUUAACUUAAUCGUUAAAAUUUCAUCGCACUAACCACACUAGCGGGUCCCAUGUCCUUAUUACACUUCUAAGUUAACUCGAACUAAUUUAUACUAGAAAAAUGUUUUAAAAACUAUGUUCACUUAUAAAAUGUCUAGAGAAUUAAGGUAGUAAAAUAAAAUAAAGAAAAUGCAUGAAGAGAAAUAGAAUAAAAUGAUAUAAAAUAAGGGAAUUUUACGGGUCCUCAAAAGCACCGUAUCCUUUUAAAAAGUGAUUGUUUAGUGAAGUGUUUCCUCAAUUGCUUAAUGAGAGUAAUUGUACCGUGAAAUGUGUACUACUUGCUUAAUUAUACUGAUUUAAGUGCUUAUUGAUUGUUGCUUGCAUGGAAACCUCACGGACGAAAGCUCACCGUUUUAGUUUUGUUUUCCUUACAGGAGUUGGAGAUUGAAGAGUGAUUGGAUUGAACUAGAAAGUUAUUUUGGGAAGAUCCGUUACUCUGUGUAUAUAGUGUAGUCAUGGUUUCUUUUGAAUUUUGAGGCGGUUGAAUCUUUUGUUUGAGUUGGUGUGAUAUUAAGAAUAGAUAUUUAGAAAAGGUAUUUUGUUUCUUUUAUAGGACAAAUUUAUGUUUCAAACUGAUUGGAAAUGUAUUUAAGAGUGAAUGUUCAGUUGUCCAAUGGUAAUGUUAUCUCUGAAGUUAAUGUAAGUGAGUGAGCCCUGGCGAGAGCCAGGCAGGCGAUCCACUAACUUUUAGGGUAUGCCUUAGGAGAAGGUGGUGUCGUCACAAUUAUAGCAUUAAAAUAAAAUAUAUGACAAUAUACAGGUAGAGAUUUGUAAUAAUAGAAAUCUUGUUUGAGUUAAUAAAUAUUUUACUUUGACUCUAUAGAUAUACAUCCCCCUACUUUUAAACUGUACACACUUCGAGAUUUGCUUCUAGUUUGCAACAACAAAGGAUAAUUUUGUUUAUUUUUCAUUCUUGUGACACGUAAUGUGAAGAACGUCUCGUACAAAAUUGUUUUAUUCUAUUCUUGUAUGUUUAGGUACCUUGACAAAGUUAUUUUAUUUAUGCAUGUAAGUCUAUUCUUUGUUGCGAAUAUUUUCUCACCAAUUUUUGUGGCUUCACUUGUCUAUUUCUUAGAUUUUCCUCAACCACUUGAUCAGCAUAUACUUUAUGAAAACUCUUUUGGACUGAUUAUUUAUUUAGUACCACAAAUGAUCAUCCAUUUCAAGAAAUGAAGCACUAUCAUCCAGGCAUGGUGAUAUGUUUCUUUUCGUCAUUCUUUCUCGCUUGACUUUUCCUGAGAGUAGAAAUUCGUGUUUUCUAUUUUUCCUAGUAGUUUUAGUUUCAAAUUUUUGCUUAAAAGAAAAAAAUUAUGAGCUACAAUUAAGAACAUACUACAUUAAUCAAAAGAUCUAACUAAGUGAACUAAAAAACAGCAAACUGUAAUGACUAAAUUACCCAAAAAUUGAUAAACAAAUUAAAAAAAAAAGAUUUUGUCAGUAAAGAAGAGAGAGAAAGGCCAAAUCUCAAGUCCAUUCUUUCACCAUUUCAACCAAGAGUGUCAAAUUUGGCUUCCAAAAAGCAUUGAAGUACUCCCUUUGACUAAAAUGAAUAAGAUAUUCAGGUUCCUGAUUUUCCGCUAAUCUACUCGAACUAUGGCAAUAUAAUUUGAUAAGCCUAAACAAAGUUAUAAACGUCACAGGUAACAACUUUUGUGGAGCUUGAUAUUUGCGUAACAUGUUGCGAAAAGUCACCGCAGUGAGAUUUAAAAUCAUUAUUACCGCUGAGCUUUCCUGGUAUCACAAUGUUUCUACCCCGCACGUGGCUUGAAUCUGUUGCCGGCGUUGUGCAGGAUAGACUUUUUUUUGGGCCACUGUAGCCCCGUGACCAAGCGCUAUUGGUCUUCACAUUGACGUUCCACCGGAGCCCAUUUUUCCUUUUGGCUCUUUAGAAAUUACAGGUGAAAUUUGUGUCAUCAGGUAAUAUGUCUAUUAAAUCACUGGGCUUGGUUCAGUUGCCACCAGUGAGGGUCUAAGUUCCUCAUUGGAUUGCAGGUUUGAACUUAAAUUCCACCUGCAGCAAAAAAUAUCCAAAAGUUGUGUCAAAAUACUCUCUUGAUCUAAUAAGGUCUGUGUGCCUGCUAGUCCCAAACACAAUCUCUUUAGCCCAUUUUUCCUUUUGGCUCUUUAGAAAUUAUAGGUGAAAUUUGUGUCAUCAGGUAAUAUGUCUAUUAAAUCACUGGGCUUGGUUCAGUUGCCACCAGUGAGGGUCUAAGUUCCUCAUUGGAUUGCAGGUUUGAACUUAAAUUCCACCUGCAGCAAAAAAUAUCCAAAAGUUGUGUCAAAAUACUCUCUUGAUCUAAUAAGGUCUGUGUGCCUGCUAGUCCCAAACACAAUCUCUUUAGGCUUCCUCUCCCCUGUAGUUUAGGAUAGAUAGAUUAUACAAUAGUUAUCAUUCCGGAAAACAAAUGAUAAUAUGUCUGUUAACCACUAAGCCAAUGAGUUAAGAGUUCAAUGGUUACCAAAAUGGGAUUAAAGUCAUUUUUUGAGUUGUAGAUCAGGGUUCGAAUCCUAUUUGCAGUAAAAAAAAUUUAAAAAAGGUGUCAUAACACCCUUUUGAUCUAAUAGAUUCUUAUACUUAUUAACCCCUUAUACAUAAUCUCUUUAGGCUCCUUUUCCCCAUAAAUUAAGAUAGAUUAUGUUAUAAAAAUAUUAUUAUUGCCAUAAAAAAAAGGGUAAUAUGUCUAUCGCCAAUGGUUAAUAAUCUCUUUAGGCUCCUUUUCUCCAUAAAUUAAGAUAGAUUAUGUAUAAAAAUAUUAUUAUUAUAAAAAAAAAAAGGUAAUAUGUCUAUCGCCAACAAUCUUACAGCGCGUCCUUGUCAGAGCUUGAGCUCUCCAUCUAUUUAAGCAGCUCCAAUCCGAGAUUCCUUCAUAGCAAACAACAGCAAUUUUAGCUACUCUCUUCGCCUUUUCUCCCUACAUUUCCAGUACACUAACCAAGGACCAUGUUGUUUGCUUGUGCUAUUAUUGCUCUCAUUAUUGUGCUUUUCAGCCACUGGGUAUAUAGGUGGAGAAACCCCAAGUGCAACGGGGUAUUACCACCAGGUUCGAUGGGACUGCCAAUUAUAGGAGAAACAAUUCAGUACUUCACCCCUUAUGCAUCAGAUGAUAUUCCACCAUUCGUACAAAAAAGAGCGGCUAAGUAUGUCUAUCUCCUUUUAUUUUACCUCUUAUUUUUUUCAUACUCUUCUCAUUUCUAACUAUCCGAUACAAAAUUCGAAUCUUGAACUAGACUAUGAAGAAAACUCUAAUAACCUCUCCUAAUCAUUGGAUCAACCUCAGUACUCCAGUGGUUGUCUAACCACUUCUUAACCAGCUAUCACAUAUAAAUUUUAACAAUAUUACAGCAGUAACAGUUAAGGAUAUUUUAUCUUAACUAGCUUUUCUUUGUUUCUUUUUUUUUUUUUUGGGAAUUUUCAGGUACGGGCCAAUUUUUCGCACGAGUAUAGUUGGGGAGCCAAUCAUUGUAUCGACUGAUGCUGACGUCAACUACCGGGUCUUCCAGCAAGAAGGUAAUGCUUUCCAAAUUUGGUAUACUCAGAGUCUCUUCCAGAUAAUUGGGAAACAAAGUGUAGUUGCCCAUCAUGGAGACUUCCACAAGUACCUCAAGAGCUUAACGUUCAAGUUUGUUAGCCCCGAAGCCUUAAGAGAGAAGCUAAUAUAUGAAAUGGAUGAGAGCACUCAAGAAUCUCUAAGAUCUUGGAGUAAACUUGGAAAAUUAGAUGCUAAAGAUGGAACUGCAGAGGUAAAUUCAUUAGCAUCCUACUAUUUGAUUAUAUUAAUCAGGACGAAUUCGGACUAUACAUACAGAGCAUUGCUGAAAAGUAGUAAUUAACAAUCUCAUUUUCUCCAGUUGGUAUUUAAAUAUGCUGCCAAGAAGAUGCUUGGCUAUGAAGAAAGCAAGGAUCAGCAAAAAUUGAGAGACAGUUAUAAGGCAUUCAUGGAUGGCUUGAUCUCGUUUCCUCUCAACAUCCCUGGAACACCAUUCCAUGCUUGCUUACAAGUAAUCAAUUGUUAUUGUUGUUGUUCGUCAUUUGGAAUUAUUUUUACAUUGAAAGAUCGAUGUUCACUAUACCUACAAGAAAAAAAAACAUAUUCAUUAUAAAUAUAUGACUAAGUAAAAUAUAUAUGCUUUCAUAUAUGCUGUAUCAGAUUGAACGAACGAUAUGAUUUUCAUUUUCCAGGGACGCAAGAAAGCAAUGAAGGUCAUCCACGACAUCUUUGAGAAGAAGCGCUCAGGCAAUGAUGCAGCUGCGAAUGACUAUGACUUUGCGGACCAUUUACUCGAGGAAAUAAAGAAAGAAGACACUUUUUUGAAUGAAGAAAUUGCGAGGGACCUGGUAUUUUUGUUUCUGUUUGCUGCCCAUGAAACGACUUCAACAGCUUUGACUGUGGCCUUGAGGUAUCUAGAUGGCCAUCCACGGGUUAUGGCUGAACUAAAGGUCCGUGACUUUCCGAAACAAUUUCUCCCGUUGUCAUCUGUAUUUACCCUUUAAUUCUCCAAUUCUUGUGCAAGUUCAAUACUUAAAUGAUUAAUAUUCUAUAUAUACUGACAAUAUACAUUAUUAUAAUUGAAUGUUUACACUAACAGAAUAUGUAAGAUUACUUCAUACUUAAACAGUCAAUCGUUUUUGUAGAGAGAGCAUGAAAAUAUUCUUAAACUGCGAGAAACAAAAGAUUCUGCUGUUUCAUGGAAAGAGUACAAAUCUAUGACUUUCACGCACAUGGUACGUUUCAAUUAACUAGACUUUUCAUUGUAUCUAUCAUUUGAAUCAUAUAGUGAGCUAGACCAUUUACAUCUUAAGUUUUGUUGUCUACUGUAGGUUAUAAAUGAAACAGUUAGGCUUGCAAAUAUUGCCCCUGGGAUUUUGCGCAAAGUUGUCAAGGAAGUUGAAGUAAAAGGUAUACUUCAAUCUGUCACUUGGCAUCUUCUUGAAAAUCAUUUGUCACACUUUCUUUAUUUGGACCGAUGAUGCCUUUCUCCUGCAGGAAAAAGAAAAAAGAAAAACUCUCUUUAGUAACUACAUGGGUUGGGCAUUUUUUUCAUGGGAGUAAAUAUACAGAAAAUAAAUGAUAUGUUUCCUUUGUUCUUCUUUUCCUCCAUUAUAAACUUACAGUUCCGACUAAUAAGUGCGAAUGAUUUGCAGGUUAUACAAUUCCUGCUGGCUGGACGAUAAUGGUUUGUCCACCAUCUGUUCAUUUGGAUCCUAAUCUAUAUGAAAACCCCCUUGAAUUUAAUCCAUGGCGAUGGGAGGUAAUUUGAUCAUCGACAAAUUUGAGUAAUUUACGCACAAAAAAGAUAAACUUACAGAACAAAAGUUAAAUAAAAUCAAGUAAAAAUAAUUCAGGUUUUUUCUGCUGUUUUUCCAAUCAAAAGGGCAAAGAAUUACAUGCGGGAUCAAAAAGUUUCAUGGCAUUUGCUGGUGGUACGAGGCUUUGUGUUGGUGCUGACUAUGCAAAGGUGCAGAUGUCAAUUUUUCUGCAUUACUUGGUCACAAAAUACACGUAAGGAUUUCCAAAUCACAAUUCCCACCAUCUUCGCUUAAAUGCAUAUAGAAGAAGCUAAUUCCUAUAUAUUAUAAAUUGAUGUCUACUUAACUUCUUUGGUUUUUUAAUAUGCAUGAUUGCAAGAAGAAAGUGAUAACUGAUCAAAAAGCUUGUCUAAUUUGAAUUUUCAGCUGGAGAGUUAUCAACGGAGCAGAGAGAAUCCGGACACCUACUGGUAUUCGUUUUCCCAAGGGAUUGAAUAUUGAGAUUUCAGAGAACAAAUAGAUUUUAAACCGGGCAUGCACAAAUAAAGCUUGUACUUUCAGAAGCAUAUUUAUGAUGCAGUAAUUUACUAUCAUAUUGUAAUUUUACCUUCCAGCUGAGUUUCACUACAAUGUAAUAUUGUAAGUGUCCUAAUAAACAACAUUUUAAGUGGUGUCUUUCUUGACACUAUUGUAAUUAUUGAAGAUUUUAUAAUAGUUGCAGUUUGAGUUUCGACUAAUUAUUUUUCUUCACUAAAUCAAUACAAUGAUCUUAUGUACGAGGACAAUCUUAGAUAUAUACCAAGUCCUAGAUUGUUGUGAUCUUCAUUAUUUAAUAACUGUUACGUAUUACAAAAGUUUUUGUUUAGAUAAUAGUAUGUGAACUCAUAAAAAGAUUCAUGCAUUGAACUUUUACAGAGUGUCUCAGGAGUAAAUGAGUAAAUGGAGAAAUUAAAUAGAAAUAUAUCAUCUAAUUUAUAUAAAUCACAAAUAAUUUGGAACAAUCCAACAAAGAAAGUAUGGCGAUACCAUUGGUAAGAAUGGUAUGGGACGUUCCCAUCGUAGGAACGUCAAUCUGGUGCCAGUUUAGCACGACACGUAGCUUCAACGCAUGUGCUGCUCCCAAAACUCCCCACAAAUUCCAAAGGAAUCUCGUGUACGGGAUUCCGGCAAGUUGAUAUGAACAAAUAAAAGAAUAAAAAAAUUCUCUUGGGCCACACCUCAUAAUCUGAUUUUGAUGGACAUGACGCUGGGGAUAGUCAUAAUUUACCGCACUAAAAUUUUGCCGCUUUAGUUGUUCUAAUCAAGGCUGGCAAAUUACGAAAACAACAUUUCUUUUAAGUAUCGUUUCGUCAUUAAGACAAUCAAUCAUGUGAUAUAAUAUGGCAUCGCUUUUGUAAUAUAAUUUAUACUCCUUCCGUUCAAUCAUUUUAAAAUAUUUCCAAAUAUUUAUCAUAUUUUAAUCUUUCUUUUUAAUAUAAGUUUUCUUUCUAAUCACGUACAUGUUACUAUUCAAACUAGUGUGAAUACCCGUGCUAUGCACGGUGCUGACAUUAUUGAAAAAAAUGAAUAUAAAAGGGUGAAUAAAAAAAGGUUAAAAAUUUGUGCCAAUACAAUUAAAAUAUAAUAUCUGUCUAACAAUAAUUUGAAAUAUAAUAGAAUGUGUAUCAUUCAAGUACUGCCUUUUUUCAGAAGAUGGAUUCUGAAAAAAUAAUAAAAAUUUAUAUUAGAAAAUGAAUAAUAUAUGAAUAAAAAUGAAUGUAAUUGAAUGUUGUUAAAAUGAAAUACUUACAAAUAUUAUGCAUUCGAUUUGAUAAUCUUGCAUGAAGAUGCGAACACUCUUCACACCAAUCAACUUUUAGUGCGAAAGCGAAAAUUAGUGAUUUAAUUAAUUCUAUUGAAUUUUGUGGAGUGCGUACUACAAAUGAAAAUGCAGGAUCUUUGCAUGAAUUGAUUCGUUGGUUGAACAAUCUAUCACAAUUUUCCUGAGAAUUAAGUACGUACGAAAUUCAAAAUUAAUGUAUUUUUUUUACAUAGUAUAUAAAUAGCAUUAUAAAAAAUAUAUAUAUAUAUAUCAAGAAAUUCUACAUUCCUUUGUAAUUCUCUGAGAUAAAAAGCAUCACAACCAAAUACGAAUCGUACAUGUCUGUCUUGUAGAUUAAGAUACAUGUUACCACUGAAAUCUCUUAUUUGUAUGUUAACAUUAUAUCUGUUUCAAAAAUAAAAUGUUAUAUGCAAUACAGAAAAAUAUGUUGAAAUUAAAGAUACAUGAAAUUAAUUACUUAACAACAGUGUCGACCACGUCAUUACAAUGCAUACACACUGUUUUUGAAAAAUGACCUUCACAUAGUUGUCCACAAUUUUUGCAUAGCCCAUAAAACAUGUACGUUUCAUUUUCUAAACCAAAUGUCUUCCCCUUUGUUAUCUUGCGAGUUUAAAAUUUAGCUGGCGUUAAAAUGUUUGUAGGCGGGCAUGUUCCAUAGUGAUAUUAGGUUAAAGGCUAAGAUGGAUACCAUAAAAAAGUUAAAGGAGGUAAUAAGUUAUUGGGGAAAACGCAAGAAAGAUCUCCUAAUUGGAGUGAGCACGCAAGAAAGUUGAAUGAGAAUACUAUGUUUUGGAGAACUUUUAAUUGGAGUGGAAUUCUUAAAUUAGAGAACUCUUAAAUUGGAGAACUCUUAAUUGGAGUAAAAAGUGGGGGAAAUGUUGAGAAAAUGUGAGCAUGAUUAUAGGAUUUUUAAGAGCGGUUAUAGGAUUAGUUAAGAAAUAAAACAUUUCUUAAAUUAGAGAACUCUUAACUGGAGUGGGAAACAUGGGGGAAAUGUGGAGCAUUGCAAGUUACGGCAACGUGCCAGUGGCAUCUAGUUCUAAUUUUUUUUGGGUCAAAAUCUAGUCCUAAUUGGUUCUACUGUUUCUUGAUCAUGUUGUAUGCUUCCGAAUUCUACUUAGCGUUUAAUAAUUGAUAAUGGCUUAUUCUAUUGUUUCAUGGUAUUGGACAGGCAAAAACCACACCAGAAGUAUGGUAAAUUUACUAUAAACUCCUAAUAUUAUCUACCCUAAUUUUUGUAUACUUUUUAAAAAAUUUAAACUUUUGUCAACAAUAGGAUGGUCACGCAAAUUUAAAAAAAAAAGGACUGGUCACACGUCUCAUUCUUUGCCCUAAAAAACUCAAUUCAACAAAUUUCUUAGAAUAAUGGUGAAAAAAUCAUAACAAUGGAGGAACCUGGGUUUGUUUCUUUUUUUUUUUAGGAUCUGAAACAACCAUGUUCAUUUUGAAAAUAUAAAUAAAUUGGCCAUCUUACGUUCAUUAAGAGAGAGACAAUUUUUUGGUCACUGCACAUGGAUGUCCAGCCAUCCUAAAGGGAAAAAAAUCAAUGGUUCUGUUCUUGCGAUUUUUUUUAGGGUUUAAUAUAGUAAGCCCCUUAACUUUACAUUUAGUUGCACUUUACCCCCUCAACUUUACAAUUAGUUGCACAUUUGUGAAGUAGAUAGUGGGAAAGUUUUAAAUUUUAAAUUUGACUGGUGAUAGAGUUGGUUAUAACGUUACAUUUAGUUACACUUUACCCCCUCAACUUUACAUUUAGUUGCACAUUUGUGAUUUUUUUGAAACAUGAUUGUAAUUUGCAAAGCUCAUUUGUAGGGGUGGUUAUAGGAUUAGUUUAGUGAUAAAUAUUUCUUAAUUAUUAAACUGUAAAAUUGUAUUAAAAUAACAUACAAAUGAGCAUUUGUCUUUAAUUAAGGAGUAAAAAGAAUUUAAAGUAUAAAUAACAAACUAUAAACGAUUUAUGAUGUAGAUAGUGGGAAAGUUUUAAAUUUUAAAUUUGUCUGGUGAUAGGGUUGGCUAUAACCCACUACUUUUUAUAUAUUAAAAUAAAUUCAAAAAUCCAGAAAAAAGAAUGAAAAGUUUGGAAGCCAUUGAAAGGGUCACUCCUAAAAAUCCAUUCUGCAAUACAUAUAGAUAUAGAUUUAAAAUUUAAAUUUGUCUGAUAAAAUUAAAAAAAAUAGUACAAACAUCACAAUUAAACUACUAUUUUUAAAAUAUUGGAUUCUCCGAACAUGAUUAAAUAAUUGAGAUGAAUGAAGUAUAUAUAUAUAUAUAUAAAUAUAUAAAUAAUUAAAAAUAUAAAAAAAUAAUUAAAAAACAUAUUCAUAACGCAAGUUAAAUAAUAUUUCAAAUAAUUUUAUAUUCAAACACAGCCAUCUAUUAAUUAUGAUUGCUUUUAUAAAGAUAAGGAAAAUAAAAAAGUAGGCCCGUGCAUUCGUAAAUCUUAUCAAAGCAACUUUGGAGUAAACUGCCAAAGGUACAGGCAGCAGCACUACGUGAUGUUCACAUUUGUAUUAUAUGAUUUGAAGGAAGACAGCAACAUGGCAGGAAGGGAUUGGCAGGUUUGUCACGCCUUUCCAACGACUAGUCUUAGGCAUCUGUUUAGGAAAGCUGACGAAAGAAGACUUUUAUAUUAAACAUUUAUAAAUUUGUUGAAAAUGAUUGCAAGGACUUCUCUAGAAAGUCUGCUUAAUAUAGAUAGAUAUAUAUAUAUAUAUAUAUAUAUAUAUAUAUACAGCAACAUGGCAGGAAAGGAUGGGCAGGUUUGUCCAACCUUUCCAACGACUAGUCUUAGGCAUCUGUUUAGGAAGGCUGACGAAAGAAGACUUUUAUAUUAAACAUUUCUAAAUUUGUUGAAAAUGAUUGCAAGGACGUCUCUAGAAAGACUGCUUAAUCUAUAUACAUAUAUAAUAAAAGCGGGAGUUGGCAAAUGAAUAGUGCCAUUUUGGUCAAGCAGCUAUGCCGUUAUUUUUGUGACUUUGAGGGGCGUUUUGAUCUUUUGGAAUUGGAUGGCAAUGGCUCUGCUGGAAAUUGAUCUUUGGUCAAGCGGUUAUUCGAUAAUUAUGGACAACUUUGUUGGCUUUUGUAUUUGUCCUUCAUGUGUGUGUUUGGUUUCUCCAAGUGAACCGCACAAAGCUCCUACUUUUCCUCCCAAGUCACACCUGUUCCCACUUGAAACUCCUAAACGGAGUUGCUUCGGUCUUUUAUCUUCUCCAACUGAAUUAAGCAUACAGGGAUUCUUUCUUUUAAUCUUUUCUUUAUUUUCUUUAUUAGAAAAUUUUUAGUGCCCUUAUUUUUAUUAUUAUAGUUUUCAUUCUAUUUAUAUGUGCGUGCUAAGCCAUUUUUAGUGCCCUUAUUUUUAUUAUUAUAGUUUUCAUUCUAUUUAUAUGUGUGUGCUAAUUUAUGAGCUUAUUUUCUCUUUAUAAAAGAUAAUAUCUAACAAUAUAAAAGGGAAGAAUUGGGUUAUGAAUAGUGCCUUUUGGUCAAGCGAUUAUGCUGCAAUUAUUGUUGGAUGUGGAGGCUAUUUUUGUCAAUUGGCUAUUUUGGCUAUUUCCCGUUGGUGGUUUACUUUGUGAGGCAGUAAAUAAAAGUUCUGUGUGUGCCUCUUUUUCUAUGCAAUUUAUUACUCGUUGCAUUGGGUGGAGUAGUUGUCUACCAUGUUGACAAGAAGCUUCUAAUUGCAUGAUUCCCAAAAAUUGAAUCGAAAAAAAAUAGAAGUCCAACAUUGUCAUCACAGGUAACGAAAAUUGGCUAACGUGUCAAGAUUUGGAAUUAAAAAUGGUUUUUAAUCCUUCUACUAUUUAAGACACACAAUUAUAAAAAAAAAAUAUUAGUCUAUAUAUCCAUAUUAAAUGUAUGUAAUUAUUACAAAUUUUUUGAUGUCCUUAUCUUUAUUGUUAUUUUUCCAUUCUAUAAACAUAAAAUUAUUUCCGCCCUGUAUGUGAGUUAGAUUGUUAACUUACUUCCUUUUUAAAAGAAUUAAUUUCUUAUUUUACUAACAUAUUCGUAUUUAAUAUAUAUAAUUAUUAUAAAUUUUUUAACACAUUCAUUUUUCCCAAUGACUCUAAACUGAAAAGCAAUAUGGUGUGCUAUUUUUUUAUUAUUUUAGUCAAACAUGUAACAUUAAUUAGAUUGUUUCUUACAUUAAAAAACUAAAGGACUCUAAAUUUCAAAAAAAUAUAAUAUAAUUAUAUAUAUAAUACAAAAGGGAGAGUUGCCCUAUGAAUUGUAUUUUUGGUCAAGUGGUUAUUCUGCAAUUAUCUAACAAUAUAUAAAAGGGAGAGUUGCCCUAUGAGUAGUGUUUUUUUGUCAAGUGGUUAUCCUGCAAUUGUUAUUGGAUGUCGGGGCUGUUUUCAUCAAAUUGCCUGUUCUGUUUGUUUAAAGCAGGUAUAGUUUUGGUGCAUUUACGGGACAUAUUGAUCGAAUUGGUAAUUGGUGGUGUAAAAAGUGAAACUUUUGAAAGUUGGUUUUUUUGUGGUCAAUUAUUUGAUUUUAAAGUGUCCUGUAAAUGCAAAAUUACUUAGGAAAGAAUUGAUAAAUUAUUGCUAGCUUUAGUGACUUUAAAAAUGGCCUUUAUUACUGUAACAUGAAAUAAAAUUGUUAAAUGUUCUGUAAAUGCACAAUUAUUGAGGAAACAAUUAAUAAAUUAUUCUUGGCUUGACAUGAAAUAAAAUUGUUAAGUGUUUUGUAAAUGCACAAUUAUUGAGGAAACAAUUAAUAAACCAUUGCUGGCUUUAGUAACUUUAAAAAAUGGGUUUUAUUACUGUGACAUGUGGUGAUUAAUUUUAAUAAUGCCAAGUUCUAUGGUUUAAGUGCUUAAUUGACUUGCUAGGUCCCCUCUUUUUUGUGUCAACAAUAAUCAAUACUUUUUUAGGAAUGAUUCACUUUAUAAUUUUCUAAUUAUCUUAAUUCAAAUGCAAAAUAACCUUAUACAAUUUUUUAAUUUACGCUUAUGCAUUCUAUAUAAGCGCCCUCAUGCAUUCUAUAUAUUAUUGUUCUCAUGUAUUCUAUAUAUUUCAUAAUUGUCAACCUUUAAUAAAAACGAUAAUUCUCUAAUGAUCUGCAUGAAUUAGAUAAUAACAUAGAUAUAUACUAAUAAACCCACACAAUAAAAAAUAGUUAACACGGGAAAUAUUAGUCCACCUGCGCAACGCGCAGGCCGUCUCACUAGUUUAAUGUAAUGAUUAUCUUUCAUCAACGAUUGCAAGUAUUUUUCUACAAAUUCUACUUAAUUUAAUGUAAUGAUUAUCUUUCAUACCGACAAAACAAAGAAAGAUCCAUGUGCUGAAAUCUAUUACAGGACCCAUAACGUCAACACGUCAACGGUUACGAAGAGCCCAAUCCUUUGUUUAAUUGAAUGUGUAAUGAUUAAUUAAUUCAAUUUAGUUCUAGAUAUGUAAUGAUUAUCUUUCAUAUUGAUGAAAAAAUGAUUUGGAGAAAAUUCUAUUGCGAGACCCACAACUACGACGCGCAAACGAUUAUGAAGCGCCCAAUCCUUUGUUUAAUUUAAGGUAAUGUAAUAUAUAUAUAUAUAUAUAGUAAUUAUUAUUAGGAUUCAAACGCGGAAUAAACAACUAUUGAGAUAUCAUAUCGACAACAAUUUAAUUAGGAACAAGCCACAAGCAUGAAAGAUAAACGACACACAAUAUUUAACGUGGUUCGACUCCACCAUUAAAUCUACGUCCACGGAGAGAAAUCAGUUCUUUAUUAUGAGAGGCAAAUCCUAUACAAAAAUACAUCUUGAACCCAAAUCCAAACCUUGUAUACCAUCUCUCAUCUCCCAAGAAUCCUCUCUCACCCUAUAUAUAAGGCUACAUGUCACCUCUUAUAUGCCCUUGUGUGUCUCUUGUGUAGUAUGUCAACCCAUCUAUUUAUAGGAAACAUUAUUUGGCCAAAAAUCCAAAUAACAAUAGGAAACCAAUUCUAAUUCUUAGACUUAUACAGAAUAGGAAAUAACUUCUAAUUUUAAACAAAAUAGAAUGUUCCUUGGCUACUACUUCAAGUAACUAAAAUCAAUUAAGAAACUAGUUACUUUCACAUAAAACAAGAAUCCUACCUAAAAAAAUUAAGCCAAUUUCCUAACAAAUCUCCACCUUGGCGAAAAUUUCUUUUAGCAACUAUUUGCCUUCAACUACCAAAUAAUAUGGUACCAAACUACACACUCGAAUCAAUACAGUCCUGAUACCAAAUUGAUUCAAUUGGCAAAUGAACAUGUGUAAUUGCCCCGAGUCUAACCUCCUGUUGACUCGCGAGAAGGUGCCUCAAUUCACCAUCUCCCUUUGCAGGAUUUUUUCUCACCACCACUUGCAAUCCUGGAUUCCCUUUUGUGAGACCCUAACCAUUGAGGUAACCAAGUGGUAAAAUCAACAUAUUUCUUCAUAUCCUCAAAACUGUCUCACCACGUAUGGUUUCCAAAACUCCACCUAAAACGAAAAACUCGUAACUUUCAGAGUCUUCUGGCGCAUGAAAAUUUUAUUUCCUUAUUUCUUUGGGACACGUGCCAUACUACCUCAAAAACAUAACCAAAAUCUAAAAACCACCGGGAUGAAGUAUUGACCAUUGGAGAUGUGAAAAAGUCUCCAACAAUUCAUGUCUGAAAUCAACAUUGGACUCCACCUUUUCCUUGACCCUUGAAUCACCUGCCUAGAUUCACCGUCAAAUAUCUUCAUACUUUUCGACUUCCUAUCCUUCACUAUCAAUGCUUUUUGCUAAGCCAUUAAAACAAGGAUACCACUCAUUAAAUUAUUCAAUUAGUAACAGCUACCAAUCCACUUGAUCUCAAUAGUUAACUAGGAUCCAACCACGAAUUUUGCUCAUUGACUAGUCUCGCAAUCUGAAACUCUCAUACCACUUGUUAGGAUCCAAGCGCAGAAUACACAACUAUUGAAAUAUCAAGUCGACAACAAUUUAAUGAGGAACAAGCCACAAGCAUGAAAGAUAAAUGACACACAAUAUUUAACGUGGUUCGGCUCCACCAUUGAGCAUAUAUCCACAGACAGAAAUUCGUUCUUUAUUAUGAGAGAAAAAUCCUAUACAAGAAUACAUUUUGAAUCCAAAUCCAACCCUCGUAUACCAUCUCUCAUCUCCCAAGAAUCUUCUCUCACCCCAUGUAUAAGGCUACAUGUCGCCUUUUAUAUGCCCUUGUGCGUCUCUUGUGUAGCAUGCGGACCCAUCUAUUUAUAGAGAAUAUUAUUUGACCAAAAACUCAAAUAACAAUAGAAAACUAAUUCCAAUUCCUAGACUUAUACAAAAUAAGAAAUAAUUUCUAAUUCUAAACAAAAUAGAAUAUUCCUUGGCUAUUACUUCAAGUAACUAAAACCAAUUAGAAAACUAAUUACUUUCACACAAAACAAGAAUCCUACCUAAAAGAAAUUAAACCAAUUUCCUAACAAUUAUUUUAAUUAGAAUUAUUUCUCACUCUUACGUUACAUGCCUAAUUGAAAAAAAUUAAUGAGUUAUGGGUCAUUUGAGUUUUAUACAGAUUAAAUUCUAAUUGGAUUAUAUUAUAUAUUUAAAAAUUAUCUCUAAUUUUAAAAUAACUUUAAAAAAUAACUAAUUCUAUCUUAAAGAUAUUGUUUUAAAAACAACCAACCUUAUCUUAAUGAUUUUACUUUCUAUCAAAUUAUUACAUUUAGAGCUAUAGUAAAACCUCAAAUGACAAUUAUUGAAAUUUUACAUAUCUCAAAUUAUUUUCUAAAUCACAAUUAUUGAAAUCUUAUAUAUCCCAAAUUACUUCCUCUUACAACCGUACUGUUGAUUAGUAUUCAAAUUGUUCCUCAUUUAUUCCCAUAAUUUUGAAUUAACUUACUGUAAAAAAAAAUUAUCUAUUACACCGAUAGAUUUACCAAUAUUAUUGAAAACUAAAUAUUUAUUGAUCGAGAAAAAUGAACUGCGAGAUUUUUCUACUUAAUUAAAUAUGAAUAUAUAGUUCUAGAUUUAUGGUCAUUAUAACAAUUUAUAUUGUCUAAAAGAAUAUUGGUUAAAAAAAGAAUAUCUACCAAAUUUUUGAUAUGGUGCACAUGAUUUAAUAUAUAAUAUCCUAUUAUAGUGAAAAUAUGUAAACACAAUUUUAAAAAUUAGUAAACAAUUGAAAAUUUAGAAUACAUUAAUGUUUUUAAGUUAAUAUAGAUGAACAUAUAAGAUUGUUGUUAAAUUUUGUAUUUAUAUUAUUUAUAUUUAUAUAAAUUUGCAAUAAAUAAAAAAAAUCAUGCUAAGAUACGGGCAAAAUUCUAAUGAUCAAUUUAAUUUAAUUUAGUUUUAGAAACUCUAUUUAAUUUAAUGUAAUGAUUAUUCUUCGUACCGAUAAAAAAUGAUAUUGGGGAAGAAUCUAUUGCGAGAUCCACAACCACGACACGCAAACGGUUGUGAAGAGCCCAAUCCUUUGUUUAAUUUAAUGUAACGUAAUGAUUAAUUUAAUUGAAUUUAGUUCUAGAAAAUCUUUAAUUUAAUAUAUUAUCUUUCGUACCGACGGAAAAAAAGAUUAGUCACGCUUAUCCGUUCUUUUGCCGAGGGGAUGAAACUUGAAAGUAGACGGAAUCGAGGCCAGUGAAUGUCCAAUUUGACAAAAAGAAAGAAAGAAUGUCUGUUAUAGAAUGAAGACUGAUUUGAUACAGGAUUUGAGUUAUUUAUGAUGUGAAUAGUAUGUUAAGAAAAAUAAAAAAAAUUAAAGAGUUCAAGAGAAAAAACAAGUAGGAAAAGAAUUAUUCUUAUGAAAUUUCAAUUUUCUAUUACUUUGAUACAAGAAGAUUUACCCUUAUUUACAAGGGAAUUCAAAGUACAUCAAAAACAUUUUCAAGACGGCAAUAACAUCUUCCUGUAAGUCGUCAUAAUUUUAUUGAUAGUCGUAUCAAUUUUAUCAAAAGUCGUGAUAAUUUAUCGAAAGUCAUGUCAUCUCUGUCACCUCAAAAGUUAUGAUAUUCUGAAAAAUGUGAAAAACUUAUCACUAUUUAGAAGUUGAGAUAAAAGUGAUAUACAUCCAUAAUUUUUAAUUAUUUCGUAGCAACGUCCAAUUUGACAACUACAUCUAACUAAAGGAGUAAAGCACCCAUACCUGACUAAAUUUUUGGACGUUUGUUGGGAAAAAAAAAAAAGAAAAAUGACUAAAUUUUUUGCAUAUCCCAUAGAAUUUUGACCACCAGUCAAAACAAACCAUUUGAUUGAACGCGAACCAACUAUUCGUUGGAUGAUAGAGCAGAAAUUUAACUCUAGACCGGAUGGAAUCAUGUGACCAUUUUGUCCGGAAGAGAUGAUUUUGGAUGAAUAUAAAAUUUGACUAAACAAAUUGAAAAUUUUAAUAAGUCAUCUAUGUCUAUAUCUAUGUUUAUAUGUAUUGUAGAGAGGGUUUUUAGGAUGGUUAAAUUAGAAUGUUUGUAACUCCUCAUUCCUUUUUUUAUAUAUAGAAUUUUGAAUUUUUUAAAUUGUUAUGUAUAUUUUCAUUUUUUUGAAUUAAAAAAUAAGAAGUGGCCCACUUAAUCACUUAUAUAGGAAUUUGAUUUGAAAUAUAUUAAUGUGAAGGUAAAUAAAAAAGAAAAAUCACCAACCCUACUAAAAGUAAAAAAGUAAAUAAUAAUAUUUUACCCUUCAACUUAUUAAUUCUAAUUGAAAGGGAAAAUUAUAUAGAAAAUAAAAAAAUAAUAUUCAUUGGUCAUGGACUUAAAAUAUCAAAAAUGGUACCAUUUGUGAAUCCUAAAUUAUGAAAUCACUGAAUAAAAAACAAAAUAUUACUAGCCUAAAAAAACAAAUUAUGGAUUUAAAGGGUUUGGGAGAAUGGUGAAGGGAAAAUAAUAGGAAAUUGGGUGGCAAUGAUAGAAAACUAGAGGCUAACUAUAGGCGAGAGAAAGACAAUAACAAAGAGUUAAAGAGUGAUGGGAAAAAUUUGGACGGAGAGAGGAGAGACAAGAAAAAUCUAGAAGAAAUGAUGGGAUUGUGGGCGUAUGACAAGAAAGAUGGCACUGUAAUAAAAGGUCUGAAAAUCAUAGAAGACAAUAGAUAGUCAGUUAGCAAGUAAAAGAGAAUGGAAAUGGUGAUAGUCUUUAAUAAUUUUGAAAAUUUUAAAAACACAUUUUAUAAAGAUAAUUUUAAAUCUAUAUUAAAGUUUAUGAAAAACAUUAUUCUAUAAGCACUCGACAAUUUUAGGAUUACAUGAUGGGAGAAAUAAUUUUCUAAAAUUGAGGAAAAUGGAUUAGUUAUACUUUAUAUUUUUAAUGUUAAAAAUUUUGAUAUACAAGUAUAAUAUGAUAUAUUGAUAAAUAAGUUUACAAUUACUCUAUCAUGUAAAUCAUUAAAAUUACAUUAUUUUAUUCAAAUUGUUAUCAUAUAUUGAUAAAACAAUAGGUUAACAAAAUUUGGUUUCAACUUAUUUAAGAUAUUAAAAUUAAGAAAGUCCAUUUUAUAUUUACGAAAUAAACUUGUUUUAAACAUGUUACGCAUAUACUUCUUUGAAAUUUUUCCCCUUUUGCAUAUACUUUAUCCUAUACUAUAAUAUCUAAGUAUUGUUUUGAAUUGAAAUAUAAAUCAAUGCAUUUCAUGGAUAAGAAUGCUAGUGAAUAGUGUAUUAAAAUGUAGGAAAAGUGGUGCCUUCUCAAAUGGCUAAAUGAAGAAUUUAAUCAAGCGUUUCUCAACAUUUGAAAGAUUAAUGAUUUCACACCCUCAAGAUAAGGAAUUAGGGCUAUUGUAAAAUAAGGGGCUGCAUGCAGUACAUGCGGCCCUUAGUUUCCAAAAUUUUUCUAAAAGAUAACAUUUCUAAAAAAGUUCAAAAAUAAUAAUAAUAAUAAUAAAGAAAGGUGUUUAGUAGCUGCAAUAAAGAAAGAUGUUUAGUAGCUGCAUGUAAGCGGUGCCAAUUUUUGUUGAUUUUGCCAAAAUCGACACCCCUAAAUGAAGAAAAAAUCCACCACCUCCCUUAUUUUUCCGAUUUUCUUUUAAAAUAUUUUUAACAAUAUUUUGAGAAAUAUUAUCCUAUACGAAUAUUGGGGAUGCAGAGAGUAUUUAGAAUAUUAUCCAAUUAGAAUUACUAUAUCUCUAAUUUAUUUGCAAGUACUCGCUUCAUGAAAAAUUUUAUGUUAGACAUGACCAACUACUUGGUACGUAGGACAAAUUAAUAAAAGCUUCAUUUGGACAUACAAAGUUCCAACUCACAUUUCAAAUUUCACAGUCAGGUGUAUAUGGUAAAAUAAAAAACCAAUCAAGCAAAUACAAAGCUUAACAUUUUCCCCUAUUUAAAAAGAUACAUAGGAAGCUAGAUAAUUAUUUAUAAAUUCAAGGAAAGAAUACGAGCAACAAUUCAUCAUCAAGGUGGAGAACCAUACGAACUUCAAUCCACAUGAUUGAUCACGAAGGAGUAGCCACGUUACCUUGAGGAAGGCAAUACAUUUCUACAAUGAUUGCAACUACAAUAACCAAAAAUUUUCGAAAACUUUUCUUAGACCUUGCACCCCCUAGAUGUUUUUAAAUUGUAUUUUUGCACCUAAACAGUUUUGGCUUAAUUUAUCGAAUGUUCUCUUCACCGUUUUGCCUUCUUAUGCAGAUGGAACCAUAGAACUUUUAUACUAUGGAGUAAAAAAGAACAAAGAGUAAAUGGCAUUAUUCUGUAUCCAAACAUACAAAAUUGUGUUCAAUUGUUCCGAAACUCACGAUUCCCGUGAAAAUUGCUUCUCUGACUUUAGCAUUGCAAAGAACAAGUGGAUGAACCAAGGGUAUUUUUAGAUGAAUAAAAGUUAGUAUUGUACGUCAGGAUAACCAAAUAUACUGUAAGGACCCGAAUUUUUACUUAUUUUAAUCUUAUUCUAAUGGCUUAAUUAAUUAUUUAUUCACCCGUUUUCUCCGAAUAAUUUAUUCCAAUCUUUUUAGAUCCAAUUACAUGGAACUAUGGCUUACAUGUAUUUUUAAAAUGACUUGUUACAAAAAUUUAAUUUUUGGGAGCUCGUUUAGUGAAAAUAGUGAAUGCGCGUGUGGAGGGAGUAAUCGAUUCGAGGGUACAGUGAGCUUGGAUAUUGAAGACUUAUACAUUAGUUUUAAAAUAGGUAUUUUUAUGUUUAAGUACUCAAGUAUUAGUUAGUUAUACCACCGUUAUAAGAAUUUUUUAGAAAUUUCGCCGUAUCACGCUCAAAUCGAAAAUUCGCGUAUAUCGAACCGGAGCAGUUAAUUGGAGAUUUAAGAAAUUAUUUUAGACUAUUAAGAGUGAAUAAUUAUAAUGUUUAAGAAAGUGCAUUGGAGGUUUAGUGCACAAGUGAAACAAAUUCGAGUGGAUUCAGGCACGAAACGCGCGCGAACACACACUAUUCUUAGUUGACUUUUGAAGUAAAUUUGGGCCACAAACACUUAAGCUUCUCAAGGAAGCUUCACCAUCAGCAAAACACUCCCUCUCUCUUUACUCUUGCUGGCCGAAACACCAUAGGAGGAAGAGGACCAAAGCUCUUCAUCAUCUUGCUUCAUCUCUUGCUCAUUUUACUUCAAAUUCCUACCACACCUUGCAAAUAACUUGGAGAUCAUCUUGGGCUAAGAGAAGAGCUUUUUUCUCACGGCUUUCUUGAGUUUCUUGUGGCCGAAAAUUUCUGGUUUAAGAUCAUCUAGGAGGUAAUGAUCAUCUAACCCUUAAAUCUUAGCUUUAGGAAGUUAAAUUGCACUUGGAAGCUUAUAGCUUUAUGUAGGUACCUCUAUAUUGUUGGAAAUCUUGUGAGUGGACUCUAUGAAAUCUUACAAUGGACUUGAUGAACUGAUAUGAAGAUGUUGGGUGUUGUUUAUGUUGAUUUAGUGAUUAAACUAGUGAUUAUAAGUUGAAAAGUGGAAAGAAAACUCAAAGGAAGUGAAAUGGAAGAAGGGCCGGUUCUGCCCUAUCUUUGCCGUGCCCUUUGGUGCGAUAUUUUGUGGUUAAAUUGACUUAGUUUUGAUUUAGAUAUGUUGUAUAGGUUGUGUGGAAAUUUUUCACCAAAAAUGACUUGAUUUGGUUGGGCAAAAGUUGAAUUUUCGAAAUGGUUUCAAAUCUGGAAAACAUGUCCCAAGCUGCUCUGGCAGCGAAUUUCAAAUGACUAUAACUUUUUGCUCCGACGUCAAAAUCGAGUGCUGUUUGUGGCAUUAGAAACUAGACACUUCCAGGUUUUCAAGGGUAUAAAAUAUAUCCCCUGAUUCCAUGUGAGUGAACCGUACCAGCCUUUCAAAAUCACCUGCCCUGUUUCUCUAUUGUGUUAGAGUCUGUUAAGUGCUGCGAAUUAUUGCUUGAAUAUGAGCUAGUUAUGGAUAGAAUUUUAAAAUGAUUCCUUCUGUUAAAUUGUAGCCUUAUGAAUGUAGUUUCCUAUGCCACCAACCAUGCUUAAUUUCAAGUUGAAUUGAGUGAGUUGUGGCCGAAAUAUGAAACUGUCUCAGUGAUGGAAAACCUUCUUUUUGGCUAGUUGAAUGUCUUAAUUUGAAUUGGAACUUAUUAUUUCGAAAUUCUUGGUGUUAACUACCUACCAAAUGUAUUUUGGAUGUUUCUUACACCUUGUCUUCAUAAAUGAACCAGAUUUAAGUCGAUUCCAUUGGGCCAAAAGUUAGAAAAGGAAAACUGAAGUACAAGGCAGAUUUGCCUUGGAAAUUCUUGAAACUUUAGUGGCUUUGUUAAAGGAUCUUUCGUGCGAAUUUUUGCAUGAAAUUUGACAAAGGGAUAGAACUUAUAUGGUAGUGUAAUCAUACCAAAUUUGGUGCCAUUCUGAGUCCAUUUCGAUGCCCAACCAAAGUCUCAAAGUCAAUGAGGAAAUUUCAGUAACUUUGAGCUGCUAUAUCUUGGUGCUCAAAACUCCGAUUCUUGUUCCGAUUAUUGUGUUUUAAACUUUGAUUAUAACUCUAAUUGAGUUUCAAAUUUUAGAGGCUAGUUCACAUUUCGUGAAUUUUUGCCGAAUUUUUACAAUUGGCUAAAAACCAACCUCGAAACUGUCUUGGUAUUCCAAAACAGCAAAUUAAAGCCGAGAUUUGAAUGUCUUCCAUUUGGAAUAAUGAAAAAGUGCCUUCCAGGAACUUUUAAUCGUUUGGAAGUAGUUUCCAACAGUGUGAAGUUUUCCAAUUUUGGGCUUACAAAAAGUGAGAUACGAUUUUUCAAAGAUUGCGUGUCAAAUCUGAAAUUUCCAAACUUAAAGGAAAUUGAGUUUUUAGAACUCUCCAUUUUUCUUCGACACCACUUGACCGUUUUACACUUGAUUUCAAAGAUGAAAAUCAGGUUUUCUUGUAUUACUAAAACCCCUCUUUUGAGUGUCGAUUUACGAGUAAUUAAAGCUCAUUUUCAUGAUAUCUUCUUAGAUUGUACACUAGUACAAUCUUCUUCGAUAAUUAGGGGUUUUAAGCGAUAGUGUGUAAUAGUUUAUUAUUAAUUACUCAGGCACUCAAGAGGGCCUUCAAGAGGAUCCCAUGGUGGACGCCUGAACCCUCGAGUGGACAUUGCUCACUUGUUUUUUUUUUUGAUUGGUGAGUGUCAAGUGUAUGUGAACAUAUUACGUGCUUAAUUGUUAUUAGUGAUUGAAUAUUUUGAAAAUGUUGAGUCGAGUGUAUACUUUACCGUAUUCGUUCUCAUUUAAGUGAAGUGUACUUGAAUUACGUGACAUGAAAUACUUGAAAUGAAUAUUUAUGUGAAGUGUACUUGAAUUACUUGAAGGGAAUUGCUUGAAGUGACUUGUUAAAUGAAUUAAGUGAAGUGUUUCAUUUUUAGUGAUUAAUUAUGCUAUGGCUGCAUAAGUCGAUUGAAGCGAUGUCUCAUCGACCACUGAGCGAUAGUAAGUACCACACCGAUUCGGGUGGGAGGUACCUCUCGUGUCGUUUCAGAACCAUAAACUAUUCUAAGUCGAUUGGAGCGAUGUCUCAUCGUACCACACCGAUUCGGGUGAAAGGUACCUCUCGUGUCAUCUCGGAACCAUAAACCAUUCUAAGUCGAUUGGAACGAUGUCUCAUCGACCACUGAGCGAUAGUAAGUACCACACCGAUUCGGGUGAAAGGUACCUCUCGUGUCGUCUCAGAAACAUAAAUGGAAUAAGUGAAGUGUUACGAAUUUAAUUACCUAUCCGGGUGACGAAGUGUCGUCCCGAGGAGGUAUUGGAUUGAAUUUUGACAAAACAAGUGGAAAUGAGCUCCUAAGAGCUCUUGUAUCCUACUCAAGUGUGUUUUAUUAUAAAUUGUGAAUUACUUGAAUGUUAUAGUUUUUAUUAUUAUGUAAGUGCUAUUGUUAUUGAACUACGUGUUUUGCAUGUUUUCUUGGUCUCACGAGCGUUCGCUCACCUCCGUCAGAUUUGUUUUCCUUAACAGGAGUUGGAAUGGAAAGAAAUGUGAAGAAGCCGACUCGAUGGACUUUUGAUUGGAGUGUUUGAAAGUAAUUGUUAGACAACUUUUAGAGAUUGUAUUUUUAAAAAAUGAUGUACUUUUGAGAAUUGCAUUGUGAAACUUGAAAGUUUAUUUAAGGAAGUUACUUUGCUUCCUUUGACUGUUAUUUCUUGGUUGUUUAUCUUAAGUUUGAAUUGAAAUUGUAUCGAAUUCUGGCGAGAGUUGGGCAGGCGUUCCGCGGACACCCUUGGAUUCGCCCUUGGGAGAAGUGGGGGCGUCACAGUUGGUAUCAGAGGUUAGACUUCAGAUCUUUGUAGAGUGUCCUUAGUUUAAAAGUUUAGGAUGUCGGACUGUGGGAUUUGAUUGUGUAUUGCGUGUAAUGUGAUCUUGGUGCUUGAGGUUGUAGCACCAUUUUGCUCACAAAAUGCUAUAAGACUUUACUCUUUAAAUUAGGCUGGAGGUGAGUCAAGAUUAGGAAAUUUAAAUAGUCAUUUGGUGAGUUUAAGGGUUAGGAACCUUACUUCCUCCAUUAUUUUGCUUACCGAAUUUUCCGAAAGAAAAGUUGAACUAUUUGAACAAUUUUGGGCUCCACUUUGAACUUGAAAAUGAGACAUCUUUUGCAUUCCAUUUGGUUUGACUUAUUACCAUAACUUGUAUAAGAACUUUCACCUUGAAUCUAGUGAGGAGACUAAGAAUUUAGAAAAUAACUUAGGCUUUUGGAUGAAAUUUGGAGUUUAUAAUCAUUUGAAUGAUGUGGCUUGGUAUCCGGAAUUCUUCUAGUUUUGUCCCUAACUAGACUUAUGAUUUUCUUUUGAUCCUGCUUAAUAUAGUAGGGGUGGUGCUCGCUGUAUGAUUUUUUGUAUUUUGCCUAUAUACACUCUUAUAUUUGUGACACUUAGUUGCUUAUGACCUGUAUUUGAUAUUAUUAACCCGUUGUAUGCGCAUCGACAUAUGACAUGACAUUGACAUUGACAUUGACAUAUGACACUUUAAUUAAAAGUGUUAUUGUAAUGUGUACAUGUUUUUCAAUUCACGCGCUUAUACUUUUCACUUUUAUUAUGCGUUUAGAAUCUUGUUAAAUGGAUCAGCGAGAACGUGGAUGGGGGCGUGGGCGUGGAUUUCGACAACCCCACACUUUCGAGAGAGGUGAGGGAUCCUCGAGUGGACCAAACCAAAAUCCUAGAAACGAAGAGAGUGACCAAGUGGUUACCGCCAUUAACCGCAUGAUCGAUAUUCUCGAGCGCUUAAUUGAGCGCCAGAGACCUGAACCAAUCAACUAACCUAGGAACCAAGAGACGGGUACGGAUAAAGCCCUAGAACGAUUCUUGAACUUCGCUCCACCUAAGUUUAAUGGAGGUCCUGAUCCCGAGGUAGCGAAAAAUUGGUUUGAAAGGAUGGUUGACAUUUUUGCUGCUCUAAAUUAUACCGAGGAAAGGCACGUGAAUUUUGCUGAUUUUCAAUUUGAGGGGGUAGCACGCUUGUGGUGGAAUGUCGUUAGUGCAAAAUGGGAAAGAGAACAAAUCCCUUGGACUUGGAUAAAAUUUAAGAGGGAGUUUAAUGUUAAGUUUCUCCCGCCAAUUAUACAAGAAAAGAGGGAGGAUAACUUUAUUAAAUUGAAACAAGGAUUAUUAAGUGUGGCCGAAUAUGAGGAGCGGUUCACCAAACUUUUCAAAUUUGCCCCUAAACUUGUAGUCACCGAAUAGAAAAGGAUAAGGAACUUUAUUCAAGGGUUAAAUGUAGAAAUCCAAGAAUCUCUAACAGCAUCCCAGAUUACCACUUUUACAGAUGCCUUGGAUAAGGCACAGAGGGUAGAAAAUGUUAAGUCUCAAUUUAAGGUAUUUCAUGCUAGAAAGAGGGAUAACUCAAGUGAUACCUCUAAACAGUCCGAGAUGUCUACCCAACCCCUUAAAAUAGGAAAUUGGGCUGGAGGAGUGAAAAUGCCUGAAAAAUUCGAAGAAACUCUAUCAAACAAAACCCCACCAAAAGGAAAUCUGAGUAGACGAGAUCAACAAAAAGGAAAAUUUCAAACUGGUCAAGCUGUGACUCCUCACGUAACUUAUGGAUACUGUGGUCAGAUUAACCACACUAAGGCCGUGUGCUGGAAAAAGCAAGGAAAAUAUUUGAACUGUGGUAGUACCGAGCAUAAGUUUUCGAAUUACUUUAGAGAUUAUAAGGGAAAAGGAAAUUCUCAACAACCUACUAAAUCCACUGCAAAUCAGUCGAGUGCCAGAAGGAGUGAUUAAUGCUGAUGAUUGUAAGAGGAAUUCAAUUAGUGGAAACUCUACGCAUAGGGGUGAAUCUGACUCCACUCGACAAAUAGGGAUCGUAGUCUUACCCUAGCAUAGACUGGCACUUUUAGAGGUUGUAAUUUUUUAUAUAGGGGAUGACAUCUUUUUGUUGUAUAUUGCGACUUAGCACAUUUCAAUCUUGUUGUUUUCCCUUUUCUUUUGAAACGAUUUGAUGAAUUUAGUAUAAUUUAGUGUAACUAUUAUGAUCUUUUAUGGCAUAUGAAAAUUUACCUUGCAUUUAAUUGAUUUUACAAUUUAUAUGUAUAUGAGUUCGAAGCUUCACUUAACAAACACAGAAAAUUUCAGGUUUAACCCUAAUAUAGUUUCUGAAAGGGCCAAGAUUUCUUGUUCAAAUCAAGGGAAAACUACAUGUAUGAUAGGUCCAUGUUUCAAGUAUAAUAUGGAGCAAGAACAUGUUGAUUAUAACCUCUCUGUCUGAUCUUACUUCAACCUUUCCUCCUCUUCUACAAAUGUGAGAUGAGCUCAUUUAGAGAUAAAGUCUCCUUUUGACAAAUGCAACUUACCUUAAACUGAUUAAAUUGUGUAUGAAGAGAUAUUAAAAUCAAAUACAUUAGUAACUCUUCAGAGAGUAUCAAUUUAAGUGCAUUUAAUUUUGAAAUAAGAUCAGACACUCCAUAAUGUAUUCUCUGAUAUUACCUUUACCACUAUAUUUUAUUGAAAUUAGACGUGUCAAGCGCGUACUAAUUUCAGUUUUUUCAUUCUUGACAAACCUUUUUUCAAUGUCCUGAAGGAACUCUUUAGCAGUUACUGUCGUUUCUGACAUUGUUUUUCUGAAUGCUUUUGGAACGGUUUUUUUGAUGAUUAUCAAACACAAGCGAUUUGAUCUCACCCACCUUUUCUUAUCCCUCUUUUCAUCAGAAGUACUCUGAUCUGUAAGAGGUAGGAGAGAAUCAUUCCUUAACACAAGGUCGAGAUCCAUUAUUUCAACUAUUGUUAAGAGAUUUUCUUUCCAUAACUUGAAAUUUGUGUCAUUCAGCAUAGAAAUAUUAUUGAUGUUGGUAGUAAUAUUCGUAAAAUCAUUUGCAACUGAACAGAAAACAUAAAAUAUUUUUAAAAAACUCACAUAAAUCAAAAUAAUGAUAAAUUCAAAUAAUGGUAACCCUAUCUCAAGAUACCGAUGUUUCAUUAAUAUUUUAUCUUUGGACAAAAUAUUAAUUUUUAAUUGAUAUCUUGGUGCAGUAAUAAAUACUGAUAAUAAUAACAUGUCAAACAAUAAAUUUUCUUUUGGACCAAUUUAUAAUUCACAUGUAAGAAAUUCAAAUAUUCAUAACGUAUUUAUUACCACAAGUGCACAUGUAAUUUUAUUAAAUAUUGAUCUUCUUUUGGACAGAUCAAUAUUCAUAAAUAAAAUUAUAAGUACCUAACUAGUUAUAUUUUAGAACAAAUUAAUUUUCACAAUAAAGGUCACUUUAGCGGCAUAUUGUUUCAAUUAAUUUAUUCUAAAAUAUAUAUAAUCAUACCAAUAUUCAAAUUUAAAAUUACAUAAAUGAAACAAAAAUUUUGACCAAAGUCAACUUUGGUCAACUCUGAUCAAAACGUGGUCAAACAUGAUCAAACCAAUCAAAUUGGACCAAAAGUCCAUAUCCAUAAUUGAACCAAAUUUAUCAUUUAAGUCCUAAAUUUUCUUGAAGUCCAUAAAUGCUUUUUAAGACUUUAUAUUUAGUGGGCCUAAUGUAUGGACUUUAUAGGGUUUAAAUGUCUUAUUAACUUUAUUAGGAUUCACUUAAAUUAAAGAAACUCUAAUUUCCUUAAUCAGAACAAAAAACUUGUUGGUCGUGCAAACAAAACCAAAAUUAUUCAUAGUUCUAUAUAAAAAAAACUCAAAAUUUAUGAAUUUUCAAAUCCAAAUUAUUUCCCAAUAAUCAACCAUAUUUUACACUAAUACCACUUGUUAUGAUGGAUGUUUAUAUUUAACUUUUGGUGAAAACCAUCACCUAUCAAAUCCAAAAUCUAUAUGGCGAAUAUUAAGAAAUAAAUUAUCAGAAAAAUUGCGGAAGUGUACCUUGAUUCAUAUUGAUAAACUGGUGCUUGAAUUCCUAAAGAUUUUGGGGUGGUCUUCUAGGUCAACACGUAUUUACCAAUCUUUGAGAGAGCCCUUUAAUUUCUGAUCUCUAGUAUCUUUCCUGGCGAUGGAAUAUCAGGAAAGAGCUAUUUUGUCGGUACUAGAAAAUAUGGCAAUAAGAAUACUUGUGACCUGUGAACUAUAACCCUGUUUAUAAGUAACAUUCUUGCUACCUUUUGAAUUUCUAUUUCAGCUCAUUAUAGAAAUAAAAAAUACCCUUAAGUCUCUACACAUUAAAUGCCCAUAUCUUGCUAGAUACAUUAAACCCAAAUUAUAGUUAAUCACUUUAACUGGACUUAACCUUAUUUGACAAUUGUAUUACAUAAUUAUUUACAUAUAAAUCCAACAUUAGAUUAAAGAUUCAACAUGCAAGACACACUGAUAAAAGGGAGAAUGGCCAGGGACCUUUAAGAGUAUUAUUAACUCUUCAAAAGGGGUAUAGCUAUUGGGCAUUCUGUACCUUUUGGAUGUACAUUUGUAGGGACAAACUGAUUUGGUAACAUCCCCUGUAGCAAAUCAUACCCAAAGUGAAGUAAGAUCUAUCAUGUCCAAUAAUGGAGCAGAUAAUUGAGAAAUGGGCUUCUAAGAAAAUUAGGGCUCAUUGCAUUACGUCACCUCUUGCAUAGAUAAAAAAAUGCAUGACUGGGAAAGCGCUCAAGGGUACAAGGUUUCCAGAGAUUUUCGUCAGAUCCUUCAACAUUUUUGUAUGUGCAUUCCUAAGAAUCAUUGCAUUACCUAAUUAAAGUAAAUUCCUCUAAAUUAAAAUCGCAUUUUCAUACUCUCAGCAGCAAAUAGUUAAACGUGGAUCAAAUAGUAUGGCAUCCAAAUCUGAAGAGGAACUAUUUAUGAGACGAUGGAUUCAUUCCAGUCAACCUACUCUUUUAAUAAUAAAAAAUUUAUCAGUAAUUUAAACCCUAGAUAAAAUUGAAAAAUGGAAACCCAUUAAAAAUAAUAAGAAAGCCACAAAAUGAAGGAGGAAAAAGGAAAACAAAGAAGACCGUAACUUUAGGAUCAUUACCGAUGAUAAUCAUUGAGACAGCAAGAGUGUCGAUGUGACAUCACACUUGCACUGCCUAUUGUUGUAGCGGGAAUCAUAACAGCACCCCGAAGCCAUCGAAAACAAAGUUGCCGCCCUGUUUGAAGGCAAUUUGAAAAUUAAGCAAGAUCAUCAAUUUAAGUGAGCGGUGUUGAGGAGAUGGCCACAGGCUACAGCAGCCGUGGAGGAUUUUCUUUUGUUUUUUCUUUGGAUAAUUUGAGAAACCUCCCCUAAAUUUUCUGAUAAUUUCACUAGCCUUCCCUGAAAUUUGUAAAAUUACACAAACCUUUCUUAAUUUUAAGGUUUUGAUAACAAAAUUAGUUCAUUUAAAAAAAGUAACAUUAAAAAAGUAUUUUAAGGGGAGAGAUGAAACUUUUAUUCUAUAAAUACUCCUUAUGUAUGUAUAUAAGUUGCAUUAGUAAAAUAAUAAAAAUAAUUAAAAGUUAGAAACAAUCAAUACACAUAUUUUACUACUAAAAAAGUUCACAUUUAAUAAAUUAGACAACACAAAUAAGCAACAAAACUAUACUAAUGAUCACAAAUAAAAGGAGGACUUUGGUAGAAAAGAAAAAUACAUGACAAAAGAAGGUUGUUUAUGGUAAUAUUUUCUUUGAAACUCUUAAAGUUGUGACAAUUGCAAAGUAAUUUCACAUAAAUAAAGGAGAAAGGAGGGAAAAGUAAAGUAAAUUUUGAAAAUUUUUCUAUUUAAAAUCACAAGAAUCAUGGUAAAUAUCAUUUAAAAAAAGAUAACUAGUGUAUUAUAAUUAAGAAAUUAAGGGAGCCAAAUCCUUAUCCUUUAUGGUGAUCAAACUAGGAAAAUGCACAUGCAAUUGCACAUGUAUAGUGUGUAAUUGGGAAUUUCGCCAAUUUGGUCCCUAAACAUUUUCACUUAAAUCAAUUUCUUCCUUCAUUAAAAAUUUUAACCAAUUUAGUCCCUGAACUAGUUUUUUACUUUCAAUGUAGGACUUUUUACUACAUUUUACUCAAUUCGCGUGGACCAAAGGGGUAUAAUUGUCACACUGGUUUAAUCUCCUCCAAUUAUCCACCGAAAAGGAUUAGACAUCAUUACAAAAAGGGGCGAGCAUCUGGUUUGAAGACAGUAGGGCUCAUCUUUAGUUGCCUAAUUGUAUCUGCAAAGGAGCACAUGUAAGAUGCAUGAAGGGAAAAAGUAUUUCAAUGGAGCAUCAAGUUCGUGCAGCUUCCAACACUCAAAUCAUAAGGAUGAGGAAAGUGGAAAUUUAUCAGGGGUGAAGAGAGAGAAGGUAGGUCAGUACAAUGGAUCUGAGAUCGUGUUUUGUGAUUGUAAUGAACCACGUCGAAUAGCUACUUCGUGGACAUUGUCAAAUCCAGGAAGAAGAUUCCAUGGCUGCAAGAAUUAUGGGGUAUUUUUUCUAUUUUGUUAAUAUAUUUCAGGGGAAAUUAAUUUUUUAAAUUUGGCAAUAUAAUCAGAUAUGGGUAUUUAGUAGUAAUUUGUGCUUUAGAUUAACUUGCAAUAAUAGGUAAUCUAAUUGGGGUAUUGAUAUUGAUUAUAGUCACCGAAGGCUUGCAAGUACUUUUUGUGGUAUGAUCCACCAAUGCCGGAGAUGACAAAAAUACAAUGGCAAAACUUUUGAAGGAACUAAGAAAAGCUGAACAAGAGAACCAGUUCAUGAAGAUUGACCUUGCAAGGUAGAAAGAAGAGAAGAAGAUGAUGAAGGUUGAAAUUCGAAAGUUAAGAGAUAAGAGCAAGUUGCUAGUUUUUGUUGCUGUUUGUUGUGGUUGCUUGUUAAUUGUUGUGCUUGUUGGCAACGAGAAAAAAUGACAUGCUAAAAAAGACUUGGGGCUCCAAAUGUUGGUUUAGAUGAAUUAGGGAAACGUAUGUACUUGCUGUUAGCCUUUUGUUCACGAAGUUGUAAGGUGGAUAUGGUUGGCCUUAAUUUUGUCUGACUAUGAUUUGGUUGUAAGGCUGUGUAAGCAUUUGAUGAAGCAUUUGUCUAAGUAAUAUAUGCAAUGGAUAGGCAAAUUUUGUAUAUGGACAUGUUGAUAGGCCUUCCUGAAUGAGAUUAAAAAUUAGAUUUAGCCCAUCGUAAUCUGUUUUGUUGGAAGCUGUCUUCUAUUGAUGAAACGCAGAAUUAGCAAAUUUUGUUGGAACCUAUAGUUGAUCCGCAGUUUUAUUUGCUUUCUCAAGUGUCCUUAUCUGAUGUAGGCUAGUGAGGGAAUUGCAGAACCUCAUUCCAAAUCUGUUUGUUCCCACUCUAGAUAAGGCUGAUCAAACUAAAUGGCUAGGUGGUUCUUGCAGAACAUCUCAUAUCGGCAGUGGAGGUGCUUUAGUUGGCCAGCUGAGUUUGUGCUUUGUAAUGCUACAAGGAAUCUAGGAACACCUACUUUUUGAAUAUACUUCUGGGUUUGUAUGGAGCAGAGUCCAAGCUAUGUGCUCUAUUUUUAGGGCAUUGAGCUUAGCUGGAUUUGCCAGUACUGGAAAACCAAUUCCUUUGUUGAUUGAUUCAGAAGAUUGGUUCUGGCUAUAACUGUAUAUCAGGCUUGGAAAGCCAGAUAUGAAGUCAUUUACAAUCAUCUCUCUGCAACUGCUAAAGUAAUCCUUGCUGCUAUUGUGGGUGCUGUCAGGCUUAUUGAUAUAUUCUUGGAAGGAAAUUCCACUCACUAAAGCUAAUUGGGAUAUCAUCAUGGAAUAGUGUUUCGCUCAUAAUUGUUUUGAUAGGUGUAUCAUGUUGCUGAUUAUGUUUUCAUUGUUCAUAAUACGGAAUAUAUAGAUAUGUUUAGUGAGCUAUUGAUGUAACUGAGUUGACUGCUCCAUGUAUAAGCUUUACAACCUGAUUAAUAAAACUUGCAAAAUUAAUAAAAACUACUAUUUUGCUCCCAUUCUCAAAAAUUUUUUGCAGUGAUCUCUCAGGAUCUUCAAUUCUCCUUGUACACCGAAAGCAGAGGAAGACACAAGCGUGUCAGCCAAACAAGAAUUUCUAGGUUAUCCCUUCAAUUAAUUACUUGAGCAAAAUGCAUCAAAAUUAUCAUUACUCUAAGAAAUUUUACAUCAAAUGGGUUGAAAAGUCUUAAGAUCUUUGAGAAUUCAAGUACAAAAUCCAUGGAGUAUGGAGUCUUUAAAAGUUUAGAUUUCUGUUAAUCAUGUGCCAGGUAUGUACACAACAUUUUGAAAAAGCUUAGAUAGAGUUAGUUAUACCAAACAAGGAAGGCAGACGAAAGGAAAGCUACAUAAACACGAGAGAGUCAUGACUCCAUCUCUCGUACCUGUGCUACUAAACUCUGAAAUGUCUAUACCAUCCAGAGUUAGGUAAGGAUAGACAUGCUAAUUCUGCAAUUUUAAUCUCAUUCUGGAUGGUAAGGAUAGCCAUUCAGGUAGCUAAUGGUGUCUUAAAAAAUUCGGCAAGAUUUCACCUUAAAAUUUGACACUCUCUAAACACAACCAACCCAUGUAACACCUGAUGAUUAUGCAACCAACAAAAGAUAUUAGGAAUUUCAUAUAACCAGUGAAUGCCAAUUGUCCAAAAGAGAUCAAUGCAGAAGCUCAUGUCUAGGCAAUGAGAUACAUGGCAAGGUAACAUCGGCAGACUUUUACAAAACAAAACAAUCACAGGAAUAUUUUCUAGGCUCUUUCCCCCACAAGAUCAGUACGCUAUAAUUACAAUUGUAAAAUCUAUAUUAGGGAGACUUCAUGCCCUAAACAUGUGUAACAAAAAAUUAAGCAGUCAGGGGGGGUUCACAUCUGUUAAUCAUCCCUCCAGUAUUGCUAUGUCAGCUUCAUCAUCAUCUUCAUCUAACACCCUAUGUGCCUGCAUAAAUCACAUAUAUGCAUUAGGGAAUAAAGUAGACAAUGAAUUUCCAAUUUUGCUUAACAAUUAUACACACAAACGGACCGUUUGUUUUCUCCUGGCCCCUUUCCAUUUUGAAGGAGAAAAUGGACCAUAAACUGACAUAGCAGCCCGUCUUUUUCUCCAAGAUCGAGCCUGAAAGGAAUCACAAGUUUGCCUAUUAUGUCCAGUUUUCUUGCAAACUGAACACUUCAUCACCUUUUCCGGCAAAUCAGUAGAAAUAGCUUGGGGAGUCGAAAGCUGGAACUCUAUCACUUCAGCAUCUUCAGUACCAGCUUCUGUAAUUCCACCUGGGACUAGAAAAGUUUACAAUUAAUUGAGCAAAAGAACAUACAACCAUUAAAAGAACUGUAGUCAGAAAAAUUUAGAAAAACAUAGAAACACAGCAAACCAUUAUUUGAUGAAGAUACAGUAGCAGUUUUUUGUUGGUCUCUUCCACUUUCCCCAUCAUUGAAAGCCUGAUAUACAUCUGUUAAAGAAAAAAGUAUCAAUUUAUGUUAGUUUUGAAUUAAUCAUAAAAAAAAAUAAAUUCAGCAAGCAAUCUUCAGUAUCAGCUAUGGUAGUUGAUCCAUGGUCUUCAUUCACUUCAGGCCUCUCAGUUGUCUUACUUAGUUGUGGACAAGUCCUCUUGUUAUGGCUUUUCUCCUUGCAGAAGCUGCAUUUUUUGGAGUUAGACGAUGGUGGCCUACCACAGGAUGAACCGGGCAGCUCAUUUACAGGAAUGAUCAAUGGGCAUUUUCUAACAGUAUGACCUUCUAAAUGGCAGUUUGAACACUUUAUUUUCACAAGUCCUCUUCUAGGCAGUUUUGUUACACCUACGGAAUUGGCCCUUGGCUCAUCAAGCUCUCUUCUCCGUGCUUUUCUUGGCCUACCAGGGAGCUUUAACUUCGUUGGAGGUAGCACUGGCUCUUUUUUGGAUUGGACCCAAGCAUUCGGACCACUCAUUGGAGCUAUGGCUGGUUCAUAUGCUUUCAAGUAAUUCUCUCUUGAGUAAUACUGAUGAACCAUCGAUUCCGGAGUUACACCAGUCAAGGAAAUACAACAUAUGGCAUGGCAACAAGGCCAGCCAGUCAGGUCCCAUCUUCGGCACGUGCAUGUUUGUUUUUUGAGAUCAACCACAUACUUUCCGCCAUACGCAUGUGUCACUUCAAACUGGUCCUCCUUGGACCAUCUUGCAAUGUUUGAAGCAGCUUCUGUUUUUGCCUUCUCAAGUUUUUUCUGAAUUUUGAGACAUAUCUUGUCAUUUCUCUUCUUCAUACAUUCUCUCUUGGUUCUCAGCCUUUCCAUUAGAUAAAUUCUGAGUAUCUCAAGCAUUCCCAAAAUUGGUUUUUCCCUAGCCUCCAUAAUGACUGAAUUAAAACUCUCGCACAAAUUGAUGAGCAGAAUAUCGCACUUUGGUGUGAUCUGAAAGUGCGAUCUUGACCAAUGACAAGGUGAUGUGUUUUCAAUUAGCCAUUUCCAUGCUUUUUCAUCAUAUUCCUUCAAACUCUCCAUCUGAUUUUCAAACCAUGUCAUGUAGGACACCCGAGCACAAGUCCAAAAUCUCUCCUUCAAUGCCAAGCCCGGGUGCAACUUCUUGAAGUUGUUGUGGAGGUGCCUGACACAGUGUCUAUGCUCAAUUUCUGGAAGCACUUCAUGAAUUGCAGUCCCUAAACCCUGUUAUAAGAUUACAUAUAAAAUUAAUUAUUAAAUUUCAGUAGGAAUGAAAAUUAAUUAAUUCAGCAAGAGAGUACCUUUUGUCUAUCACUAAUAAGUGUCCACUUUCUUUGGUCAUAAAUUUCCAAGUCGUACUUCAAAAAUUCGACGAACCACUUCCAAGACAUCUUGUUUUCAGCCUCUACUACUGUAUAAGUAAUGGGAUACAGGCAAUCAUUUGGAUCAAUCCCAACAGCUGUCAAUAGCACUCCGGGGUGUGGACCUCGUAAAUGGCAGCCAUCCACUCCAAUGACGGGCCUACAUGCAGACUUAUAUCCUAUUUUUAGUGCCCCAAAGCAGACAUACAGCCUUUGGAAUCUCUCUCUCCCAAUGUCUUCAUCUAACUCUAUCUCCAUGUACACAGUGGAACCCGGAUUACAUUUUAGCAGCUCGUCACAAUAAUCCCAAAGCCUUUGAUGCUAUUCUUUAUAGCUCCCAUGGAUUAUGAUCUUUGCUUUCAUGAAUGUCUUGUAGACUUCUGCUAUAGUGAUGUUAACAUUAAGUUCCGAAUGCACAUUCUCCCUAAAUUCCUCAACAGUGAUUCUCUUAUUCAACCUUAAAAAUUCUACAUAUUUUUUAGCCAGAAAACCUGAUAGCUCUCUUGUGGUAGAAUGUCCGGCUACAAGUGUGCUCAGGUCCCAUAGUCUUCAUCACAAGAGAGUCAUCACCGGCCUCAACCUUAAAGGCAAACAACAUCCAUUGACAAUUUUCUGCCUUGCAUUUAACUCUCAUCCGUGUAGCAUCUUGUUUUACCCAUUUGAUAUCCUUGCCCCACUUGACUGCGUAGUUAUCCACAGCUAACUUGAACAAUUGUUUAUUAUCAAAAACUUGUCCAACAUGAAAUUUAGGAUCUUCCAUAUCCACAUCAGGCUUAAACCUCACAAGACUCGGGUUCUUAGCCUUUUUCUUCUUUUUGCUAUCUUCAUCCGAGAAGGACUGACAACUCUUCAACUCAUCUGAGGCAAGCGAAUCAGAUUCCUCCUGGACUGGAAUCUGAUCUCCUUCAUCUAAGUGCAAGUCCUUCAAAGAAUGAUCUUUAGCUCUUUCUUUUUUCUUCUCAGCUGUAGGCGUAGACAUUUUUUGUUUCUUACACUCCUUGCCCCUACUUUUUGCUCCACCAUCAAGUUGUAUCUUUCCAAUUCGACAACCUAACUCUUGCUCAGGUGUAACAACGCAACUCUGAAAUAUAACAUCUUCUUCAUCAUGGCUAAAAUCAUAAUCGCUAUCAUGGAAGCUUUCUGCUCUGGAUGAAUCCGAAUGGACAGCAUCAUUAUCACCAUCAUCAUUACCAUCAUUUCCUCCAUGUUCAGCAGGCUCUAUUUUUUCAUUUUUUGACUUCACAUGCUCCAUCAUUUGUUCAACUUGGACUAGUAUUUCUUCAAAGUCAGCUACAUCAAUAUCAUCAAAGGUGAGCCCCACAUAUAAAUUAUCAUCUUUUACUUGAAUCUCCUCAACAGUUGCUGCACCUAAAUCAGUGUUGCUAUUAACAUCUCAUAUAUGAAAUUCAUAGACACCAUACACAUCAACUUCUCCAUAUUUUUUACCAAUGCAAGCCACGUCUAUUGCAUCAUCCUCACUAUCUAUUUGCCGAAGCUUUAGGACCUUUUUUCAUAGGGGAUUCCAUACAUCAUCUUUGAAUCCUCCCGACAGGCCACAAAAAUGCAAAAGUCAUGCAGAAUUGACUUACUAACUCUCUCUGGAAUAACUUCUUUAAAUGUUUCCACGCUACCCCCUACGUAUGCUUGUUUUGGCUCUUUAACAUAGACGCCACCAUAAUGUACUUUCAAAGUAAAAUAGUCCACAUCUUGACCUGUUUUUUAUUAAAAAAAAAAAUAGAAAUCUUUUAUUAUUUCUCAGAUGCAGAACCUUGGCCCCAGUUAUGUCUGACUUUUCAUCAAUAUGAAAGCAACGCAUAGUAUACUUUAAAGGCACAGGGACCACAUCACAGUUCACAAACAAACAAAUUUACUUUAAUCGAGACCAAAUUUCACCACCUAAAUCAAAAGCAUACAUAUUCAAUUUCAAAAUUACCAACAUUUCAACAUCACAAAUCUCAGGAAAACAAAGUAAAAUUUUGAAAGUACCAUACCCAAACUAAAUGCUUUAUCUUACCCAUGUGGAAUCUAUAAGCACUUUAACAAAAAAUUUUAACAUCCCCUAACCUGUUCAUGCCUCGCCACUGAAGUACAAUACUGCAAAAUUAAACCCCCCCUCCCUCAAGUCCUUCCAUUAUACAUUAUAUCACCAUUCCAACAUACUAGUGGGUAGUGGCACUCAACUCAAGCACCUCAUGCAUACGGUUGAUGAAGGUUAGGUUUGAAGUUAGCCGACUUACCUGAUCUUGUUGAUGACUCCACUUGAUCGUUGCAAUCCUUGACAGAAUCGCCAUCGUCCAUUGCCUGAGCUCGUGGCGUAGAGAUUUCGAUUCUGCCCUCCAUCGUCUGUUCACCCAGGCCUGAUGACUCCACUUGAUCGUUGCCAUCCUUUACAGAAUCACCAUCGUCCAUUGCCUGGCGUAGACAUUUCGAUUCUGGCCUCCAGCCUCUGUUCACCGCUCGCCCUAGUUGUUCUCCCAAUUUUCCCCAUUUGAGUUCUAUUUCCGACGAUAAUCGCAUGGGCGGGAUAAUGAUGUCUAAUCCGUUUCGGUGGAUAAUUGCAGGAGAUUAAGCCAGUGUAACAAUUAUACCUCUUUGGUCCAUGCGAAUUGAGUAAAAUGUAGUAAAAAGUCCUACAUUGAAAAUAAAAAACUAGUUCAGGGACUAAAUUGGUUAAAAUUUUUAAUGAAGGACGAAAUUGAUUUAAGUGAAAAUGUUUAGGGAUUUUCUUUUGUUUUUUCUUUGGGAUAAUUUGAGAAACCUCCCCUAAGUUUUCUGAUAAUUUCACUAGCCUUCCCUGAAAUUUGUAAAAUUACACAAACCUUUCUUAAUUUUAAGGUUUUGAUAACAAAAUUAGUUCAUUUAAAAAAAGUAACAUUAAAAAAGUAUUUUAAGGGGAGAGAUGAACCUUUUAUUCUAUAAAUACUCCUUAUGUAUGUAUAUAAGUUGCAUUAGUAAAAUAAUAAAAAUAAUUAAAAGUUAGAAACAAUCAAUACACAUAUUUUACUACUAAAAAAGUUCACAUUUAAUAAAUUAGACAACACAAAUAAGCAAUAAAACUAUACUAAUGAUCACAAAUAAAAGGAGGACUUUGGUAGAAAAGAAAAAUACAGGACAAAAGAAGGUUGUUUAUGAUAAUAUUUUCUUUGAAACUCUUAAAGUUGUGACAAUUGUAAAGUAAUUUCACAUAAAUAAAGGAGAAAGGAGGGAAAAAAAGUAAAUUUUGAAAAUUUUUCUAUUUAAAAUCACAAGAAUCAUGGUAAAUAUCAUUUUAAAAAAGAUAACUAGUGUAUUAUAAUUAAGAAAUUAAGGGAGCCAAAUCCUUAUCCUUUAUGGUGAUCAAACUAGGAAAAUGCACAUGCAUUGCACAUGUAUAGUGUGUAAUUUAUCAUAAAUUGCUUUUCCAAUUAGGUAAAUCACUUAAUGAUUGAUUUAAUUUCUUCUCUUUUCUUUAGUUAUCUCCUAUCUUAGUCGAUCUUGGAUCUGUUCAUGUCCUUUUUUUAGGUUUAUUUAUAGUAUAGUUUAGUAGUAGAUAAAAUGAGUUAUUUUUAAAGCAAUAAAAACCCAUUGCAUUUGAUGAGAAUGUGAUAAAGGUGAUGAACUGAUAAACAGUUCACCAUCCACACGAGAAAGAAAGAGUUUGAACCCUUUUUUUUUUUUUUUGUAAAUGAUUCAAACUAUUAUUCGGGAGAUGGGACUUCUUUCCACCUUAUUUGUUUCCACAUCUUAUUUUUCCUUCUUUCAUUUAGUUGAUAUUGACAAUUACUCAAUAAUGCAUAUUCAAAUACUCAAAAAAUCUAAUAAAAUUGAAGGUACCAUGCACACAAUGGGCUUGUUUAGAUAUGGAUUAUUUGUAAAAAAUUUUAAUUGCAUUAUAAAUAUGUUUUUAAGCACAUUUUUAUCUCUUGAACUAUCUUUUUUCUUACAUAUAUUACAUCACAAAAAGUAUUAUAUAUAGCAUUAAAAUAUAUGACAAUAUACAGGGUAGAGAUUUUGUAAUAAUAGAACUCUUAUUUGAAUAAAUAAAUAUUUUACUUUGACUCUAUAGAUGCACGCCCUCUACUUUUAAACUGAACACACUUUGAGAUUUGCUUCUAGCAUGCAACAGCAAAAGGAUAAUUUUGUUUAUUUUUCAUUCUUGUGACACGUAAUGUGAAGAACGUCUCAUGCAAAAUUGUUUUAUUCUAUUCUUGUAUGUUUAGGUACCUUGACAAAAUUAUUUUAUUCGUGCAUGUAAGUCUAUUCUUUGUAGCGAAUAUUCUCUCACCAAUUUUUGUGGCUUCACCUGUCUGUUAGUAAAGAAGAGAGAGAAGGGCCAAAUCAGAAGUCCAUUCUUUCACUAUUUCAACCAGGAGCGUCAAAUUUGGCUUCCAAAAAGCAUAGACGUAUUCCCUUUGACUAAAAUGAAUAAGAUAUUCAGGUUCCUGAUUCUCUCUCUCUCUCUCGCUUAUUUUUUCUGCUAAUCUUCUCGAACUAUGACAAUAUAAUUUGAUAAGAAUACUUUUCAGAGGAAGAAAAUAUCUAGUUGCAGGUCUCCUCUGCAAGACUGUAGUCAAACUCCUCUUUCACUCCGACAACGACGUCGGGGCACGGCUGUUUGUUUAUAAUUCAACAGGCAUUACCCUCCGAUGACAUUCAACGAAUUAAAUAUUUUUUGUCAAUAUAUAUAUAUAUAUAUAUAUAUAUAUAUAUAUAUAUAAAUUAUUAAAAUCCAACAGGCAUUAUCCUCCCACAAUUUCACUGAGUUGCCCCUGAACGUUAAAAAAUUACACAUACCUCCCUUUUCAUUUAAAAUAACAAUUUUAUCCUUAAAUAUUUUAAUAAAUUUUUUUUAUUUGGUAUGCUUAUACUUAGAAUGAGUUUUAAAAUUAUUUUUUCAUUCUUUCUAUAGAACUACCACUAUUGCAUCUGGGUUUCUAUUAUAAUCAAAUGUCGAACUAAUGAUUUUUUUGACGAGUUAAUUUUAUAUGUAAUCCAAUGUUUUUGCUGAUCUUUGUUUUUUUUUUUUUAGUAUUAAAAUUAACAAUAAAUAAAAAAGAAAUGGCCCAAAAGAACUACUAAAUUAUGAUAAUCCCACUACUCCAAAAAUUUAUAAAUUCUAAAUGAAUUAUUUCAACAUUUUCUUUUUUAUCUUAUAAAUCUAAAUUCAUAAUAAAAUACUGUAAAAGAUAUCAUAUCAUAGUAAUAAAAUUAUUAUUAUAGUCGUUUAUCAAACAGUAGAUAUAGACAUGAAAAAUUUGGCAUUUUUUCCUUAUAAUUAUACUAUAUAAUCUUAUAAUUGUAUAUGAAAAUAAAUUAAGACUCAUUUCACAAGGGCAUUUUUUGGGUAUUCAUUUAAAAAAUUGUCCAAAUUAAUAUUAUUUUAAGAUUUCGUUACUAAAACUAUCAAAUUAAAAAAGAUAAGUGUAAUUUUUCAAACCUUAGGAGAGUUCAGUGAAAUUGUUAGAAACGUCAGAAGAGGUUUUCAAAAUUAUCCCAAAGAACAAUUUGGCAAACUAAAAAAUUGGGUUAAUUCCACAUACCUCCCGUAAUUAUGAAGGUAAUUACUCAAUUAGGCUACAAGUGAGGAUACAAUGUCAUGUUCCGGACGAGCUUUGAGGGUCGCUAAGACACUGUAUUCUUAGUUGUCAUAGACACCCACACCACCUAAAUCCAAUCAUACUAACUCCAUAUGGUAGUGAUUUUAAAAUAAAUAAAAAAUUUAGUUUCCUCUAUACGUAGAUUAUUAUUGAAUUAGUUUUGUUGGUUAUGUAGGUAUCAACAUUUUUUGAGGGAACAGGUACAAAUUUACUAGAGAACUUUUAAAAUUUACUAGAGCACUGUAAGCAAAGCUACCGGACGUAUGAAGUAUGAGACCAUGCACGAGCAGUGCAAUUGCAAGUCAGUAAAAGGAUUAUUUCCUUAUAGCACCCUCUAACUUGUAUGGAAUCUUGAUUUUGCAUUUUAAGUUUCAAUUUUGAACAAAUUGCACCAAACCCUCAAAUCUUGCAUUCAUCCUGUUUGAGUAACACCUCAAGCAAAAUUACCUUACUCGAUUCCCCUUCAAUGUAUAUAUGGAAUUACAUAGAUGAACGAACCAAAAUAUACUCCAAAAGCAAUGCAUUUGUCAGGGACAAAAUAAAUAGGAAAAUAAUGCAGUAACAUAUGUUAAAGGAAAGCCGCUUGUGGAGAAAGUAUAGAUUGGAUUGAUUUUGAAAUAUUGUAAUUCGUUCAUCAGAAAUUCACCUAAACAUAUUCAAUGCUUCGAGCUAAGAAGCAACUAUAUUUAUGUGCAAAAGAUAAGAGAGUAACUAAUUUUGCCAUUGUCAUCGAAAGAAACGAAACAAUUAAAAUAAAAACAAAAGCUUAAAUAAGAGAUAUUGAGCUUUCCAAAAACAAAUUACUCCAUAGAUAAUUAAAAUUGAUAAAAGAACAAGAGGAUUGAUUGCACUAGUUGUGAGACAAAAUCAUGUACAGAUCAUGGUGUUUUCUUUCCGAGUUAAUGAUUGGAUUGGAAUGGGAUAGAUUCAACAAUUUAGAAGACGGUAAUCUGUCCAAAUUUAAAAUUUAGCCAGAAGGAACAAAAAAAACACAUUAAGGUUUUGAGUAUAAAUAUCCCUGAUCUUGUUUGGAAUAUGUGGUUGAAGAUCACGGGAACUUCCAAAAAAAAAAUUAAUAAAAAGAUCUGGAGUCCAAGGAUCAACAUAUAAGAACGAGACUUAACCAAGAUUCAACUGGCUAGCUCGAACAACAUCAUGGCAUAGAGCUUUCUUUAAUGCUUUCGAUUCCAAUUAACUCCGGCUUCAUCCCCUUUUUCCCCCAAUCUCUGGCUUGUUUGAUGGACUGAGCAUUUGAAGGUUUCAAUAGAGGAGGAAAAUAAUGUGAAAAGCAAGUAAAAAUGAAGUCUGAGCGUCCAAUAUCGCAGGUAAAAGGUUAGAAGAAUCAGUACUCCAAGAUGUUAUGGAGCUUGAUACAUGUAUACAACAUGUUGCCAAAAGUCACUGCAAGUCACUGCAGUGAGAUUUAAAAAAAUCGUUAUUACCAUAAAUAGUGGCAGAGCUUUCCUAAUAUCACAAGGUAUCUUCCUCGCACGUGGCUUCAAUCUGUAGCCGGCGUUGUACAAGAUAGACUUUUUCGUGGGCCUCUGUAGCCGCCGUGACCAAGCGCUAUUUAAGCAGCUCCAACUUCCAAGAUUCCUUCAUAGCAAACAACAUCAAUUGUAGCUAAUCUCCUCCUCCUUUCCCUACAUUUCCAUUACACGAACCAGCGACCAUGUUGUUUGCUUGUGCUAUUAUUGCUCUCAUUAUUGUGCUUUUCAGCCACUGGGUAUACAGGUGGAGAAACCCCAAGUGCAACGGGGUAUUACCGCCAGGCUCGAUGGGAUUACCAAUUAUAGGAGAAACAAUUGAGUAUUUCACCCCUUAUGCAUCGGAUGAUGUUCCACCAUUCGUACAAAAAAGAGCGGCUAGGUAUGUCUAACCCCUUUUUUUUUUUUUCGUCUCCUAUUUUUCUUUUUACCCUUCUCAUUUUUAACUAUCCGAUACAGAAUUCGAAUCUUAAACUAGAUUGUGGAGAUAAUUCUAAUACCCUUUCCUAAUCAUUAGGCCAACCUCAAUACUCCACUGGUUAUCUAACCACUUCUAUCACAUAUAUAUAUUUUAAUAAUAUGACAGCAGUAAUAGUUAAGAAUAUUUUAUCUUAACUAGCUUUCCUUUGUUUCCUUUUUUUUCUCUUUGGGAAAUUUCAGGUACGGACCAAUUUUUCGCACGAGUAUAGUUGGGCAGCCAGUCGUUGUAUCAACUGAUGCUGACUUCAACUUCCGCGUCUUCCAGCAAGAAGGUAAUGCUUUCCAAAUUUGGUAUACUGAGAGUCUCUUCCAGAUAAUUGGGAAACAAAGUGUACUUGCCCAUCAUGGAGGCUUCCACAAGUACCUCAAGAGCUUAACGUUCAAGCUUGUUAGCCCCGAAGCCUUAAGAGAGAAGCUAAUAUAUGAAAUGGAUGCCAGCACUCAAGAAUCUCUAAGUUCUUGGAGUAAACUUGGAAAAUUAGAUGCUAAAGAUGGAACAUCAGAGGUAAAUUAAUCAGCAUCCUACUAUUUGAUUAUAUUAAUCAGGAUGAAUUCGGACUGUACGUACAGAGCAUUGCAUGAAAAGUAGUAAUGAACAAUCUCAUUUUCUCCAGUUGGUAUUUAAAUAUGCUGCCAAGAAGAUGCUUGGCUAUGAAGAAAGCAAGGAUCAGCAAAAAUUGAGAGACAGUUAUAAGGCAUUCAUGGAUGGCUUGAUCUCAUUUCCUCUCAACAUCCCUGGAACACCGUUCCAUGCUUGCUUACAAGUAAUCAAUUGUUAUUGUUGUUGUUCGUCAUUUGGAAUUCUUUUUAUAUUGAAAGAUCGAUGUUCACUAUACCUACAAGAAAAAAACAUAUUCAUUAUAAAUAUAUGACUAAGUAAAAUAUAUAUGCUUUCAUAAGUGCCGUAUCAGAUUGAACGAACUAUAUGGUUUUCAUUUUCCAGGGACGUAAGAAAGCAAUGAAGGUCAUCCACGACAUCUUUGAGAAGAAGCGCUCGGGCAAUGACACUUCGAAAGACUUCGUGGACCAUUUACUUGAGCAAAUAGAGAAAGAAGACACUAUUUUGAAUGAAGAAAUUGCGAGGGACCUGGUAUUUUUGUUUCUAUUUGCUGCCCAUGAAACGACUUCAACAGCUUUGACUGUGGCCUUGAGGUAUCUAGAUGGCCAUCCACGUGUUAUGGCUGAA
rnacentral:lncRNA from 1 species